rnacentral:lncRNA from 1 species
AGAAAUAAGUUGAUUAAAUUUGUGUGGAAGUAAAAAUAAUGGUAGUGGAAACGUGGUUGUUUAGUGAGCAGGAAGCAGCAGAGCUGAUUCAGGUAUCUUGGUUGGAAGUAACGGGUUCAGUGAAACUAGAGCCUUUAACCAGACAUGAAAUCAGCUUUAAACUCAGCUUCAGAAGGGAUUCUUUUGGAUGGAGCGGGGCACCUAUUUUCUUGAUGGCCAAGGUAGGGAAGAAAGGUAAGUACAAGUGGAAAAGGCUCAAGGAACUAGACAACUUGCCUAAGGACCCCAUUAUGGUUCCAACCGAUGAUUCCUUCACUAUCGAACCUAUUCCUUCAAACGAACCCGACAAAAGGCUUUAUUUUGGUUUGUAUGAAGUCUGGAGUGGGAAAUGGAAGGGAGGUUUGAAAGUUCAUGAAGCCAUCGUCAGGAAAUUAGGUUAACAACUGAAUCCAAUCCAAUCCAGACAGGCAUUUAUUUGAUUCUGUUUUUAUAUAAACAUAUAUAAUUAUAAGCUGCUGCUUUUAGUUUGUGUUUAACUUUGAAAGGAUUCAAUAAUGUAAUAAUGACGACAAUAGUUGGUUCCUGUCAGUCAUUGAGGUUUUUGCUUUUCUUGUUACACUUUCAUUAAAUAUUACAAACUCCAUUCCGCUUUUUCUUUUUGAUUAAGAGGGAAGAAACACUAAAAUUACAUCAAUUAAAAUACAUUUUAAUCAGGCUUCCCCAAGCACAGACUACAUAGCAGUGAGAGCGGAGUACAUGGCCUGUAUCUUCCUUGAUGUUCGAGCAAAAAAUACAGGAAUCACUACUUGCAAGAUGUCUCCCAACUCUUUCUUCAUUUGCGAGUAAUUUCAUGCUAAAUGCCAACCAUAAGAAUGACCCUAUCCUUUGCCACCAUUGAACUUCGACAUCACCUUCUACCUGGAGUCUCUAUCAGCUUGUAAUGGAUACGCUGAUUUCAUAUUGAAAUUCCUUUUGAGGAUUCCAUUUCCAGCCAUGUACAUCAUAUCUAAGUCAUUUUCCAUAGGUGGAACGAUGGUUGCAAUAGUAUUCACUGCGUCAUGAGAAAUUAAAUGCCCGAACUGGGACCAAUCCCAAGCCCGUUCGAAUCUACCAUUGAUGCGACCAGAGUAAAGCUAGAGGCAUCGAUAUUUUGCUGCACCACACUACUAAUUAGAAGCCCAUGAUUCGGCAACCACUUAUCUUUCUGAAAGUCUACAUGCUGACCAUUUCCAAUGGUCCAAAUUAUACCAUCACAAACAUUAUUUCAAGUCUUACAAAUUCCUUUCCAAAGCCAAGAACAAUUCUCACUCGGAAAAAAGGAAGAGUAGCUUCCCAUUUAUAUUUAGACGGUAAGAUCUGCACCCAUAACUUAUUCUUACUUAACACAAGAUGAUAACAAAUCAUCAUCAAGAAAAAGCAAUUCAAUUCCUCCAUUCUUCUAACGUCGAGUCCCCCUUCUAUUGUAGGUCGAGAUGUCACGGGGCUAGACCUUUCGUCUUGCAAUGCCCGUGGUUUUAGGCAAUUUCUUCGCUUCAAAUGCACCUAAGUCUGCCUAAACUCUCGCAAAGUGAAAAUCCCCACAGAAAUUCUCUAAGGCACAAAAGUAUAGCGAAAAUAAACUCGAACGGAAAAGCAACAAAAAAUAGAAAAGUCAAAAGGAAAAUAGAACACUAACUGUUUGAGUAAAUACUUUCAAAUAUAUUCAAACUAUGAAUGAAAUAAUUACAAAUGAAAAGGAGACCUCUAUUUAUAGUUGAACUCCCCAGAACCAACGGGAUUUACACUACAGGAAAAUAGGCUUUAGCGGCGUUUUAUUAAAAAACGCCGCCAAAGUUUUAAAAUUCAGACCAAUAGCGGCGUUCUAAAAAAAACACCAGUAAAAACAGAACAACAGCGGCGUUUUUUACUAAAACGCCGCUAAAAACAGGGCAUUAGCGGCGCUUUAGGUAAAACGCUGCUAAAACCAGAGCAUUAGCGGCGCUUUCAGUAAAACGCCGCUAAAAACCAGAGCAUUAGCGGCGCUUUGGGAAAACGCCGCUAAAAACCAGAGCAUUAGCUGCGCUUUGGGAAAACGCCGCUAAAAACCAGAGCAUUAGCGGCGCUUUUGAUAAAACGCCGCUACAAAUCCCAUAACCCCUAAACCUCAAAAAGAAUCAUAAACACUAAUCUCUAACCUCUAAAACAAUAAUUAUUAAAAUUUAUGAUUAUAUAAUAUAUUAAAUAUUUUCUUAUAUAAUCAUAAAAGAGAUAGUAUUGAAUUUAAAAUAUUGAAUUAAUUAUCAUUAUAGUUUAAGGUUUAUGGUUUAAGAUAUAUGGUUUAAGCAGGUUUAAUUAUGAUCGUUAACUAUGGUUUAAGGUUUAGGAGUUAACUAGUAUUUGAAGGUUUAUAAUGAAUUUGGGGUUUAUGGAUUAUGAUUUAGGGUUUAAAGGUUAGGGUUAAUGUUUAGAAUGGGACAAUUAUUAACUUCUUAAGAGAUAAUUUCCUUUUCAGAUUCUUACUUGGGAUGCUAUUAAGAAAGGGUGAUUUUGAAUGUGGAAUUAGCAUUUGUUGAACUAUGUAUAAAUUCCAAGCUUAUAUAACAUAGAAAUAUCUUACAGAGUGGACAUUAUAACUAGAGUGUUCCAAUAGAGAAUUAAUUGUUUUAUUAAAGUUAUGUAACUUUGUAUAAAUAAUAAUGCUAUUGUGUAUUUUUAAUUAUUUAUUUUUUGUUUAAAUAUAUUUAGAUUAAAUAGAAUGUCUGAAAUAAAAUAUGUUAAAAAUUAAGUUUAGGUUAAGGGUUUAAGGAAAUGAUACUAUUAGCUAGAAAUUAACUGAAGAACAUUUGGAUUUUACUAAGAUUCAUGUUAUUUUGUAUAUACAUACUCAUAAUAUUAUUUAAUAUAAGAAUAUAAACAUAUAUAUGUGUGUGUGUGUGUGUGUGUGUUUUAAUUUGUACUACACUAACAUUGGCCACACAAAUUCCCAAAAAUUUGUUUAUUAUGGUUUAGGGUUAACAGUUUUUUAGAGUACUUUAUAGUUUGGGCUUUAUGGUCUAGGAGUUAUGGUUGGUUUAGGGGUUACCGAAUGGUUUAGGGGUUUAAAGUUUGGGGUGAGGGGUUUUGUGUUUGUGGUCUAAGGUUUAGGGUUUAGAGUACCAGGUUUAGGGUUUUAAAUUUAGAGUAUAAUUUUGGAUUUUAAUUUAGAAGAUAAAUGUAUAUAAGAUAAAUAUAUAUAAAAUAUUAUUUUAAAAUAUAUAUAAAUAUAUAUAUGAAAAGUGGUUUAGUGUGCAAUUGUGUACAUGAACUGUAAUUUGAUCUAGAUCUUGUAAAAUAUUUACACGUUAUUGAUAUAAUAAACAGCAUCAUGUUUUUAUUUAAUUAAUUUAUAUGCAUACAUAAUAUGUAUUUUAAAAUGUGUAUUAAAUCAAAAUUAAAGUUUCAACUAUAGUUAGGGUUUUAGGGUUUAUAUAUAAUUUAAAAGAAAUUCUAAAUAUAUAGUUUUAAAUUUUGAUCAAUUUCUAUAAAAUAUUCAAGUAUUAGCGGCGUUUAUACAUAAAACGCCGCAAAAGAUAGAAAAUAGCGGCGUUUUUUUAGAAAACGCCACAAAAUUUCAUUAUACAUUAGAGUAAAACGGCGUCGUUUCCUCUGAAUAGUAGUGGCUUUAGCGGCAUUUCUAUAAUAAACGCCACAACGCGUAUUAGAACGGCGUCGUUUUAUAGUGUAGAUAAAAUAGGUGUUAAUGGCGCUUCGCUGAAAACGCCGCAAAAGGUUUUAUUAGCGGCGCGUUGCUGAAAACGCCACAAAUUUUUCUUAUUUGAAACGGCGUCGUUUUUUCUCUCCUGAGGUUUAUGCCCUUUACCCGAAAUCGAUUUCAUUUUUUUCCUAAGUCACUUUCCCCCAUCUCGUCUUCCUUCCCCAAAUCCCUAAAACAAACACAUCUUUCUUUUUCCCCAAAUCAUCCCCUAAUUCCCUAAACCUGAAAUCCCUAACAUUUUCCCCAAGUCCCCUUUUUUUCCCUUAAUCUGUUCCCCCAUUCCCGAAAUCCCUUACUAUUUUCCCUUUCCUCUCGUCGACGGUCAGAUGCUUCAUGGGUUUGAAAUGGUUAGUUUUUUAGUCCCCUUUAGAUUAAUGUGUAGUUACUGUAUUACUUGGCUUUUAUUUUUUUUUGGAAUUAAGCUUAAUUGACUGAACUUGCUAUUUUGAACAACCACUUCCUUUCUUGAUAUGUAGUGUAUGCUGGAAUUUUCUUACGUCUUCUUCUCUUGUAGACUUUUCUGUCAUUCAUGUAAUUAAAUGUUAUUCAUGGAGAACUUGCAACUCAUUUUUAGCACAUUACCUCUGCUCUGAUUUGUUCAGUUGCUAUAGUAGUCUGGGAGUGAUUAUGCUCUGGCCAUGUUGCUUUGGCUUUUAAUUAUAUCCUCCGAUGGCAGCAUUGGAAAACUUUUCCUUUAUUUCCAAACAUAUUGCUCUUUAUCUCUCUCCUUCCAAUAAAGCAUCCAAAAACGUUGACCCACCACGGAUCUGCUGCUUUUUCUUGACCCUUUCAAAAUCCAUUCCAUUUAAUUCAAUUCCUCCCAAUUCUUUGUAAGUUUUUUAAUCGUUACAUUCGAUUUUUUUCUGAGAGAUCUUCACAAAGUUUCAAGCUUCUUAAGCAUUUCUUUGAUCUAGAAUGGAUAGUAAUUAUUCAGCUAUACCCAAAGGCUCAUUUGUAGAAUUACAAAUGCAUAAUGAACACCACGACUUUAGAUCCCAACAAAAAUCGCUCCUCUCUGAUGAUGGGAACCGGGUAAAUCAUCCCAAGGUUAUUGAUGAUUUUGAUGAUCUUAAUGAUGAUGAUGAUGUUGAUACUGAUGUUGAUGUUGAUCUCGAUGAUUAUACCCUUAUUUUAAGUAAACCCAAUACCGGGUCUGGUGUUUCUAGUGCUAUUUUUAACUGAACCACCACAAUUAUUGGUGCUGGAAUCAUGGCUUUACCUGCUACUAUGAAGGUUCUGGGGCUUGUUUUAGGGAUUCUCGAUCAGUGGUUAGGACUGGUUCGGUUCGUAAUGUCUGGGUGAUGUUAUGUCUGGUUCGGUUCGUCAUAUUGGGGUUCUCGAUCAGUGGUUAGGACUGGUUUUGGGGAUCAUAGGAAGUUAUUGGUUUUGGUUGUUAUGGUUGUUUUUCUUGCUCCACUUUGCGUGUUAGAUAGGAUUGAUUCAUUGAGCAUGACUUCGGCUGCUUCGGUAGCUCUCGCUGUUGUUUUCGUUGUGGUUUGCUUUGCUGUUGCAUUCAUUAAGUUUAUUGAAGGGAAGAUAGAGGCUCCAAGGAGGAGCCCAGAUUUUGGAUCGAAAAUGGAAAUUUUGGAUUUACUAGUAGUUAUCCCUAUUAUGACUAAUGCAUAUGUUUGCCAUUUCAAUGUUCAACCUAUAUACAAUGAGCUCCAAGGUGAUGUUUUGACCAAUUUUGAUAGGAAUCUGGGAAUUCGUUUUAGCACUGCUUUGAAUUAUAUUUGCUCUUCAUUUGGUUCUGGUUUUCCCUGUUAUUCACUUUUCUCUACGGCAAACUGUGGAUAACUUGGUGUUUGAGGGAUCAGCUCCUCUCACGGAGAGUAAAAAAAGGUUUUUGGCAUUAACAAUAAUAUUGUUAGUGCUUAUAUAUAUUGGAUCUACUAUGAUCCCAAAUAUAUGGACAGCUUUCAAAUUUACUGGAGCAACAACAACUUACUGUCUUUUAAUAUGUAUACAAUGUAACUUACUGUCUUUUAAUGGUAUUGAGCUUGGUCCUAUUUCUCCUGUUAAUGUUAUACCAAAUUGCUGGCUAUUUUUUUAAUCAUUUUAUUUGUUUAUUCCCACCUGUUAUUAUGCAAUAUAAUUAAUAUUAUACCAAUCAUUAAAUGUUGUUUAUUUUUAGAACUCAUUUGAUUGUUUUGUCGACCAGAAAUAGACUUUUGUUCUUCAAAUGCAAUGAGUAGGGAAGUCUCUCGAUAUUAUUAGAGAUCAAUCCCAAGCAUCUCUAAGUAAACCCUCAAGAAAACAUUUCCAUUUCAAUCAAGGUAACAUGUUUUUCCUAACAUUUAUGUUUCUUUCAACAUGUUUUUCCUUUUAUGUUUUCAAUGUUUAAUUAGCAUUUAAUUACAUUCCUAAAUUUUUAAUGUUUUCCUAACAUUUAAUUAACAUUUUAAUUACAUUCCUAAAUUUUUAAGCUUAUUUCAUCCACUCUUUUUUGUGUUUUGUCUCGAUUUGGCUUCCUUCGUUAAGUUUCCUGUAGAAGCUUACUUAUCUUUUAUUUUCAAGAAACAGAUUUAGGUAAUGAAGAUGUAUGCCUGUGUGUUUGUGUCUCUAUAUGUAUGUAUUUGGUACUAGAUGAAAGCUUUAUUCCAGUUUUGAAAUAUAGACCAAGUUUUACAUACAUUGAUCAAUUUCUGGUUCUUUUCCUUUGAAUACAUGGUUCUCUUGAUACUAAAUACUCAGGUACUUUCUGCAUAUUCUGUGAUUCUUAUUAGAUAAGUUAUAUAUCAACAGUUAUGUUAGUUUCCAUCAAGGCCUCUGUAAACAUAAAGUUGGUAUUCUGGUUAGGAGAAGUUAAUGUUUAUGAGUUUUGUGGAGUAUGAUUCUGCACAUGCAAAGUUGGUUUGUUUCAAUCUGUGCAUUUUCAUGUUUACAUAAUAAUGGUGAUUCCAUUUUGGUUAUUUAGAUGUUCUUUUGGUCUGUUUUCAUGUUUCUAUCCAACUUAUGUGUUUAGUGUGGACUUAGAUUGAUUUAAGAGUUUAAUAAUGUCUUGUUGCUCACGUUUUAUAUAAUAAAAUUGUUAUAUUUUGUUUGAAAAUACUUUUCAAUUUCUAAUUAUAAAAUGAGAUGCCGAUUGAAGGUAAUAAAUGCUAUGGUGAAGGAAGAAAAUGGCACUGAUAAUGGUAUUUAGAAUGGCAAGCUUAUAUUGGAUAUAGUAAAUUGCAGCAAGACUCAAUAUAUUAUGAUGUUUUUCAUGGUCAUUGGCAAAUUCCAGUUGAUUGGGGUUGAAGCAAUUGAUUUUAAUAUUUAAUAUUUAAUAUUUUUAAAUGUCUUUAAAAGUUAUAACUAUUUUUUAUCAAAAUAGUAUUAAUUAUUAUUUGAAGUAUGAAUAAGUAUGAAUAAGAACACGUGAUAAUCAGUGUCUUCUUGAGUAGUUCCUGUCAUCACAUCCUUAAGUUUCCUUUGUCCCAUUGAUGAUAAGUGUGCUUUCUAUACAGUGCAAUUUUGCCAGAUUUUGCUGAGGUGUACAGCUUCAUUUACUGCUUCCUGCUCCUCCUGCAAGUAUUGGUUCAACUGAAGCUACCAUUUAAUCUUUGAAUUAAAAUUUGGUACUGAUAUAGAUAAAGUUUUUAUAUUUGCUUAAACUGAAAUAUAUUUGGUGCUACUCUUAUAAUCUUACAUCUGUUCUAGGUACUAUCGAGCACCUGAAAUAAUAUUUGGUGCAACUAAAUACACCACAGCCAUUGACAUUUGUUCUAGGUACGUACAGGCCGUUUAGUUGCUAAAUUUUUUUCCUUAUUUCUAUGCAUUUUCACUUUAAAUUACUUAACAAAUAUUACUUUUUGGACUCCAGCCUCUGUUUGCUGGUGAGAGUGGAGUAGACCAGGUACGUUUUAUUAAGGUACGUUUUAAAUAUUUUAAAGAUUCAAAGUAUAUAGGCUGGAAACCUGACCUUAUAGUAUUAAUUAUUUGAAGUAUGAAUAAGUAUGAAUUAAUUUUAUUACCAUAUAUGUAGCUUGCUUGUCCAUUAUAAUUACAACAAUAGCUGACCUUCUCUCCAACCUUAUUUUAAAUAUUUUAAAGAUUCAAAGUAUAUAGGCUAGAAACCUGACAGGUUGCCUUAUAUCGAGCUGCAGGAUAUAAUGGAUCCUCCAUAGGUGUAACAACGCCACGUAUGAUGAAUCUUAAAAAAUUCAAAAAGAAUUGAAAAAAGUUCUAUCGCUAUUGAAUAUUUAUAUAACCUUAAUUUAUUUUCAAUUUACUUAUAAAAAUUAAACUACGAUUCUUUCUUGAUAUUAUUAUAUUCAAAUUACUAUUUUAUUAUAUUAAACAUGUUUGAUUUUAAUAUUUAAUAUUUUUAAAUGUCUUUAAAAGUUAUAACUAAUUUUUAUCAAAAUAGUAUUAUUAAUUAUUAUUUGAAGUAUGAAUAAGUAUGAAUAAGUUUUUAUAUUUUGGUUCAACUUAAGUAUUAUUUGAUUCAACUUAAGUAUGAAUUAAUUUUAUUACCAUAUAUGUAGCUUGCUUGUCCAUUCCUUAUUUUAAAUAUUUUAAAGAUUCAAAGUAUAUAGGCUGGAAACCUGACGGGUUGCCUUAUAUCGAGCUGCAAGAUAUAAUGGAUCCUCCCUAGGUGUAACAACGCCACGUAUGAUGAAUUUUAAAAAAUUCAAAAAGAAUUGAAAAAAGUUCUAUCGCUAUUGAAUAUUUAUAUAACCUUAAUUUAUUUCCAAUUUACUUAUAAAAAUUAAACUACGAUUCUUUCUUGAUAUUAUUAUAUUCAAAUUACUAUUUUAUUAUAUUAAACAUGUUUGAUUUUAAUAUUUAAUAUUUUUAAAUGUCUUUAAAAGUUAUAACUAAUUUUUAUCAAAAUAGUAUUAUUAAUUAUUAUUUGAAGUAUGAAUAAGUAUGAAUAAGUUUUUAUAUUUUGGUUCAACUUAAGUAUUAUUUGAUUCAACUUAAGUAUGAAUUAAUUUUAUUACCAUAUAUGUAGUUUGCUUGUCCAUUCCUUAUUUUAAAUAUUUUAAAGAUUCAAAGUAUAUAGGCUGGAAACCUGACGGGUUGCCUUAUAUCGAGCUGCAAGAUAUAAUGGAUCCUCCCUAGGUGUAACAACGCCACGUAUGAUAAAUCUUAAAAAAUUCAAAAAGAAUUAAAAAAAGUUCUAUCACUAUUGAAUAUUUAUAUAACCUUAAUUUAUUUCCAAUUUACUUAUAAAAAUUAAACUACAAUUCUUUCUUGAUAUUAUUAUAUUCAAAUUACUAUUUUAUUAUAUUAAACAUGUUUGAUUUUAAUAUUUAAUAUUUUUAAAUGUCUUUAAAAUUUUGUUAUAUUAAUAAGAUUUCCAAAAAAGUUCUAUGGAGCUUAUAAAUAAUUCUAUUGACCUUAAAAAAGAAUUAAAAAUUUUAACGACUGAAUGGCCAAUUAUAAAUUAUUUUAUCAACAUAACAUUAUUGAUCAUUGUUUAAAUAUAUUAUAACUAAUUUUUAUCAAAAUAGUAUUAAUAUUGAUCAUUACUUAAAUAAAUUACAUAACUCACAUAACGUACAUAACAACUUACAUAACUUAACUAAUACAUGUAGUUUAAUCUAAUAAUUUCCUUAAAAGCAUAUAGUUUAAAAGUUCAAAUUUCAUAACUUACAUAAUCUACAUAACUUACAUAAAACAUAAAUAUAUAUCAUAUCAAGACUUACAUAAUAAACAACUUACCCGUGAAACUUAUUGCCAACUUUAGACUUGAACAACUACGAAAUGGAUAGGACUUGGAUGAAUUUCUCAAGGGCAAGCAACGAGUAUCAAAAUGGAGUGCAAUCUUUUUUAGAUUUUGCAUUUCACAAUUCAAGCCAAGACAAUAUGAUUCUUUGCCCGUGUAAGAAGUGUGGCAAUAUCUAUUGGCAUUAUCGUGAAGUUGUCUACGAACAUCUAAUUGUUGAUGGCUUCAUUCGGGGGUAUAAAAAAUGGAUUUUCCAUGGAGAGUGUACAACUAGUGGAGCCUCUUCGACGAUUAAUCCGGGUUAUCCUUAUAGUGGUUACCGUCAGCAUGUUAGAGAAGAUGACAUGGAAGGUAUGAUGCGGGAUGCAUUUAAUAUGCGGAGUGAAAGUUUCCAAUCAUCUCCACCAAACUAUGUUGCAUCUGAUGAUUAUAAUAUCGGUGGGAAUACUUUUAUGGAAACGAGAAGAAGUGUACCGGAUGAACAACAGAAUGAAGAAGCGGCGAAGUUCUACACGUUACUUGGUGAAAUGAAUGAAGAACUUUAUAAGGGAUCAAAAUUUUUGAAAAUGUCUUUCUAUAUUCGCCUUUUCCACUUAAAAUGUUUGGGAGGGUGGACCGAAAACUCUUUGACAAUGCUGUUAGAGCUUUUGAGAGAAAUGUUCCCAUUUGCAAAAAUCCCUCAAUCAUGUAAAGACAUGAAGACAGUGAUAAAAGAUUUGGGCCUUGGGUACAACAAAAUUCAUAGUUGCCCAAAUGAUUGCAUGUUGUAUUGGGGUGAUCGGAGAAAUCAACAGUCUUGUCAUGUUUGCGGUAAAUCUCAUUGGAUGAAUAGAGAUGUAGAAGAUGUUAAUGAGGAUGAAUAUGGGCCACAGUCAAGAAGGAAGCCGAACAAGAUUUUGCGAUAUUUUCCGCUAAUCCCAAGGAUUCAAAGGCUAUUCAUGUCGUCAAAGACAGCUGAGUUUAUGACGUGGCAUCAUGAUCAACGAACGAAUGAUGGAUUAUUAAGGCAUCCUGUAGAUUCUUUUGCAUGGAAAUCAUUUCACAAUAAAUUUCCAAGCUUUGCAAGUGAUCCUCGGAGUGUAAGGCUCGGGUUAGCAUCUGACGAAUUUAAUCCUUUUAAAAUCAUGAGCACCUCGUACAGUACUUGGCCUGUGGUCAUUAUUCCUUAUAAUUUGCCUCCAUGGCUCUGCAUGAAGCAAUCUUAUUUGAUAUUAUCUAUGAUUAUCCCCGGAGAGAAAGGCCCCGGAAAUGAUAUUGACAUAUAUCUGCAGCCACUUAUUGAAGAGUUAAAACAAUUAUGGGCUGGUUUGAGACAUAUGAUGUAUUGAGAAAAGAGAACUUUUACCUACAUGCUGCUUUGAUGUGGACAACUAAUGAUUUCUUGGCAUAUGCGAAUUUAUCGGGUUGGAGUACCAAAGGACGUUAUGCUUGUCCUUGUUGUGCUGCUCAAACGUGUUCACAGUGGUUAUAUAAUGGGAAGAAGUUCUGCUAUAUGGGGCAUCGUCGGUGGUUAGAUGAAAAUCAUAGAUAUAGAUUUCAGAAGGCUUUAUUUGACAGUACUGAAGAGUUGAAAAAAGCUCCUGAGCAGACCAUUAGAUCUGAAAUCUUAUUCAUGUUAAAAGAUAUGGAUUUCAGUUACGGGAAGCUGAAUCAACCAUCUAACAGGUAAACAAAUAGACGAUCGAGGGAUGAAUCUGAUGAUGAAUCUGACGAGGAGGAUGACCCUAAUGAGGCGGCCUUGUGGAAGAAAAGAAGUAUUUGUUUUGAGUUGCCUUAUUGGGAGCAUCACAUAUUACGCCACAAUCUUGAUGUGAUGCAUAUUGAGAAGAAUGUCUAGAGAACAUCAUCCGGAUAAUUUUGAACAUCGAUGGUAAAUCAAAAGAUAAUCUUCAAAGUCGACUUGAUUUAGUUCACAUGGGAAUUAGGCGUGAUCUUCAUCCCCAAGUACUUCCUAAUGGAAAAUAUUGGUUGCCGCCUACAAUUUUUACAAUGUCAAAGGAAGAGAAAGAAAUGUUCUGCACGGUGUUGAAGGAUAUAAAGGUUCUGGAUGCGUAUUCAUCAAAUAUAUCUCGAUGUGUAAGUCUUAAAGAUCAAAGACUAUAUUCAUUAAAAUCACAUGACUAUCACAUCCUGAUGCAAGAUCUACUUCCAGUUGCUUUACGGUGCUGUAUGUCAAAGAAGGUAACGUCCUGUAUAAUUGAGCUAUCCAAUAUAAUGAAAGCAGUUUGUGGCAAAGUUCUGAAUGUUGAAGAACUUGAAAAAGUACAAGAUCGAGCCGCUUUGACAUUAUGCAAUUUGGAGAAGAUCUUUCCACCUUCUUUCUUCACUAUUAUGGUUCACCUUGUCAUUCAUCUCCCUCGUGAAGCAAUAAUUGGUGGGCCGGUUUUCUAUCGUUGGAUGUAUCCAAUUGAAAGGUGCUAAUUUAUUUCAAAGGCAUUCACCUUUAUACCUAUAGUUUCCAGUUUCGAUAAUGUUGUAUAUGGUGUUUAGGUUCCUAAGCAAAUUGAAGUCUUAUUGCCGUAACAAGCGUUAUCUGGAAGGAUCAAUUGCUGAAGGCUACUUGGCAGAGGAGUGUAUGACAUUCUGUUCUAGAUAUUUAGAUGUUGAAACAAGAUUGAAUAGUCCAAGUAGAAAUGCCGGACUCAAUGAUCCUAACUUGGACAAAACUUAUUUAUUUCAAAGUUAUGGAGAACCAAUCGGCAAAGUUGAAAUUGUAGAAUUAGAUGACCGAUCUUGGAUACAAGCACAUAGAUAUGUUCUUUUCCACCACGAUGCACUUGAACAAUUACUCAAGUAAGUUCUAGAAUAUGAUAAAUAUUAUUCUUUUUUUAUUUGUUUAUUUUUUAACGACUUAAACAUGUGUUUAACAUAGUGAGUACAAACAAAUCUUAAGAUCUCGUCCACGCUCACGAAGAUUACAACAUCGCGAGAUUAAUAGGUUAUUCGCAGAAUCUUUUCAUGAAUGGUUAAGCCAAAUGGUAUGCAACUCAACAUUUUGUUGACAAAUAAUAAUGUUUUCUCAUAACAUUUAUAAUUACUCAAUUUACUUUCGAUUCAAUAGGUUUGGAGUUGGAAUAUCGUUAAUGAUGAAGUUAAAUGGCUUUCCCAAGGUCCGAAUCGAGUAGUAAAAAGAUAUAGUGGCUUCAUCAUGAAUGGAUUCAGAUUUCAUACCAAAUAUCGCGAGAGAUUGAGGAGAACUCAAAAUUGUGGAGUAGUUGUUAAUUCUUUAAUUACAAGUUACGCUAGUGCUAGGGACAGUACUCCUGUCAAGGGAAAUGUGGAGUAUUAUGGACUUCUAACCGACAUUAUUAAGUUGGAUUAUUAUGGAAAAUGGAAAGUUGUCUUAUUUCGAUGUGAUUGGGCUGAUGCUAAUACUGCUCACGGAAUUAAAAAUGAUCAGUUUGGUUUUACAAUGGUGAAUUUCUCUCGAUUAAUUCACACUGGAGAACAUUUGAUAGACGAGCCGUAUGUAUUUUCUUCUCAAGUUAAACAAGUUUUUUACUCGAAAGAUCCAAUUGAUGAGGGUUGGUACGUUGUACUCCGAAACACCCCUAGAGACUUGUUUGACAUGGGGAAUGGAAGUAGAGAUGACAUCGGUGAAAGAUCAGAAACUUUGCCUUUUCCAGAACAAGACUUAGAUGAAAAUAUCCCUAGUACUAGUACACAAUUUCAAUGGGUUCAUCAGGAUGUAGACGAAGAUAUUUACGAUUUAUGAUGUAGUAAGAUUUUAUGAUUUUUUAUUUAUAUGUAAUGUUACAAUAUUAACAUUGGUCAUGUUAUAUAAUUUAACUAUUUUAUAUUUACUAUUGUUGUUAUUUCUUACUAAAAUUUUAUCUAUUUUAUGUGUUGUAGGAAAAAUGCCUAGAAGAAGAUUAAGAGAUCUUAGUAUUGUACAGAAUACUACAAAUUUGGAAGAAGUAAGUACUGAACAGCAGACAGUUGUUGGAUCUUCAAGCGUGCCGGAGACACUUGACGAGUCUGUGGAAAUUCAAAGUAAUGUUAAGUUUAUUUUACAAAUUGUAUUAAAUUUUAUUAUUAAUUUAUUUUUAAAUUUCAAUAUAGUAAUAAUUUAUUAUUUUUCAGCUGAAAAUGGUGGGACGCGCAGAGGUCGAGGACGUACGCUCCUAACAGAUUUAUAUAACUUAAAUUCUGUCGAGCGUGUCAAAGUAACUAGAAACAGCCAUGGUCAGCCUGUUGGACAAGAAGCUCGACUUUUAGCAGGCUAUUUGGGCAUUAUAGCACGAAAUGCCAAUAUGUUGCCCAUCAACUACGAAUCAUGGCAUAACAUGCCUGAUAGCAAUAAAAAUCAAGCUCUCUUUAAUAUUAAGGUAACAAAACGUUAAUGUAAUUAUAAUACUUUUGUUUAAGUUUCAUUUAUAUUUACUUCCUAAACUCGUGUUUUUUAGGAUAGGUUUGCUUUAGAGGUCUCUGAUGCCUAUAUCAAGAAGGCAUUGGGUAAAAAAUGGAGAGACAAUAAAAGCAUUUUGAAAAAAGAAUAUUUUAAAAAACCCAUAAGCCUCGAAGAAAAAUUGCAAAAUGUCCCACCGGGAAUGCUGAGGUACCAAUGGGAAGAUGCAGUUCGAUUUUGGAAUUCGAAGAAAGGAGAGGUAUUAUGUACUUGCAAACUCUUAUAAAUUUUUCGGUUUAUAGUAUUUACUAUAUACGUAAGAAUAAUUUCAUUAUGUAGGACCGUGAGCGAGUUGGAACAAGCAGCAGGCAAAAACAAAAAUUUACGCACACGGCAGGGUCGAAAAGUUUUGCUUGUGUAGCUCAGGCCGAGGUACUAUGGAUUUAUUAAAUCUAUCAAGUAUUAAUAACUUUUUACUAUUAAAUAAUAUUUUUACUACUAUAUUUUAGGAAGCCUCGUUUGGUCAAAAAGUUGGACGCCUUCAACUUUUUGACAUUACGCACAGGAAAAAAGAUGGAACUCCGAUGUCAUCUGAGGCUGCAGAAAUUAUGGUAUAUUUACUUAAUAAAAAUUGAUCCAUUAUAAAUAUUUAUAAUAUUUAAUUAUAAUGUUUUAAUUCGUCGUUUUUAUUAGUGUAAUUUAAAUAAUGUUAUGUUGUAUUCCUUUUUAUUGUAUAUUUCGUUUCUAACUCUUUAACUGAUUUAUUAGGAGAAACUAAAAGAUAAGAAGGCAGCGUAUGAAGCGACUGCUUCGACUGAUAGUUCUGUUAAUUUUGAGGAUAUUGAUAACAGAAUUAUUAAGGAAGUUUUGGGUCCUGAAAGGUAUGGUCGGGUUAGAUUUCAAGGAUCUGGUGUUAACCCGACCCAAUAUUUUGGAUCCACCUUGCACCAAUACAUGCCUUCCGGGAGUCAAAGUCAAGCUGAAGUUCAGAGGUUAAAAGAUCAGAUAGUUCAGAUACAAGCUAGCACAGAUGAGUAAAUUUCUCAACUUAGAGCGGAGGCAGCAGCGAGGGAGGCGGAGCAGAACAGGAAAUAUAAUGAACUCCAGCAGCAGCUUCAGUCUAUGAUGACUAUGUUCCACCAAUUUCAAAAUCCGCCAUCAUAGACAUGUUUUCUUGUAACUUUUAACAUUAUUUUAAGAAUAUUUUGAAUAUUCAUUUCCAAUUUAUAUAAUAUAUUUUUCGUAUAAUUUUGUAUUAUUUAAAUUUGCGUGUUUUGGUUGGGUUGGAUUUCAUGGUAUAUUUGCUGUUUUUUAUUGAAUUUCUUGCAGGAGGGUUGGAUAUAGGUGUAAAAAUACAUAUUGCAAAACUGGGUAAAUUAGCGGCGUUUUUUAUAAAAGCGCCGCUAAAGUUCUUGGUCUAUAGCGGCGUUUUUUAUAAAAGCGCCGCUAAAGUUCUUGGUCUAUAGCAGUGUUUUUUAAAAAAGCGCCGCUAAAGGUCCUGGUCUUUACCGGCGCUUUUAUAAAAAAUGCCGCUAAAGGUCCUGGUCUUUAGAAGAAAACGCCGUGAACUUUUGUGGCGCUGCAUAUGGCGAUGUUUUUUGCGGCGCUUGGGAAAGCGCCGCUAAAAGUAUUAGCGGCGCUUAGAAACGCCGCUAAAGGCAAAAAAAAACGCCGCUAAAAGUCUGUUUUCCUGUAGUGUUAAAAUUUAUACAAUCUUAUCUCUACAGGAUAUACACUAUUUACCCAGUAACUUUAAUUUUACUAGAUUGUUUUACUAGGCCACCAAGGUCUUAAGUAGAUGAGCUUCACCAUAGAUUCCACGAAUUGAGCCACUUUAUGUGGGUCAAAUGAGUCUGAUUUAAUAAGUUGACUUGUAUAAAUCGUUUUGAGCGUAAUGGUUACAAGCUUUAAUCCAUGACCCAUAACAAAAAUACAUCUUCCCAUCUCACCAAAUUUAGUAUUUUACUUUAAUUUUUGGAAUUUAAUCCCAAUACUCGAAAGGUUUUAAAAUUAAAAUAAAAUUGACUACACUUUUAUUAAAUUUCUAUUGAUUUUAAAUAUACAACAUUUUAAUAUUUAAAUGUUUGAUUUAAAUAAUAAAAAUGAAGUGGUAACACAUAUUUAAAUUUAAGAUAUAUAUCAAUUAAAAGUGUUUUCGCUUAAAUUUUAUUUAUUAAAAUAAAAAAAAUUGAGGGACUACAUUCUUAAAUUUAAAAACAAGUAAAAGAGAUUAAAUUUUUAAAAUUAAAAGUAAAAAAAAAAACUAAAUUUUAAAAUUUUAAAAGUAUAAGAAUUGACAGGAAAUUAUGCCUUUUUUUUCUCCCAUUCUCUCCAGCCCAAACGAGAAAAACGACCCUGCUAACGUGUCAUUUGAAAGCUACACUUCUAUAAUACUGUUAUUAUUCUCUUUAUAUAUAUAUACAUAGUGCUAGAUAAUAAAAUUUCCUUUGCACUAAAUUCAAUUCUAGCUUUAGACGGAUAAUUAAUCUAAUGUUUGAACCAUGAAACAAUAAAAUCACACAUAUUUUUUAAUUCAAUAUUUGUUAAUUCUUUUGUUUAAGAGAUAAAAGCUCAUUCAUUUCACAACCUCGUUUUUGCAUCAAAAUUGAAAAAAAACCUUUUGGUUUAGUGUUGGAUGACAUACAAUUGGUGAACUGGUAUGAUCUGUAAUUAUCAUAUUCGAUUCACCGAAGAACAUGGUAUGACUAAUUGAGUGAUUGAUUAGAUCCUUUACUCAAUUUCAAUUCAUCAUACUAUAGACCUUUUAUGUUACCUAUUAAUAUAAGUUGUUUUUUACAUUAUGAUCCAACCACAUAAUCCAACUUAGUAUUAGUUAAAUACUAAGUAAUUAGUUAGUCAAUAUUUAGUUACAUUUUUCUUCGCGUGCAAAAACUAUUAAGGAUAAAUACAAAUGAUAUUAAUAUAAAUGAUAAAAUUUUAUUAAAUCAAUUUGUUCGAAAAAUUACAAGUACAAAUGAUUAGAGCACUAGAUCUUAACAAUUCCCUUUCUCUCGUUAUUUAGUAAAAGAUACCCAUUGUUUCUUUUGCUUUUGUUAUUAAACAGACUUUUCAACUUGGAAAAAAAAAACUUCAUUGAUUUUUUUCUUUAUUAUAAUCAAAUCUAUCUCUAUUUUUGCCUUAAUAAUAAAAAUAAUUGAGAGAAAUUUAUUUGCAUGAAGAGAUUUUCAUCUCAAUUUUUGUUUUCGUAAAAAGAUUUGGGUGUUAAAAAAGUUGAAAGAUUCUAAAAAAGUAUUCUUUGAGUGUUGAUUUUGAUUUGAAAGAAAGAAAAGAAGAAUAGUUUUGAAAACUAUUUUUGAGUUUAAUCACUAGAUUUUAAAAGAGAAAAGAAAAAAAGAAUGAAGUUUUGAAGGAAAAUUAAAAGAAUUAAAAAAAACUUUGUUUUAAAAAAUAUCAAAUUUAGGUAAUUGGAAUUUGGAAAUUUUGAGUUUUCUUGUAAAGGAUUUGAAUUUAUUAGACCACAACAACAUGAAAUUUUGGUAUCACAUUAUAUAUAUUGGUAUUUCGUUAGAAAUGUUUGUAUCCAGUAAAAAAUUAAAGUAUUCGUUAAAUUUUUUUUUGAUAUUUGAUGAAAGAUUUUAGUAUUCGUUCGAAUUUUUUUGUCCCUGUUAAAGAUUUUGACAUUCGGUUAGAAAAUUUGGUGUUUGUUAGAAAUUUCAAUAUUUGUUAAGAGAUUUUGAUAUUUCGUUACAAAUUUUGGUAUCCAUUAGAGAUUUUUGGUUAUAAAUUUUAGUAUUUGCUUAGAGAUUUUGGUAUUCAUUAGAUAUUUGGUAUCAGAUUAAAAAUAUUGUUAUAUGUUAGAAAUUUUGAUAUAGACUAUGGUCCUUAUAGACAGGUGAUAAAAGAAAAUUUUUGAUAUAUCAAAAUAUCUAAAGAUAUCCCUUAUAAAUUUUGGUAUGUAUUAAAAAUAUUGGUAUAACAUUAGACAUUAUGAAGUGUUUAAAAAUCUAAUGAUUUUCAUUAAAAAAUUGGGUAUUAAUUUGAUAAAAUCUUGAAAAGGUUGUGAGGAAAAUAUCAGUAUAAUUUAUAAUUUUAUAAAAUGAUGAAGGGAUUUUGAUGUUUAGUCAAUUUUAAUCCAGCCCAAAAUAGAAAAUGGAAGAAUUGGGCCAAAUCGCUGGGCUAUAUUAUUUCACUUUGAACUGAUUAGCUUGUCUUCCAUGACCUGGGGGCACUUCAAUUUCAAUUUCAAUUCCAGACAACUAAAACACAGAGAAAAUGGAGAUUCUUUAUGCAGUGUCUCCUUGCAGCUACGUCCCUCGCUGUCUCCUUGUAAAGGUAAUAUGUUACCCUUUCCAUUCUUCUUCUUUCUCCAUUGUGUGCGUCUAUGAAUCAUAUAAGUUGUUGCCAACUGAGUGAAUAAAAAAAAUGAGGGUUUCCAAAGGGAAAUGCAAAUCAAGCUCCUUCAAAGCUCAAACAUGUCGAACAAGUUAAAAUACCGCAUUCCAAGAACUUGUUUACACCUCUUGUUGCUGCAUUCGUCGCCUUAUCUCCCAUCUGCAACACCCCAGGUACGCAAUCCCACACAAUUCAUUGCUCUCACUUUAAUUGAAAUUACCUUAUUCAUUGCUUAAAACUAUCGUGAUUCUGAUUGUCGAGUAGCAUUUUCGCUUAGUUAAUGUCAUAUCUUUCUCAUGGAUGCAGCUUUUGCACAAAGCGUAGAUAUACAGAGAGGGGCCACAUUGUUUGGACAGGCCUGUAUUGGAUGUCAUGAUGGAGGUGGAAACAUAAUUCAACCAGUGAGACACUUUUUUGUAUUUCAUCGACUAUAGAUGAUCAUUGUUUCUAUUAUUUCCUCUCUAAUCCACCCUUCCAUGUUCAUUUUAGGGUGCAACACUCUUUACAAAGGACCUAGAAAGGUAAUAUGUACUUCUUGAAUUAGAUAUUUUCAAAGCUUAUUUGAUUGAAUGACUGUCCUACAGGAAUGGGGUUGUCACUGAAGACGAUAUAUACCGUAUCACAUACUAUGGCAAGGGAAGAAUGCCUGUAAGAAUUUACAUAGAAAUUUGAGAUCCUCCCUGCUGUAUCUAUCAUUUUUAUGAUGAUUUGUGUGGUUUGUUUGAAGGGGUUUGGCGAGAGCUGCACGCCGAGGGGACAAUGCACAUUUGGACCACGUUUGAAGGAAGAUGAAAUCAAGCUCUUGGCUGAGUUUGUGAAGUUACAGGCUAAUCAAGGGUGGCCAAAUGUAGCAAGUAAUGGGGAUUGAUUUCUUGUUUUACCUCUAACUAUUCAAACAGAUAGAUAUACAUCCAUUCAUGUUUAAGGCUUGAUCUGGAAUCUAUAAAUGUAAUUGGAGGAAACUGUUAUUAUUAGAUAGUAAUUAGGUCCUCUUGUAAUCAUAAGCAAUUCUAGUUCUCUAAUAUAAUAUAAUUACAUCAUAAUUAAACAAUCAUAUAAUUUUAAACUCUAAAAAGAUAUUAAUAAUACUUGAGAAAAAAAUUCUUUAAACAAUAAAACUUAAAAUCAAAUCGUCGAAUGCAAUAUGUUAGUGCAAGAAUGCCGAUAAAAAAAAAGAAAAAAAAUCAUAUAUAAUUUUAUCUAAUUAUUUUAGCAUUCAGUAAUAAUUAACUAUAAAUACUAUAUAACUUAAUUAAAUAUUUAGUAGGUCAAAAUGUCUCUCAUCAAUAAAAAAUAUUAGAUUAUAUAAACAAAAUUAGUAAAUAACAUAUAAUUAUAUGUUAAAAAUAAAAUAAACGUCAUAAUGGUUUUUUGGUACAUGGCAAAUAAGUCUAGAGCAAAUGAAGAUGAUGGCCAUGAGAAAUAAAUGAUAGUCCUUGAAGCGUACUUUGCCUGGCUACUUGUCUACUUUUUGAUUUGUUAUUUGUGGCUGCUCUCUUAAACAAUCUUGAUUGCGUUUCGGAUUUUUAGACGUCCUGGAAGGUUGGGAAAAGUCUCCACCCCACCUUUGAUUUGUUAAGAAUAAUGUUAGUGCACUUCCAAUUUCUUAAGGAAAGUCAAGAUAAGAUACCGUGAUUUUUAAGAGAAACAUGGAGGAUCAAAUUUCUGGCCUCUAGUUACGAAGUGGUUUUGUGACUUUUGACCGAGAUGAAACACGUCAUUGUCAUUUCGGAUGAUAGCACCUCCAGUGAGGUUACUAUUUGGAUUUCUGCAUCUAUGGAGACAAAAGUCCACACAGCGGGAUUCCAAUUUCCAAGGUUCUUGUUGAAAGGGUGGGGGAAUGCUACAUCUAGGAGGAGAGGAUAGAGAGAUUCAUGUCAUUGAGCCUGAUUAUGACGCCUAGUGGAUUAGGAGGAGUUUUGUUGAAUAUGAGUUUAUUUCUUCACGACGGGGGUGAUAUUGCUGAUCCUAAGAGAGGAGGGAGAUCCAAACUAGCUAGCUUCGGCGAAGUCACGUUGGACAAAAAGGUCUUCCAUGGAUUCAACUUCCUUUUGACAUAGAGGGCAUGGACCAUUAACUCAUAUAUUUCCUUUCAAAAGGAUCUCCUUAACAACAAGGCAAUUGAUACAAAUCUUUCAGAGGAACAUAAUCAGAUUGAAAGGGUAAUCUAGUUUGAAUGAAUCUCCUAAAAACCUGUGGAUUUAUGGUAUUUAUGUUAGAUGUAAUGUCUUAAGUGUAGUAUAUUCAUUUUUAUAUUUGUAAUUUUUUUUGAACAAGUUUAAUAAAAUUAUUAAUGAAUUAUAUUAAUACCAUUUGUAUAUUAUCCUCAAUAGUUUUUGCAUUCAAAGCAAAAUAAAAAUAAAUAUUAGCUCAUUGAUUAUCUAAUGUUUAACUAAUACUAUGUGGUAUUAUAUAGAUGAAUUAUAACACAAAACAACAACUUAUAUUAGUAAAUGAACCUAAACAUGUCCUUAUUCUAAUUGGAAAUGAGUAAAUCGAUUGAAAGACUAAUAUGUCGUCUAUUAAAUCUAAUCGGGGAUAUGUUUUGUCUUGGAUAUCAAAGUGAAUGACUUCCAAAAGACAAAUUAGGGAAUUAAUCCAUCAAACACAAUUUUAAUAUUCAAUUUUCUUUGUAUUUUCUUUUUAUGUUCGUUCAGUCGGAACUUUUCUAUUCCAAUGUAAAGACACUUGCGAGCAGAGAUUGCUCCGAAUCUACACUUCAAUAUAUAUUCAUUAGUAUUCUCUUUACUCUUUUCUUCUCUUCUUUUAUUUAUAUUUCAUUGAUUUAUCUAAUUAAUCGUUGUAUGAAUAUUAGAACAAAUUAUUGUGCUUUAUUUAUAUCUUGCAUGAUUCAAUUAUUAAACUGAUUUAUUUGUUAAGUAAUUAUUUAUCCGAAAUUGAUUGUUUAUCUAAAGGUACUUAGUAUAUUAGGGAGUGAUGCCCCUUAUAGAAUAUCGAGGCAGGUGAGAGUAGAAGGGUAUCCUGUUGCGUAGAACUUGUGUCAAGCGGUGAGACCGGGGGGGUAUCCGUAUGCCUAGGAAGAGACCGAAAGGGCGACUUAGGUGGUAAUCCUUAGUGAAGAUGAGACUAGAAGGGUAUUUUUAACUAAGGGUAAUAAAUAACUCAAUCGAGGAUAAUUAGUUAUUUAAUUAGAUAAUUAGGGAUAUAAUCGAUCAUAGGCUAGAGGUUUGCAUUGUUAACACUAGGAUUAUGAAAGUCCAUUAGGUUAACUUAGGUUUAGUGAUUUAAUUAGUUUAAUAAAUACUUUCAUUUGGAUUCGCACUACUAAUUCGUGACUCGAUUAAAUUAGUAAUUAAUUUCUAUAAUUGAUUUAAUAAUAAUUUAUCCAAUCUACAAUCCCUUGGGUACAAUCAUUGGAAUACUUACCGGCGUUUCAUUGUAAACUUUACCAUAUUACAAUUUGACCCGUACGCUUGUAGACACUACUGAUUUAAUUUUAUAUAUUUUUUGGUGUGAUAUUUAUACUAUAAACAUUAACACGUUUAUAGGCGGUCGCUUUACAUGAUAGAUGAAAAGUAAAUGUGGCCAAAGAGUCAUUUGUCUUUGUGAUAAAUAACUUGAUUACCAUUGCUAAUUAUUUACUUUCAUGAAAAAAGAUGUAAUUGUUACUGUAAGAUAAAAUAGGAUCAAAUUGGGAGAAUGGAUUUAUCCCAAAGGGAUUCAGGAUAUCUUAUGAGGGCAACAACUUAUGAAAAGGUCAUUGGAUGAGCAUUUACUAAGUAGCUUUCGUAACGGUACAUAAUAAGGGAGAACUCAACAUAUUACUUUAGUGUAAUGACUUUGAGACUAAAUAAGUUUAUAAUUAAUAGGCGAAAAGUAAGAACUUAAUCAUAAAUUUGAGCGUUACUUAUAUUUUUCCAAUCGGUCCUUCUGUCAGCUCGUUGAAACCAGAAAUGUCCAAUCGGUCCAAUCAGUGAGAGCUUCUCUCGUUUCUUUAGCUAAAACAAUAAAACAACCUUUUAAAACAUAAAAAAAUGACCAAAACUUUACAAUAUAGCAAGAAUCUGUAGACAUGAAAACAAUCUUUGGAUAGAAGUUUCCUUCUUAUCCAAUAUUAAAAGAAAUUCUACUGAACCUCUCUUACACUAGCUUCCAUCUACCUUGUAAUAUCCUGAAAUAAUAAUUUUAUAAUUAUUUUGAUGAUUAUGAUGUGAUUGCAUGAUUGUGUGAAAAUUUCGUGAUGAAAUUCUAUGCCUAAAGUGCUUAAAUUGAAAGUAGGGACUAAAUCGAAUAAGUUGCAAAACUUGCAUUCUAGAAGUUUUUAGUAUGAAAUUGUUUUGGAAUAUUAAUGAGGAGGUCUUAAAUAGCAAUUUGACCAAUUUUAAGUUCAUGGACAAAAUUAGGACAUGGAAGGAAUUUUUGGAAAGUUUAGUAGUAAGGGUAUUUUGGUCAUUAGUUAUUAAAAUGAAUUAAAAACAAAAUUAAAAGCCAAUUUUUGUCCAUCUUCUUCAUUAGGCCGAAAUUUCAAGGGUUCUCCAUAGCUAGGGUUUGUUUCAAGCUUCCAAGCUCCAUAGUAAGUGAUUCCAAGCCCCGUUUUUAAUGUUCUUUACGUUUUUAGAAUCCCGGUAGCUCGAUUAAGCUUAUGUUAGCAAUAAUUCAACCUAGGGUUUAUAUUUGGAAAAAUACCCAUAGGUGAAAUUUGUGUAUUUUGAUGUUUUAUGAUAGAAUAUGAGGUUUUAAAUUAUGUUAGACAACUUGUGCUACUCGGUUUUGAGUGAAAACGAGUAAAAGGGCUUAAUCGACAAAAAUACCUAAUAGUCACAAGUAUAUGUUAGAGAGAGAAUUUGAUGUUGCCAUAGAAGGGAAAAAUGAUCAGCAUGUUAUAAAACGUAAAAAUAAGGAAUAAAGUUUAAUUCCCGAGCCUAGGGGCAAAAGUGUAAUUAUGCAAAAGUUUAGGGGCAAAAGUGUAAUUUUUACAAAGUUCGUAUUAAAUGCUAUUUUGAUGAAUGUAUGUAUUAAAUAAGAUUAAUUUGGUAUUAUAGAUCAAGAAAAACUAGAUUCAAGUCGCGAUCGAGGAAAAGAAAAGAUUGUGGACUAAAUUUCAAAAUCUUUAUAUUUUGGUACCAAGGUAAGUUCAUGUGUAAAUGUAGUAACAUAAUUGUCAUUUUAAGCAAUUUAAUGUUGUUUAUAUGAUAUGAUGCUGAUUAUUAUCAUGAAAUAUUAUGCUUUGUGGUUAUUGUUGAAUAAUAUGUAAUUAUGUGAAUUACUUGAUGAGUAUGAACUAUCACCGAAGUACCGAUUUCGAUAUUCCAUGGAAGACGACAAAGAUGUGUGAUCGAGGAAAAUGCUCGUUUGAACCUUAGGAAUAGAUUAGGAUACAAGUGACAUGUCACUAGGAUGGUUGAGCAUCCGAACUCGUUGAGUUGAGUCCGAGUUCACUUAUGGAUGCGAAUGUCCGAACUCGUUGAGUUGAGUCCGAGUUCGUGAGAUGUAACUAGGCAUCUGAACUCGUUGAGUUGAGUCCGAGUUCAUUUAUGGAUGCGAACGCCCGAGCUCGUUGAGUUGAGUCCGAGUUCACUUAGGGGCGGGUUACAUGAUUUCUUGAUUAUAUAUGUGGCACUUAUGUGCAAAUUAUCCAUGUAUCCGAGUUAUAUUCCGAUGUGUUCAACGGGUGAAAUUUCUAGUGAAAUGGAAGAACACUUAAGAUGCAAGCGACGUUUUGGUAAGUGUUGUGAAAUGGACACUUUGGACAGGUAUGUUCUUAACCCUCGGGUUGAAAAUAGAUACAACAACGAUAAGGUGGUAAGAUGAGGAAUGAUGUUUAGAAAUGUGAUAUAUGUUUUGGUGAUACCAUGCUAAAGUUGUUUGGUAUAUUUGUAUUGUUAUGUUACUUGUUAUUUACAUAUGAACUUACUAAGCAUUUAUGCUUACUCCCUCCUCUUUAUUUACUGUAGUUUUGAACAAGCCAGCUCGGGAAUCGGGACGGUUCGAAGGUUCGAUCACACUAUCCAAAGGACUUUCAUCUGGGUAAAUGGCUUGUAAAACUUAAGUAUGGCAUGUAUAGCAAUAUACUUAUUUUGUGUAAAUAAUUUUAUGAUAUGACCAUGUUUGGUUGAGAAAAUGUUUGAUAUUGAUAAGUCAUGGUGAUGGCUAAUUUAGAUCAUGUUUGAUAUUAUGGAAGUUUAAUAGGUUAUCUAGUUUAUAAAAAUUCAUGGAAAGAUGAAACUUGCCUUAAAACAGAAUAUUGCUGCAGCAAUGACAUGAAUUUGAAAAAUCACUAAAAAUUUUAUAAAUGGAAAUAAAUGAUGAGUAAGUUAUGAAAUUGAAGCUUAAUGAGUCUAUUUUCAUGUGGAUUGAACAAAACAGGCAUAUAAAUUAUAUUUUAUGAGAUAUUUAAACUUUUGUGAAAUAGGGCCAGAGUGAUUUCUGGAUCCCCUGUUCUGACUUUAAAAAUUCAUAAUAAAUUUUAAAAAAAUAAUUAGAAGUUUUUAUUUAUAUUUACAGGUUAUUUAUUGAGUCUAGUUUUAAUAGAAACAAACCUCAUAGUCAUUUAAUUUCUGUAUAGAGAAAUAUCUGAUUCGUAAUACACAGAGGUCAGAACAGUCAAACCCUGAAACAGGGGAGACUUUAACUAAUAAACUGUACUAAUUGGCCCAACCAAAAAUUCUAGAAAAAAAUUAGUAAAUAGAUAUAUGAGUCUAGAUUUAGGGAAAAUUUACAUAUCUAGAUUUCGAGUUUCGUAACUCGAGAUAUAAUUUUUCUUGUAACUAUGAUGCGGGUAGUUAGAAAGCUGUGAAUGUAGAAAUAAAUGAUUUGAAGUUCUUAAUUUGAUAAAUAUUGUUCGGUAACCCCUCAAGCUCGACUCCGGCAAUGGUCUCGGGCGUGGGGGCGUUACAUACCUGGUAAAGCUUAAAGGAAAGUUUAAGAAUUUACUAGCAGAUAAUUAGCACAGAAGCUCUCAUAAGCUUUAACAACCAACACAUUCGUUAGAAAAGAAGAACUCUCCUGGUUUCUUUGAUGAUAACAAAGUUUGGCAGAGAAGAUGAAUCAGAUAUAUUUUCUCCACUAUCACGCUACCCUAUUUAUAGAUAACUUACAUCCGAAUCCUAGUCAAGAUUACCUCUAAUCAUUACUUGCUCUCGCACGCUUUCACUAAUUAAUCACAUCCUACGAGGUUCUCCAAGUGUCCUAGUGUCCUAAUUACUUACAAGUUACCUCCACUAGGAUGCUACGUGACUUAGACGUGUUCUACAAGCUUCGAUACUUACUUUAGCAAUGACACAAAAACACAGGUGGCGGUUUUAUUAGCGAGAAGAUCCGCUUUAUACGGUCUACACCACAAUCAAGAACUUGCCACACCAUGAAGUGGAACUCCGUUGUAUGGUGACGUUCUACGAUUCACUCUACCAUGGGUUACUAUCAUCAUUUGAUCUAAGCCUCGCAACUUAAGCGGUCUUUACAGGUGUAAUCUCCCAAACUGGACCAACUCGCCAACUAGGGUCUGAUAGAAAUGAUGAAGUAAUAGAAAUAGAUCGUGUAACACUCCUCACCCGUAUUCAACUUCAGAAUAGGGUUACGGAGCAUUAUCGAACAUAUAAUAUAAUUAAACAUACAUUUUUAAGUUUCAAAAUAAUCAUCAUCCAUCCACAUACAUAUCGUCCCUAAUAUAAGCCUAUGAGGCCUAAAACAUGCAUUGGGGAAGGUUCAGGACUAAACUGAUAACUCAGAAAAAUUUUGGAAAAAUUAGAAAAUUUUGUAAAAUACAGGGGGCAUACGCCCGUGUGGCCCGGUUGUGUGUCUCACAUGGCCAAAGACACGCCCGUGUUACAAGCCAUGUGGACAUUCGAAAUCAGAUCAGAUGGUCGUGUCCCAGCUCGUGUAAUUCUUUGACUUGGGUCACACGUCCAAUACACACGCCCAUGUGGCUAGCCCAUGUGCCCUAAAAAUGGCCAGACAUCCCUUGUGCCAGGCUGUGUGCUAGGCCAUGCCAAACCUGUAGGGUAUACUAACUUAUACCACAUGGCCAAGUCACACGCCUGUGUGCUGGGCCUUGUGGAGCAUACUAACUUGAUUUUAAUUUCAACACUAGGGGAUACACGGCCGUGCAAUAUAACCGUGUGUGUUAGACGGCUGAGACACACGACCGUGUGGACAAAAAUAGGCUAUUUACCAAGCCAUUUUGCCACCCAAUUUGCAUGUACCUAAAUCAAACUCAAAUGGCACAAAACAUAGCAUAUAAUAGACAUUCAAUCAACCUCAAUCAAGCAUAUUUCGUACCAUUUCCAACACCAACUAAUCCAAGAUAUACAAUCUCACAAUGUGCCAUUCAAUUUCAUGCCAAAAUUUCACUUUAUCAAAACAUCAAUAUGGUCAUUUUCUAAACAUGCAUUAUUUUACCUAAUUCCACAUACAUAACAAACUAAAAUCUCAACCAUUUGCUAUCCAUAAUACCUAUUAUCAACAAGCAUCAUAUAAUUAUAUUCAAACACAUAAUAAGAGCCAUAUGCACAAUUAUAUACACAACCAAACCAAGCAAAUUAAGCCAACUUCCAUGACUAUAUACAAAACCAAACUUUAGACAUUUACAAGCCAAUUCAAAUGGCUAAAUUCAUAGCUAAAACAUAUGUACCAAAAUAAUCAAACUUCUAUACAUGCCAUAUACUCAAAAUACUUAAGUUCAAAAGUACCAAAGUGAUAGUAGGAUAGUGUGAUGAAGUCUCUGACAAUCCCGAAACCGAACUAGCUUUGAUUUCACUAUAACACACGAAAAAUAAACAAAGUAAGCUAUAUAGCUUAGUAAGCUCGUAAGAAAAUAAUAAGCAAAUCUUACUAUUUAAUUUGCCAUUCAAAAUAAGUAUACAACAUACCACAAUUAAGUAACCAAAAUGUUAUUAUGAAUUCAAUCAUUUAUAUAACCAUAAGCUCAAAUCUUUCAUAUGUUCGAUGUAUAUACAAUUUCGUACAUACAUGUAUUGAUACGUAUCUAUCCUCACCAUUUCAUAUCCUCGAUAUACCCGUUGAACCAUUCAGAAUAAUACAGGAUACUCAGGAAUCUCGUACCUUAAAUGCCAAUAAUAUAUAGCCAAAGCUAUCUCAAUAUCAUAUCUCAAUAAUGUUAACUCACGAGCUAUCAACGGGUCUGCUCACACAAGCUAACAGUCAUGAUGUAGGUACACGGUGCUCCUCACACAAGUUGACGAGAAUCCGUAACACAUGCUGGGAAACUCAACCAUCGGUAGGACAUACGGACCAGCACCCAAAACAAUAAUAACCCUUAAUGACAUGUCAUUCGUAUCCUAAUCUAUUCCUAAGGUUCAACCAAGAUUUCCAAUGCUAAAUCUUCGUCGAAUAGAUUCGUAAGAUCAUAUUCACAAUUUAUACAAUAUUAAAGCAUUUAAAAUACAAUUAAAGUAAAGCUUAUUACAUACGAACUUACCUCGGAUACAAAAACGGUGAAACGAGUAGGUUAAUCCAAAACCUUGUUCUUUUCCCGAUCUAAGUCCAUAUUUCACUUUUUUUUAUCUAUAUGAUAUCAAAUUUAGCUUAUUUAGUAAUCUCUCUAUUCAAUUUAGUCCAAAAUACACUUUACAUCCACUUUACACUUUUUCCCCUAAUAUUCAAUAUUUUUACAAUUUAAUCCUUAUUUCAUAAAAUUACAAAUUCAUGCAAUUCAACCAAAAACCAUGCUAGCCAAAUUUCAAUUAGGUCCCUAGAAGUCCAUAUUUUUCAUUUAUUUCACAAUUUAACCACCAAAUUUACACAUUUUACAAUUUAACCCCUAAUUUACAAUUUUAACAAAAAUCUCUUUACAAGUGUUGUUUAUAUAACAACAAACAUGCAUUUUUUACCAUUAAACAUCAAAAUAAAUCAAAAUUCAUCAAUGGAAAAACCCUAACAAUUUUGCAAAUUAGUCCCUGGGCUAGUUAGACUAAGCUGUAACGAUCUCAAAAACAUAGAAAUCAUUAAAAACAAGACGAAAAAUACUCACCAAUUAAGCAAUGUAAUGACCGAACCCUAGAAAUGCUCUUAUGGCUUCUUAAGCUUUGAAUUUUCGGUGGAAUAAGUCAUUUAGAAAGAUGAUACAUUGUUUUUAUUAUUUUACUUAAGUUUAUUAUUAAUUUACUUAUUUAACCUUUAAUUAAACCAUUAAAAACACUUAACAUAUGUCCAUAAAUAUCCACCCACUUUAAUAAUGGUCUAUUUACCACAUACCUUUACUUUAAUUUUCUAUAGCUAUUAGACACCUUUAGCUAAAAGAACACAAGUUUUACAUUUUGCGCGAUUUAGUCCUUUUUAUCAAAUUAAACACUCAAACGAUAAAAUUUCUUAACGAAAAUUUCAAAAAAUUAUUUUAUCAUGCUGUAAAUAUUAAAAUAAUAAUAAAAUAAAUAUUUUGACCUUGAAUUUGUGGUCCCAAACCCACAGUUCUGAUUUGACUAAAAAUAGGCUAUUACAGAUUGCAUUCAUAAUGAAUGCAUUUUCUCACUAAGUACAAAAAUGACUUGAGAAUUAAUUUAAUAUGUUUUGAAUUAUUUUUUAAUUAAUCAUAAUUAAAUAAUUUAAAUUCAAAAUUGGAAUUAAAUUAAGUAGUCAUUAUGAAUCUAUUGAAUAAGGAAAUAACAUAUAUUUACUCUUAGAUUCUAUUAUGGUAAUAUUGUUAUGACUUUAAGGAAAAUAAAAUUAGAUUGAAAAAUUAAUUUAGUUAAUUUAUUAAUUGAUUAAAUAAUAUUUAUUUUAGGAAAUAGAAAAUAAAUAUUGAGUUGAUUUAAAUUAUAAAAUAUUAGGUCAAAAGUUUAGGAACUACAUAUAAUUGGAGCCAAUAGAUAUAAUUCCAAAGGUGCUCAAUUUCUCAUGUAGGAAGAAAAAGUAAUGAAACAACACAAUUCUUAGUUGAAAGAGAGUUACCGUCUGGAAAUAAAGAACAUUGGAUAAAGUAAAAGAAGAUGAUUUUAUUAAGCAUAGGUAAAUGAGACAUUUAAUCUUCUAGAAGAAAGUGUAAUAAAUAAACAUAAUGAUUUCUAUUAAUUAAUAAAAUUUUAUUGGUUUUUUUUUCUUUUUAAAUGAUUCGGGUGUUCAAAACAAGUGGAGAAAUUAGGCAUAUAUGUCGAUUUUUAAAAAUAAUUAGGUAAAUAGGUCGCUUUUUUUCAAAAUUUAGGGAAAUAGAUUAAUUUUGGGUGCGGGUAGCAAAAAUGCUCCCUAUAGAAAGUUUAGGCCAUUAGGUAAAUAAAUUGUAUUUUAUUACUUUUCAUUGGUUAUUACAUUUUAUGCUUAAUCCUAGUUUUUAAUGCGCUUUUAUGUUUUUUGGAAUAAAAUGACAAGUUUAGGCCAUUAGGAACUUAACCUUUGACUUAAAUCUUAUUUUAGGCACUUGGUUGAUGAGAAAAUGUGGAGAAGAGCCUAAGCUGGAGCCAAGGUCAUGACAUCAAGGUGUAAUGUCACAACAUCGAUGUCUUGAUCACUAAUCAAAGAGUUGGACUUCACCAAAUCGCACAUCUGAGUGGACUGUCUCCGAAGUUGCGCCACCAAGGUUGUGAUGCACGACACCAGCCUAUGUGGUCGCAACAUUGAGUUAUUGAGGUUGCAACAUCGGCCAUAGUUUCCAAAGUGGAAGUAUUCGAGUUGCCUAAGGAUGAUGUUGUGAAACUAAAAGGUUGUUUUCGUGACACUAAAGCUUGAAAACACCCAAAGGAGUAGACCAUUGGCGAUGUCACGACACUAAGGUCUAGGUGUUAGGACACUAGCUCUUGACGAGGAAAAAUUCUAAAUGACAGUUUUCAAUCAAUCAAGCCUUAAGUGAAACUUUAAGUGAGGGUAAAAUUGUCAAUUAUAGGUCAUUUUGGGUCAUACUAUAAAAGAUACUUUGACACAUUUUUUAGGCAAAUUUUGAUAGAUUCUUAGUAUUGCUAUUUUAGGUUAGAUUUUAGAAUAUACUCUUUUAGAAUUUUUUUACAUUUUACUCUUUUUAGCAAAAGUACAGGGACCUUGUACCUUUUGCAAUUACUUUAAUAUUUCAAUAGAUUUUUCAUUGUUUCUUCAUCUAAUUUCACAUUUAUCGAUUGGGCUAUCAAUAUUCAUGGAUUCAAAGCAUCAUCCUUCCAUCAAUCCAAGGAUUUCAUCAAUCUUAUUGAGCAUUUUUAAACCUUAUCUAUUUUUUGUUAUUUUCUUGGUUGAUUUAGCAUGAAAAUGAUUGGUUGAUUGAAUUGAUUAUGAGUAUGAACUAAUUUUGUGUGUGGUUGAUUAAUUGAAUUGUUAAUUGAAUAAUUUAAGGUUUAAGGACUAGGUCAUAAAAUUUGGACUAAAUUGAAUGAAAUUGACGACUUUAGGGGGCUAUAUCGAUAGAUAAGACUAAGAGGAGAUCCAAUUGAUCAUUAAGUCGAUUACCCCAAUUCUAAUGAGGUUGAGAGAUAAAUUGGAUUACAUUUCUUAAUUGAGUAAAAUGGUAAUUGAUAGGUAAAAUUAGACGUUUUAGAUCCGUAAGCUAAGAAUUAAUCGUUAACAUGGAUGUUAGUCAACCAUAUUGCUUUCUCGAUUUUUUAUUUUGUGAAUUUUAGUUUAAUUGUAAUUUAGCCUUUCGAGAUUAAACUUUGGUGUAAUUUACUAUAGCAACCUGUUUUCAGUGGUUUCGGGACCACAAUUCUAACGAGUGAGUCAAUAUUUUAAUAUUUAUUUAAUGUUUAUAGGAUGAUACUAGGGUUGUAUUAAAUUUUUGUUAAAAAAUUUUAAUGUUUAGUUAGUUAAUUAAUUAAAAAGGAUUAAAUCGUAAAGGUGUAAAGAUAGAUUUCUAUUUGUUAAAAGGGAUUAAAUGGCUGUGAAAUUUUAAACUAUUGGACUUGGGUGAUAAUUGUACCAUAUUACAUGUUAGUGGAUAUUCAUGAAUAUGUUUUAGUGUAAUUACAAUAGUUUUUAAAGGUCAACUUGGUAAUUUAAUAAUAAAUUAUAAGGUUAAGUAAAAUAAAGGAAAAUCCAUAUCAUCUUUCUUACUUUUUACUUAUGACAACCAUACACCAUUGUUAAGAAGGGGGAAAGCUUUCGAUUGUGGUUUUUUUCAUGCAUGGUAAGAUUUUUGAGCCUCGUUUUUAAUGAUUUUAUGUUUUUAAACUCGUUUUAACUUAAUUUACUUAGCCCGGUGGUUAAUUUGUAAAAUUGUUAAAGGUUGAGGGAAUUGGAUGUGUUUAGGUGUUAAUUGAUAAACUAUUAAACAAGGUUAUUAAAUAAACUUGUUUUGUGAAAUGAUUUUUGAUGAUUUAGGGUUAAUGAUUAAUUUGUUAAAAGUGAAUAAUUCUAUAACAGCCCAAUUUCAGUGAGAUCAGAACAGUGGUUUCUGGACCGCAUAUUCGAUCUGAAAAUAAAUUUUAUUUUUUAUUAUAUAGUUCGUAUUAUGAUAGAUAUGUCGUGUGAAAAUUUUGAUACAAAAAUUUUAUUGAUUAAGUGUUUAAUUACGAGAAGGACUAAAUCGCAUAAAAUGAGAAAGUUGAAUUCUAAUAGCUAUAAGGAUUAAAUAGCUAUGGAAUUCAAAGUAGAGGUCCUUAUAUGGUAAUUAGACCAUUAAAGAAAAGUAUGUAGAUUUUUCCUGACUCAUCCAUGGAAAAAUUAGAAAAUACUAGGGACUAAAUUGGAAAUCACAAAAAUUAAAGAUGAUAAUUAAUUAAAAAGAAAUUAUCAUCUUAUUUUCAUGUCUUCUUCCCCAAAAUUUCUAUGGAAAUCCUAGGAGAGAGGGAGAAAACUUUCCAAGCUUAAAAAGGUAUGAAAUCAAGUCCCGUUUUUAGUAAUUUUUAUAUUUUUGGAAUUGAGAUAGUCUAAUCUAUCUAUUUGGGGGAUUAAUUUGAAAAGUUAUCAAGGUAUGAAAUUUGGGUCAUGGAUGAAUAUGCUGAAAAUUAGAAAUUUAUUGUAGAAAAUGAAAGGUUGUUGAUAGAUAAACAACUUUUACAAAGUGACUUUUGAUGAAAACAUGAUUUAGGGACUAAAAUGUAAAGUUGUGAAAUUUGAUGAAAAAUUCUAAAUUUUUAUGAAUACAUGUGCUAUAAAUUUUGUAAUGGGAUUUUGUUAGGCUUGGAAUAGGGAGUAAAAUUUAUAGGUUUAAUUUUCCGAGCCUAGGGACGAAAUUAAAAUUUAUGGAAAAGUUAGGGGCAAAAUUGUAAUUUUACCUAGGACGUAAAUUGAGUCCAAAUGAGUAUGAAAUAUGAGAAAUUGAUGAUUAAAGCUAUUUAUAUAGAUCUAGACAACUCACAUUCAAGGUUAGAUCGAGGAAAAGAAAAUGUUACGGAUUAGUAGAUUACUUACGCGAACAAGUGUCGAUGUAAGUUCGUGUAACUUAAUCGAGUAUGUAAAUAUCUUUAAUUGAAUGUUGUGUUGUAUGAAAUGUGACUUAUAUCGAUGUGCAAUUUUUGAAUGCUAUAAUUUUAACACCCCUUACUCAUAUUCGAUGCUGGAACAGGGUACGAGGCAUUACCAGACUUAAACAUAAGCAAACAUACAAAACAGAGACGCAAAUUUCCAUCCAAAUUUAAAACUUUUCAUAUAUAUUCAAAUCAUAGCUAAAACGAGCCUACAAGGCCCAAAACAUUCAUUGGAAGCAGUUCGGGACUAAACCAAGAACAUUGGAAAAUUUCACAACACUUAGAAAAUUUUUCAUGUUUUAAGAGCCACAUGCCAGUGUGGCUUGAGACACGCUCGUGUGGGUAGACCGUGCGGUCACACACGCCAGUGUCCCUAACAUGUGUAACUCUCUGUUUGUCAUCCAUGAACAAAUUAAAGUCACACGGCCAAGGCAAAUGCCCCUGUGCUUAGGCCGUAUGGUCGAUUUAAUUUUCAUAAUUUUUCAUAAAAUAAGUGCAAACUUCACACGCCCAGGGCACACACCCGUGUCUCUGCCCAUGUGCUCAAUACUGAGCAUUCUGUUUUGCAACAAUUAAGGUGCAGGGGACACACGGCCAGAAUGCAUGCCCAUGGGGCUAGUCGUGUGUGAGACACACGCUCGUGUGUCUACCCGCGUGGAUAAAAAUAAGGCUAUUUUCCAAGCCAUAUUGUCACCCUUCCAUGCUCAAACCUACACAACAAAACAUAGCACCAUUCCAAGUACAUACAUUCAGCCAAUUCAACCAAAAUAAAGAUAUCCAUACAUCAUUUACAUGUUACCAUUUCAUACAUACAACAUCACAUGCUUAUCAACUUCAAUCAUGCAUACUUCCACAUCUAUGGAAACAUCAUCAUAUGUAUAUAUACUUAAACAGAUAUUAGUCAAUACCACAUGGCCAUUGACAAAAUGAAUUAUCAACCAACAUAGGCUAACACAGUAGGCUAAAUCAAUUAUGACACAUAACAAAAUAACCAAGUCCUUAUACAUGCCAUAACUCAAAAUAUUGAAAUCAUUGGUACCCAGAAUGUUAAGUUGAUAGUGUGACUGGAUCUCCAACAAUCUCCGAUCCUCGAGUUAGCUUGGUAACACUAUAAGACAAGGGAAAAGAAAGGAAGUAAGCUUUAAAGGUUAGUAAGUUCCCAUGCAAAUAAUAAGCAUUACAAACUCACAUUUAACAUAAAAUUAACUUGGAGUAAAUUAACAUAAAUGUCAUUAUAAAUCUCACAAUACAACUUAACACAACCUUACUGAGGGAUUCAUCACAUAUCAAGCUCAUUAAGCAUGAGUUUCAUGUACAUACCUGUACCAAUUUACAACUUACCAUAGUCUUUCACAAAUUUGACAUUCUCGUUUCAUUUCCCAUUGAACCACUUGGAAUACUAAAGGAUACUCGGGUAUCUCGCACAUAUAGUACCACACCAAUGCCAUAUCCCAGAUAUGGUCUUACAUGGGAUCUCGUAUUGAUGCCAAUAGCCCAGCUAAGGUGUUAAAUGAAAUCUCAUAUCGAUGCCAUAUCCCAGAUAUGGUAUUGCACGAAGUCUCAUAAUGAUGCCAUGUCCCAGAUAUGGUCUUACACAUAAUCUCGGUAACCCUAAUGUAAUGACAUUUGUAUCCUAUCUAUUCCUAAGGUUCAAUCGGGAUUUCAAGAUUGUCGUAACUUUUUCAAACACGCUCAAUGGUCAAUCAUAAUUCAUACAAUAGUAAAGCAUACAAAAUAUAAUUAAAACAAUGCAUUAUUUACAUAAGAACUUACCUCAGUACAAAAAUAGUAGGAAAUGGACCUUAUCGUCAAAUACUUUGUUCUUCCCCCGAUCUAGGUCCAAGCCUCAUUUCUCUUGAUCUACAAUAGAAAAUUUAACUCAUUUAUUAAUCACAUUACUCAAUUCAGUCCAAAUCUUACAUUAUGGUAAAAUUACAUUUUGCCCCUAAACUUUGACAUAUUUACAUUUUAGUUCCUAAGCUCGUAAAAUAAAAUAUAUUCAAUUUCAUCAAGACCAAAGCCUAGGUGAACCUCUUUCAUGCUUAUAACAGCUCACAUUUUCCAUUUAAUCACACUUUUAUACACAUUUUGAAAUCUUUUUACAAAUAGGUCCUUUUGACAUUUUCAUCAAAAAUCACCUAGUAAAAGUUGUUUAUCUAACAUUAAACUUGCAUAAUCUACCACUAGACAUCAAAAUAUGAAAAUAUCUAACAUGUGUAAAACCCUAGACUUCAAUCAUAUCUCAAAUUAAUGGUAGAAAUAGAUAGAUUAGGUUAUAAGGAUUUCAAAAACAUAAAAAUCAUUAAAAACAGGGCUAGAACGGACUUACAAUCGAGCUUGAAAAGUGGAAAAGCCCUAGCUAUAUCUUCCUUGUAAAGUUUAGCCAAGCAUGAAGAAGAUGGAGUAAAUUUUGGCUUCAUUUUUGGUUUUUAAUUCAUUUAAUUACCGAAUGACCAAAAUGUCCUUUUUUCAAAACAUUAAAAUUCUCUUACCUCAUGUCUAUUUUUGUCCUUAAAUUAAAAUGGUCUAAUAACCAUCUAAGGACCUGCAAUUUAAAAUUUCAUAACAAUUUGACACAUAUAGCAUGUAGAACUCAACUUUUGCACUCCUUACAAUUUAGUUUUUUUUUGCCAAAUUGAGUGCUCAAACGUCAAAAUUUUCAAAUGAAAUUUUCACGAAAUCAUUCCAUAAAAUUAUAGACCAUGAAAAUGUAGUAAAAAAUAUUUUCUACGUCGGAUUCGUGGUCUCGAAACCACUAUUCUGACUAGGCCCAAAAUCGGGCUGUUACAAUAAUGAAAAAUUUAAUACAUGCUUGAAAAUGGUGAAAAAAGGGUUAAGUCUCAAUUGAAUACUGAAUUCUGAUGAAUAUAUAUGCUUUCCCAAAAUGGAUGAGGUCCUGUAUUUGUUUUGGACAAGAUUUAGCUUGGACGAGUAAUCCUAAUAACUUCAUUAUAAAAAGGAUUUAGCCUGAAUGGGUAAUCCUGAUAUAAUACCUCUCGAGUAUUCGAUAUGAUUAGGGUUUAGCCUGACUGGUAAUCCUAAUUGAGCUCUUUUGAGCAUACGUUAUAUAAAGUGUAAUAGCCCAUUUUUGCCCGGCCCAUUUCGGUAUUUAAAAUAAUAAACCUCCCCAAAAUAAAAAUAAAACAAAGUCCAAGUCCAGUACAAAAUUACAAACAUAUAAUUUGGCCCAAUCGGAAUGGCCCAUUACUUGAAAAGAAUUAAGGUCCAUCUAUAAGCUUGACUCAUAUGGAAAUAUAAUCUUUAAGGAUAUGCAAUCUUAGAUAUGAUACAAUCUUAGAUAUGCAAUCUUAGAUAUGAUAUGCAAUCUUGAAGAUAUGAUCUUGAAUUCUUGGAGAUUUAAUUUGUAGAUAUCCUUUAAUCUUAAUCGUUGAUGUAAUUGAUUUGUACCGUUGGAUUUGGGGAGGCUCAACUAUAAAUAGAGGCCUCUCCCUUCAUUGUAAAUCACUUGAGUUUUGGGAAGCAAUAAGAAUUUUUGAGAGCAUUCACUCAAAUUUCUCUCCCUCUUGCGUUCUUACUCUCUGUGGUUUGUUCUUAUUUUAUUCUUCGUCUAACUUAGUUUUUCAACCUUUUUUUUAUUUUAAUUUCUUCAUUUUUCAAAUAUGUAUAUUUAUUCCUAUCUUUUAUACAUUUGAUUAUGUAUUUUAUAUAUUAUAAUAUUUAACCUUUUUAUAUAGUUUAUUUUCAAAUAUAUAUUUUCUAUGCAUAUAUAUAUUAUAUUAUCAUUUCAUGUAUUUUGAACUAUUGCAUUAUAUUUUUAUAAUUUGUAAAUGUUCUAUUUAUUCAUUUUUUUUGUGUAUGUCAUUUAUCUUAUUUGUGCAUAGUUUCAUUUUUUUAUAUGCUAUGUUUAAUUAUUUCUUUUAUGUGCUAUUUUAUGAUAUAUAUUGUUGUAUAAUUUUUGCAUGCAUUAUGUUUUUCUUUUAGUUUACUCAUGUUUUUAUUUGUUUAUUAUCUUAUAUUUACCCUAGUAUGAUUUUUUUCAUUAAACGUAUGUUCAUGUUAUUUAGUUUUGUCAUAAUGAUAUUAUUUAUGUUUGUAUGGAAAUGUUAGAAUAUUUUGUACAUUUAUGCUUCAUGAUGCAUUAAUAUGUCUUCCUAAAACGUCAUUUAAAAAUAAUAUUCCAAGGUUUUUUUAAAAAAAAUUAAAAGGCAAUGCUUGAUGUUUGGAAACUUCGAGAAAGGUAGUGCCCUAACUUACUGGGUUGCGACUUUUCUCGUUGAAUUCGAAUAGUCAAGCACCCUUUUAAGUGAUUUUGAGUUUUCAAAACUUAAACAAUUAUUUCGAUAUUUCAAAACAUAGUGUCCUAACUUACUAGAUAUGGCAUUUUGUUGUUUCGAGAUAGAAAUUUUCGAAAGAUGAGCUUAGUUUCGAAGGUUUUAAAAUGUUGCGUCCUAACUUACUGGAUGUGAUGUUUUGACUCGUUUGAAUUAAGUGAGCCUUAAUUUUCAAAAUUGAGACAUUCUAAUUAAAAGAGGUUUGCAUCUUAAAACUUUCAAAUUUCCGACAUUAAAGACACUUGAUAAUCAAUUAGGUACCAAUUUUUGGGCGUUACAAGGGUGCUAACCCUUCCUCAUAAGUAACCGACUCCCGAAUCCAUUUUCUCGACUUUCGUAGACCAAAAUUAAUGUUUUAAAACAAAACAUUUUAUAAGGUGAUCUAAUCACACCUAAAAAGAUUGGUGGCGACUCCCGUUUUCAUUUUUCUUAAAGUCGAUUCCCAUUUUCCAAAACUCGAUUUAAAAAUGGUUUCGACAGCUUGGCGACUCCGCUGGGGACUAAUAAGUGAGUCAAGCCGUGUAAUUGAUUAUCUCUUGUCUUAAUGUCGGAAAUUAAAAAUUUUAAAAUUUAAUCCUCUUUGCAUUACAUGUGUUUGUAUUAUUACAUGUGUUGCUAUAUUCUGAUACGCAUUGCAUUUACAUGACCGUUGUGGUCACACCCUUAAGUGGGAGUGAGAAGCUAUGCCUUCGUGAGGUUUUCGCCUCCAUGUAGGAUAGUGGAUCACUUUCGGGAUACAUCCGUACAUAUAGUUUCGUGAGAUUUUCAUCUCCGUGUAGCCAUAGGGAAAUGUAUUCCCCUGAACUGAACUCGAUUCAAAUGAGCCUAUAAUGGGUGAGGAUCGAGGAAUCUACUGGUUCGGGUACCUCAAACUUUAGAAACAAACCACAUAUAGAAAAACUGUAAGAGCUCAAUAUAGAUAGAAUUAUACUUAGGUUAUCUUUGUGUUUAUUAAUAUCAUAUGAUACUAACUAUUUUCUUUCUUUUGUGCAUGUCAUUUUGCAUUUAAAAGGUAUCAAUUCACGGUCAGUUUCUAAGUUAGAAAGUUUUAUUAUGGAGAACGGACUUCUUGAUAAAAUGGAGGGCAACGCUAACAUCCAUAAAUGGUCAAAGGAAACGCUGAAGGAUACACAUCAGAAUUAUUAGGUUACACUCGCAUCAGCGUGGCACAAAAUAAUCUCCAAGAGUUAAAGGAAAUAGGGGAUCAAUGGAGUAAUGAAGCCAAGCAGUUGUUCUACAAUAACUAAGGGGACUUGCAGUAUUUGCUUGACAGGAGGAUAGAUGAGCAAUUCAAAGUGAGUGUGGGAGUAUUGAUGGACACUUCUACCAUUAUAGCAUUUCACUUUCAUAUGAAGAUGGUUGCCAUGUGGAUGGUAAGGGUAUUGGAAGGAAAGUGAGUUGGAUGGAAAGAAUUUUGCCUAUGAUGGUAAAAAGCUCGUUUACUAUAGGAUCGCUACCAAACAAAAAGCUUGAGUUUACUGUUGUACUUAUCAGAAACAAUGGAAAUGCAAGCCCUGAUAGCCUGGAUAGCUCAAGUAAGCGUGAAAGAAAGCGAUUAAAGAAGACUGUAUCAUACAAAGACCUUUAGGGAUUAGCUAUGCUGCGAAGGUACCGAGGUAGGAUGCUCUGCGUGGGUAGAAAUCUGAAAGCUCUCAAGAAACAUUGAGGAUAUAGGAUAUUAUUUUAAGGUAGCACACUGCAGAACGGGAUACCUACCUGUUCGCUAAUCUAUCUCAAAAUAAUCAGAACAACUUCACAGGUAUUGGAGGAGGUGCCCUUAGCUGCACGGAUUACCCUACAGGUGAGGUCGUAGCUCAAACUCAGGAGGCAGCUGAUUAUUUACAGACAUUGGCGGCACAGGCUGACAUAUUGAGCAACAAUAUGAGCUACAAUCUGAUCGUGGCCAAGAGUUUGUUUUGUUGUUAAAACUUUAGGCAUUAGGGCGAAAGCGUAUUUGUAAUCCAUUUAUAUGUAAAGAUAUUCUUUUUCUAAAUAAAGUUUUCUAAAUGAGAUUGAAUCGAGAUCGAUACCUUUUGCAUUCAUUUGCAUCUUAUAGCAUUUCAUUGUAUCAUUUUCAUUCAAAAUUAUAAAAAGACCCUAAUUAGUUAAAGUUAUUAAAAAGAGAAAGAAAAAGAGAGAGAGAGAAGAGGGUCACGACUGAGUGAAAAAGAAGUUGAAUGGGAAUUAACGACGUUCUCUUACAUAUCCCUGACUUUUGUGUCAGGAGGGAUAUCUUACCCGGAGAAGGGGGUGUUUGGAAAUGAAAAUCAUCCCAUCAAUGUCAUACAUGAGGAAGAAACUGAACAAAGAAACCUUGAGGGUAUUUGUCCUUACGAACCGAGAAGUUCUUUAAACAAUUGGACUGCAGAAGAACUUCCUGUAAUCUUUAAGAAUUUUACGGAGUAAUAUUCAAAACACUCUUGUUGCUCUAAAGCCUAGGAGUAAUGAGAUUUCUUUUGAGAAGUGGGCUCAUGUUCAAACAUUUUUAUUUUCAAUAAAACAUUCUUUUAUUAUUUAUCCGAGUAAAUAUUCUUUCAUUUUGAUUCUUUUGACUUUUGACAUUCUUUAUAAAUUUUCAUUUCAUGUAAAUAGUCAUUCUUGAAUUCAUUUAUUCCUUGUAUAUUCUUUUGUGUGCCUAUCAGAGAUCCCUAGAUAUCAAUGACACGGGCAAUGAUACUACAGAUUCAGAGUUCCUUUUGAGUGUGAUAUGUGUUUAGAGGAAUCUCAGUACUUUGAAGGUGACAGAAAUUGUGACCUAUUUCUGAAUUUGUUGAAAAUGGUUUUUACCCCAUGAAGUGGUGGUAGGAAAUAUAGCCUUAGAGGGAGGAAAGAUUGCGAAAUUGGAAUUAGCUGAGGAGACAAAACAAGACCUUGUUGAGACUAUUAUGGGAAUUCAAAAAUGUGGUCCAAAGACGCAUACAGGAGGAUUUGCAAUUGCCAGGAUAAACAUGAGGUGUUGGGGCAUUGUUAGUCCACCAUGGAAAGGGAUCGCAUCAGUUGUACAAUGAAUGCCAAAUUUAAAGGAGUCAAGACUUAUGGGGCAUGUAUGUUAUGGGCCCGAGCUCGUCAAAAGUUUCAAGCUGACAAUGACUCAUCUUUGUGGACGUCAACUACUCCAUUAAGAGGGGGAGAUAGCUUCAUAUGCCAAUAUUACAAAGUCAAAAUUCAUCCAUUUCAAAAAAAAAAGAUUAUAUAUAACUGCACAAUGCCAAAAGUUUGCAGUCUUUUCAAAGAUAAUGCGCCAUACCACAGUACAACAAAGGUUGCCAAAAGAAAAGAAAAACAAGAAAAAAACAAAUUACAGAAGAUGACCGAGAUUGGUAAAAAUUGGUAAAAGAAACUACCGCCUACUCUCUAUGCUUACACUGGGGCAAACACCUUCAAUUUUAGUUGUUUCAAAGGUUCUAACCAACAUCCUUGGAAUGGGUGCGUUGUUUGGCUUUCUUGAGCAGUUUGAUGUGCCGUCAAUGGUUAGCUCCAGGCGGUGGCCAUUGAUUUCUAGCUAUGGGGCAUCAGGCCGUACACAGUCUCUGAAGCUUAAAGUGAUAGAUUCUUUCUUCAAAACUAGUUUCUGACAAAGUGGAUGAUGGUAUCGUGAAAGAAGCUCUCUUAGACUUCUAUACAAGUUCAGGGAAGAAGAAACUUGAUCAAAUCAUUAUUUUCAGGGAUGGGGUCAGCGAGUUUCAAUUCAAUCAAGUUUUGAUCAAGUUGUUGAGGCUUGCAAGUUCCUUGACGAGAAGUGGAACCCUAAAGAUUGUGGUUAUUAUUGUACGAAAAACCAUCAAACCAAGUUUUUCAGCAGGGAUCUCCUGACAAUGUGCUACAUGGUAUUGUCAUUGACAAAAAAGUAUGCCAUCCAAAGAAAAAUGAUUUUUACCUUGGUACCCAUGCUGGAAUGAUUGUAAUCAUGAGGCAGACCCACUAUCAUGUUCUCUUAGACCAGGUUGGGUUUUCGACUGAUGAUCUGCAAGAGUUUGUUUAUUCUGUAUCUUAUAUGUAUCCCCACAGCCAUAUUUGUUGUGGCUCCUAUUUGCUACGCUUAUUUGGCAGCUUCACAGUUGGGGGCAAUUUAUGAAGAUUAGGGAUGCUUUAGAAACAUCAUCUAGUCAUGGUGGGAUAUAUGCUCCGAGAGUAAUAUUUGUACCUCAGCUUUCCAGGUUGAAGGAUAAAGUCAGCAACUUCAUUCUUGUCUGCUGAGAAUCAUUGAACCAUCUUUUUGUAGGGUUUGACAAACAACAGCCAGGACUGCUGCUGGGGCAAUCUGUUUCUCAUGGAUUUAUAAAUCAAGAUUUUUCCUCCAAGCUUUGAUGGAGUCAAGAAUUGAAUACCUCUAGUAAACUUAACUUGAAAGUAUUCAUCCUAAGAAAAUGUACCAAGAAUGGAUGACACAGACUUAUGACAAAGAAGGUUCGUCCAAAAGAAUUUCAUAAAGGAAACCUUGUGCUGAAAGAGAUCCUUCCCAUGCAAAAGGAUGCCGAAUUGGGAAGGGCCAUAUGUUGCGAAGAGGGCUUUCUCUAGAGGUGCACUGAUUUUGACAAGAAAUGGAUAGGAAGAAUUUAUCUAAUCCAGUGAAUUCGGACUCGGUCAAGGAGUACUUUAUCUGAAAGAGAAAGGAAGCCAAGGUGAAAACCCGCAAAGGGUAGUUUGGGACUUCUAUUUCAAAAAAAAGGAAAAAAAGAAAAGAAAAAGAGAAAAAAAUAAAAAGAAAAAAGAGAAAAAAGAAAAAAGAAAAAUGGAGAGGCCAAGGUGAAAACCCGCAAAGGGCGCCUUGAGACCAAAGGGGUUUUGAAUUGAAAACUCGAAAGGGUAGCUCAAAUUUGGAAAGUCAUGCAGUGACCUUGCUAUACCGAAUUCAACGAGAAGUGAAGUAUGUUACAUAUUGAGCCAUCAACGAAUUACUUUGGAUCUUUUAAACACAUGUUGAACUCAAGAAAGUCUUUAUGGAGCUGGUGUAUAGACAUUCAAGCGGCGAUAUCUGGGGCAUCUAAUUUCUGUCCUAUUUACUAUCUUUGGAUUCUUUUUCUUCCCAAAGAUAUGUUCUUAGGGUAAUCUUUUUGCAUUCCUUCCAAUAAUUUGUCCAAAUCUAAUUAUCCUUAGGAUCAAUUUAUUUGUCUCCCAUUAUUCAUAAAGCAUGUUGCAUUGAAAUAAUAAUAGAUGAACUAAAAUAUCUUCACAAACGAAGUUUUGCAUAUUACUCUAGAAAUUUCUAGAUAAUACAAGAAACUGAAACAAGACAAUUGUUUAAGGAAUUCCCAUAUGUAUGGGUUGGAGAUACUCGAGAGAUUUUUCUUCUUCAGUCCAAAAGGUGGUUGGACGUUUUAAGCAAUAUUGAUCUUAAGAAAGGAUCAUUUCAUAAACAUCUUCAGUGGGUUGUAACAUUCGGGGAAUGGUACGGUAGACCAAAUUGAUGGAGAAGAUUCGAGGCAUACGAUCAGAGGAUGAUUGAUAUGUCGAGAAGAACGAGGUGGAAAGCUCGAUAGAUGAAUGAGUGAUGACGUCCGAAAUAUGAGUUAUUUUCAUAAACAUUUUGCAUCAUAAUAUGUCUAAUUAGGAGCAUUUGACUCAUUUCGAUCAUGGCAUCUUAAUUAUUUGGCAUAAGCAUAAAUUCCAGGAAAUCAAUUCUACAGGUGGAUUCCCCAGUGGACAAUGUAGCAAGAUUGAUUGAAAAUUACAAAAUUCAGCGCCUUAAUCCCUAAGCAGUAGGGUAACAGGUUAAAUUUGCAGAUCUUAUCUCCCUAAACAGUAGUGGAGCAGAUCGAAGAUUUGCCUUAAUCCCCUAAGCAGUAGGGUAACAGGUUAAAUUUGCAGAUCUUAUCUCCCUAAGCAGUAGUAGAGCAUAUCGAAGACCCGCCUUAAUCCCCUAAGCGGUAGGGUAACAGGUUAAAUUUGCAGAUCUUAUCUCCCUAAGUAGUAGUGGAGCAGAUCGAAGACUCACCUUAAUCCCCUAAGCAGUAGGGUAACAGGUUCGCAGAUCUUAUCUCUCUAAGCAGUAAUGGAGCAGAUUGACGGCGACUUGCCUUAAUCCACUAAGCAGUAGGGUAACAAGUUAAAUUUGCAGAUCUUAUCUUCCUAAGCAGUAGUGGAGUAGAUCGAAGAUUCACCUUAACCCCCUAAGCAGUAGGGUAACAGGUUAAAGUAUAGCAGAUCUGACCUUCAAGUGUUUACACUGAAGCAGAUCCAAGAUGAUUUGGCAUCUCUAUAUUGUCAGAGAACAAAUUGAAGAAACAGAUUUGGCAUCUGCAUAUUUGACGGAGAGCAGAUCGAAGACAUAGAAGAUCUGACCUUCGAAUAUUUUCACAUUGAAGCAGAUCCAAGAUGAUUUAGCAUCCUUGUGUUUACAAGGAGCAAAUCGAAGACAUAGUAGAUCUGACCUUCAGGUGUUUACACUGAAACAGAUCCAAGAUGAUUUGGCAUCCCUGUGUUUACAGGGAACAGAUCGAAGACAUAGCAAAUCUGACAUUCCUGUGCUUACAGCGAAGCAGAUCGAAGAUUUCAGCGUGGCAUCCCUGUGUUUAUAGGGAACAAGUUGAAGAUAGUAGAUUUGGCAUCUCCAUAUUCGAUGGGGAGCAGAUUAAAGACAUAGCAGAUCUGACCUUCCUAUGUUUACAUCGAAACAGAUCCAAGAUGAUUUGGCAUCUUGGUAUUGACAGGGAACAAAUCGAAAAGUUAAUUUGGCGUCUCUAUGUUCGAUGGAGAGUAGAUCGAAGAUAUCAACAUGACAAUCCUGAGUUUGCAAGGAGUAGAUUGAGGACCAUGAAGUCUGAAGCUGAUGAGACCGGGCAAAAUGGGUCAUUUUAUAGUCUUUGCUCUAUUCUCGUUACACGACAAUGAGCAAAGAGGGGCAGCUGUAAUGGCCCAUUUUUGCCUGGCCCAUUUCAGUAUUUAAAAUAAUAAACCCCCCCAAAAUAAAAAUAAAACAAAGUCCAAGUCUAGUACAAAAUUACAAACUUAUAAUUUGGCCCAAUCGGAAUGGCCCAUUACUUGAAAAGAUUUAAGGUCCAUCUAUAAGCUUAACUCAUAUGGAAAUAUAAUAUUUAAGGAUAUGCAAUCUUAGAUAUGAUAUGCAAUCUUAGAUAUGAUACAAUCUUGGAUAUGAUAUGCAAUCUUGAAGAUAUGAUUUUGUAACCUUGGAGAUUUAAUUUGUAGAUAUCCUUUAAUCUUAAUCGUUGAUGUAAUGGAUCUGUACCGUUGGAUUUGGGGAGGCUCAACUAUAAAUAGAGGCCUCUCCCUUCAUUGUAAAUCACUUGAAUUUUGGGAAGCAAUAAGAAUUUUUGAGAGCAUUCACUCAAAUUUCUCUCCCUCUUGCAUUCUUACUCUCUGUGGUUUGUUCUUAUUUUAUCCUUCGUCUAUCUUAGUUUUUCAACCUUUUUUUUUUUAAUUUCUUCAUUUUUCAAAUAUGUAUAUUUAUUCCUAUCUUUUAUACAUUUGAUUAUGUAUUUUAUAUAUUAUAAUAUUUAACCUUUUUAUAUAGUUUAUUUUCAAAUAUAUAUUUUCUAUGCAUAUAUAUAUUAUAUUAUCAUUUCAUGUAUUUUGAACUAUUGCAUUAUAUUUUUAUAAUUUGUAAAUGUUCUAUUUAUUCAUUUUUUUGUGUAUGUCAUUUAUCUUAUUUGUGCACAGUUUCAUUUUUUUAUAUGCUAUGUUUAAUUAUUUCUUUUAUGUGCUAUUUUAUGAUAUAUAUUGUUGUAUAAUUUUUGCAUGUAUUAUGUUUUUCUUUUAGUUUACUCAUGCUUUUAUUUGUAUAUUAUCUUAAUAUUUACCCUAGUAUGAUUUUUUUCAUUAAACGUAUGUUCAUGUUAUUUAGUUUUGUCAUAAUGAUAUUAUUUAUGUUUGUAUGGAAAUGUUAGAAUAUUUUGUACAUCUAUGCUUCAUGAUGCAUUAAUAUGUCAUCCUAGAACGUCAUUUAAAAAUAAUAUUCCAAGGUUUUUUUAAAAAAAAAGUUAAAAGGCAAUGCUUGAUGUUUGGAAACUUCGAGAAAGGUAGUGCCCUAACUUACUGGGUUGCGACUUUUCUCGUUGAAUUCAAAUAGUCAAGCACCCUUCUAAGUGAUUUUGAGUUUUCAAAACUUAAACAAUUAUUUCGAUAUUUCAAAACAUAGUGUCCUAACUUACUGGAUAUGGCGUUUUGUUGUUUCGAGAUAGAAAUUUUCGAAAGACGAGCUUAGUUUCGAAGGUUUUAAAAUGUUACGUCCUAACUUACUGGAUGUGAUGUUUUGACUCGUUUGAAAUAAGUGAGCCUUAAUUUUCAAAAUUGAGACAUUCUAAUUAAAAGAGGUUUGCAUAUUAAAAAUUUCAAAUUUCCGACAUUAAAGACACUUGAUAAUCAAUUAGGUACCAAUUUUUGGGCGUUACGAGGGUGCUAACCCUUCCUCGUACGUAACCGACUCCCGAAUCUGUUUUCUUGACUUUCGUAGACCAAAAUUAAUGUUUUAAAAGAAAACAUUUUAUAAGGUGAUCCAAUCACACCUAAAAAGAUUGGUGGCGACUCCCGUUUUCGUUUUUCUUAAAGUCAAUUCCUAUUUUCCAAAACUCGAUUUAAAAAUGGUUUCGACAUAAAGGAUUUAGCCUAAACUGGUAAUCCUGUUAUACGAUAUGCCGCUCGAGAGUGUGUUCCUUGAUUAAGUGCCUUAAUGGGUACUUUUGAAUAAGAAUUGACAGAUUAUUGAAUCGUACACCUUGAGUGUACUACUUGAGCAUCCAUUAGAAUUUGAAUGAUUCAACGGACACAACUCUUGACAUGGUAUGAGAACUUUGAGAUGAAAUGAUAAUGACUUGAAAGAAUAUUGCAUGAUGAGCUCAUCUAUGUUUACUUGAUUGAUAUGAAGAUUUUGGUGACUAACAUGUUUGAUUGAAUGCAUGUGUUUAGGAAAUUUUGCUAAUGGAUGGAAAACAUGAUAUUGUUUGCUUAAAUUUAAUAAACAGGAUUGGUAAGUUUAGUUUUCGUUAAACGAACUUACUAAGCAUGUAAUGCUUAUUCCGUUUUAUUUUCCCUAUUUUAUAGUGCUUGGAAGCGCACAAAGGUUGGAGAUUAGUGGAGCAUCGUCACACUAUCAACUUACUUAUUUUAGGUAUAUAUAGAGAAAUCAUUUUGGUAUAAUUACAUGUAUAGGACAACUUGACCAUUAGUAGCUUGAUAAUGAUUCUUGCAAUCUAGACAUUGGAAUGACUAGUAAUGGUUAUUUUGAUAUACUUGUAAUGUCAUGCUAUGGUAGCUAAAUAUAUGUUAAGUAGUUGAUAAAAUUAUGUCCAAUAAAUGGAUUAAACCACGGUAAGAUUGUAAGCAUGUAUGCAUGUAAUGGUAUGCCAUGAUGAAUGAUUGAACUUGUUUAAUUUGAAUGCUUAGAAUGGUUGGUAUUGGAUGUAUGUUUCAAGUGCAGGUCAUAAGAGUGAUUUUGGGUGAGAAAUGAAGCUAGAAAUGACUUUAUUUUGUCCACAUGGGUAGACAAACGGGCGUGUGUCUAGACUGUGUGUGACACACAACCUGGUACAUGGGCAUGUGGUUAGGCCAUAUGUUCCCUGCACCUAAAUUUUGAGAAAUAGAAUGCUCAGAAUUGAGCACACGGGCAUGUGUCUUAGCCGUGUGUGCUACACAGCCUGAAACAUGGGCGUGUGUCUUGGCCGUAUGAAACAUGCACCUAAUUUCGAAGAAAAUUAAUUAACCACACGGCCUAGCACAUGGACGUAUGCCAUGGUCUUGUGCACAAGUCAGAGAAUUACACGGGGUCAAACACGGCCUGCAGCACGGGUGUGUCCCAGGGUCACACGGGCGUGUUCCCUCAGGCCACAUGGGCGUGUGAGACCUGUACCUUGGAAAAAUUUUGUAAUAUUGCGAAAAAUUCUUAGAGAUCCCGAUUAAGUCCCUACUCAAUUCUAGUGCUCGUAUUGGGCCUCCAGGGUCCCUUUAAGGGACGUUUUGAAUAAUCUUGGGAAAUGAAAAGUGAUUGACAUGAUUUAUCUAUAAAUAUUCUGAAAGUUUCGGUAAUGCUCCAUAACCCUGUUUCGGCGACGGAUACGGGUUAGAGGUGUUACAAAUUCCUUAAGGUUAAUGCAAAAUUUUGAUGAAUAUGGACUGUUUAGGGUCCCUAGUAAAAUCGGCUAGCAUGUUUUAGUUGGAAAAAAUGGUAAUUUUGUAAGUUUUAGGAUUAAGGACUAAAUUGUGUAAAACUUAAAAUGUUAGGGGUAAUUUUGUAAUUUCACUUUUAAAUGAGUAGUAAGCAAGAAUUAAUGAUAUUAAGUUAUUUGUAUAAUUUAAUUGGGUUAAUUAUUGUUUAGAUUAAGAUAAGCAACCUUCGGAUUUAAAUCGAGAAAAGCUAAAGCUUUGGACUAGUCUUCAACUUUGUUUUUGCAAUCAUAGAAAUCGAAGUAAGUUCGUAUAAGUUAUAUGCUUAUUAAAUAUUGUUUUGAUUGAUUAUUAUUUAAUGAUAUGUUAGAUAUAAAAUGAUUUGGUAAUAAUAUGAUUGUUGCUUUACGUGACAGUUUUUAAAGGUCCCGUUUGAACCUAGAGAAUGCUUAGGAUACAGAUGGCAUGUCAUUAGGGAUUAUAAGUUUCGAGUGCUGGCCCUAGAUGUCCUCCUGAUGGUUAAGGUCCUGAAUUUUUUGCGGAUUCUCUACAGCUCGUGUAAGCAGUAUCAUGUGGCUAACAUCCUGACCCAUAGCUCGUGUGAGCAAACCAAUUUCACAUCUCGUGUGAGUACUGUUGAAAAGGUUAUGGUUAUAUGGGAAGGUGUUCCCAAGCAUCUAAUGUUAUUUUGUAUGGUUCAACAGGUAAGUAAAGUAAAAUGGAAAGGCUUCAGGUUCAUAUGAAAUAGAAAGUUUAAGUGUGCAAAGGAAUGAAAAGAGGCAUUAUUUAAAUAUGUGAUGUAAUGUGAAUGAAUGUAAUUCAUUCCAUGUUAUGUACCAUAUUAUAUAAGUGAUGUGUUGUUAAGCCAUUUACUAAUGAUGUGAAUUGUGGUGAAUAGGAAAGUCAAGUACCUUUAUGGUUUAGUAAGUAUGAGUGAAUGAUUAAAUGUUAAAGAACAGUAAGUUUAAGUUUCUCUUAUACGAGCUUACUAAGCACUAGUUGCUUACGUAGUUGUUUUCCUCUGUUUUAUAGAUCGUUAGAAAUUCAACUGGUUGGCACCUUGUCGGAGUCCUAUCACCCUAUCCAACAAUCUCUUUGGUAGUUUUUGGUUAUUUUGGUUAUGGUUAUAAAUGGAAUGUAUAGGGCUUUUAUAUAAUGAAAGUUAUUAUGUAUGUUAUUUGGUUAUCAUAAUAUGUAUACGUCUUUUGUGUACAUAGUUGUUUGGACCUAUAAUUCUUGACAAGUAUGUAUUUUUUGGUCACUUUUAAGUAUAAGGUAAAAUUAUGAUUUGAACUAUGCUUAUAUGAGAUAAUAAUGGAUGAAUUAUAAGUGUGUGAUGUAGGUUGCGAGUAUAAAACCAUGUUAUUUAGUUGAGUUGUUUAGAUGUGUAUAUUGUGGUACCAAUGAUGGUACAUGGGUUGAUUGAUGAAAAUGAGUUGUAUAUGUGUGAUUUUGGCAUGUUUCGGUAUUGUACAGAUGUGUAUUGAAUAGGUCUAAAGGUUGGAAAAUGGUAUGCUAGUGGCUCAAGAAAACAUUUUUGGUAAACUUGAAUCUGAAGGCAAAUUUUGGAACACACGACCUAAGACACAAGCUAUCACACAGUCGUUUGUCACACAUGGCCUACUCACACGGUCGUGUGUCUUAUUUGUUUUCAUUACAGGUUGGUCCACAUGGGCAUAAUGAGUUACACAGCCGUGUGACCUUAAGCUACACGAUCACAGUGAGUUACACGGUUUGGUCACACGGUCGUGAGACCACAUAUUGCAGGAGCAUAUUUAGUUAGACUAUUAACAUACACGGGCGUGUGAAGUAGUCAUACGAGCGCGUGAAGUAACCACACGACUGUGUGACCCUUAUUUUCAAAUUUUUCAAAUUUUUCUGUUUUGUUUCAAAAUGAUCCUAGGAUGUUUUUAAAUUAUUUUUAGGACCCUGAAAGCUCGAUUUAAAGCCCAAAUGUGUAUGUUUUCUAUGAUUGGAAUGAAAUAUUAGAAUUUAUAUUUAAGUUGAAUUAUUUGUCCUAUUUUGAAUUUAAAGGUUCUGUUUUGUACAGUAACAUUUCGUAAUCCUAAUCUGACAACGAAGAUGGGCUAGGGGUGUUACAUUUACCCAUUUAUAAUUUGUCAUACUAUGAUAUUUAUAAAUUAAUUACCUAGACUUCCUUGUUGCAUGCUUGGUCAUUGUUGGACAAUCUUGUCACCCAGUCUUCUUUGGGUUCGAUCCUUAAAAUACUCGGCAUUCCAUUGUAACACUAUAAAUAUAUAUUAUGUAACACCCUAUGACCCUCAUCCGUCACCGGCAUAGAUUCACAAGGUAUUACCUAUCAGAAGACAGAUCAGACUAGCCAUUCAUAAUCAAUCAUGCAUAAAAUAUAGUUUCUUUGAUCUUUCAACCAUGAAAAAAUUUUAACCAAAUUAAAAUAACUAAUAAAUUUCAAAAUAAUUGACACAUAAGUCCAUUGAACCAUAUACUCAUGUUUAGGAAUUAAGCAAGCCAUUUUCGCAUGGCUAGAAUAUUUACAAUUUCAAAAUAUAACUUGUUUCAAAAGAGAGCUAAGCCUAUACAUGCCAUCUUUUAAAAUAUAAACUAUCAAAAAGUACCAAAAUAGUGACGAUAGUGUGGAUGACUUUGGACUUGAAUCCCCGAGCUCGUAGCUUUCAAACAAGAUCUAUAAAAUAGGACAAACACAAAAACAUUCAUAGUAAGCAAUUAAGCUUAGUAAGUCUUAAGUAUUUUAAACAACAAAACUUAUUUAUGCACAUUAUUCACAUAUAACAUAUUCGAAAUGCAACACUAAUUAGCCGAAUAUGCAUAGCCACAUUAAAUCCAUUUCAUUGACUUAUCAUUUCUUCAAAGUUCAAAUUACAUAAUCACACAUCUAAAUGACUCGAAGUAAUUCUUUGAUUCGACUUUAUAGAGUUAAUUUAGAGCACUGCAUUCACAUAUAAUUUCAAUGAUCAUAAUCACAUAUAUAACAUAUACUUUCAUGUACUAAAUUCAAAAUGGCCGAAUAUAAAUAUACACAACUACAUUUCAUAUACUUCUCGUUUCACUUCGUAAUUUAAUUCACAUUAUCCUCAUAUGCAUAAACAAUUUAUACGUACCUGGACAAUUUAAUCUAUCGAAAGAAUCUAGAUGCUGUAUAGCAUAAAUCUCAUAUUCAUAGACUUUUAUUAUUUCAUCGGCAAUUAGCCUACUAGGUAUAAACCUGAACUUAUCGCCAGCACGAGGCCUGCUAGACAUUAAGUCCAAAACUCAUUCACCGGCAUUAUGCCUGCUAGGCUCAUGGCCCGAAACAAUUUCACUGGCUAAAAGCUUGCUGAGCCAUAGGCCCGAAUAAUAAUUCGAAUAUAAAUUUCACAAAAUCAUAAUAUAUGCACUUCUUGUAUUUAUGCAUUUCACACAAGUUAAUCACAUUAGUCCACUUAGACUUCAUUCACGUAUAAUCACUUAAUAACUAUCACACUAUUGCUUCUUAAUUUACCAUUACAUAUCUUCCAUCUCAUGAAUAUAACUUAUGGCAAUAUGAUCAUAACAAUUUCUUUAUUUCACUUUCAUGCAUACCAUUUGGCUUUAUGCAUGUAUAUAUAUGUAUAUAUACUAAAAGUAUGGCUAAAUUCUUGUGACAUAUCAUGAUUCAUUCACAAAUAACUUAUAUUUAAAUACUUAAAACUUACCUCGAGUAUUUCCGAACAACUGCGGGUCGGCUAUUCAACUACUUUAGCUUUCCCCUUAUCCAAAUUUGCCCUUCUAUGCUCUUGAGCUUAAAUUCAACAAUUUUAAACUAGUCAUUAUUCAACUAUUCAAGCAUUACUUCACAAAUAUAAUAUAUAUAUUCGACUUUCACACAUAUAGAUCAUAGUAAACAAAAGUCAUAUACAUUAUAGGUCAUCUUUGACCUUUCUAUUUUCAUCAAUUUGAACCAUUCCUUGACCAAAUAUUACAUUCGGCAUUUUUUUUAUGUUUAUUCAUCCUAAAUACAAUUAAUUAAUUCAUCCUUUAACCUUAAACACAUUCAGCCUUAAAAUACAAACAAUUUAACAUUUCCUUUGUACACACCCUUAAGACCAAAUGCAUAAUUCAUUCUUAUUAACAUAUUUAUACCUCAUAACUAUACUUAUUUCCCACCUAUCAAUCAUCAUCUGAACAUGUAUAUGUAAGAUACAUAUUAAUCCUUAGUCAACUACCAUUCGUCACUUAACAUGAUUAAUUUCCAUUUUCAAUAUCAUAGAAACCUAGGUUGGCCGAAUAUACAAUUUCACCUAUGCAUAAACAUAACUCACAUUCCAUUAAGCUUACAUUAUUCAAAAUCAUAUCAUUAAUGCAUAAAGCCGAACCUUUAGACAUUCAAACAUCCUUUUCUCAAAUCACUUAAACGGCAAAUAUUCUUUUUCUAACAUUUUAAUACUCAACAUUUGCUCAAAUCAUUAUUCAAGUUCAAAUUCGACUAACACACAUAUAAAUACUAGCAACUAAAUAUUAACUUUGCAUUUCACCAUAAUAGCCAAUUGCCAUUAAACAAUUAAGCCACAAUUAUUCAAUUUUACCAAGCUCAUCUCAUCUAUUAUCAACCCUCAAUACACAAAAGCAUCAAAAACAACAUCAAAGAAAUACAAAUAUCCAUGAUCGAAUGUCAUCUUCAUCAAUUUACAAAAAAAUUUUGCCACGAGCUAGCUUCUAUACUUGAUGACCACUCUAAAUAUACAAAGAUUUUCAAUGAAAGAGCAUUUCAACUUAAAGGUAACCGAAUGCCUUAACUUCAAUUUCUUCUUUUCUUUCUUUAGGUACGGUAAUGGAAGAAGAAAAAGAUGAACCAACUUUGUUUUUAUCACCCUUUUCUUUUAAUAAAAAUUCAUAUUUCAUAUUAUUAAUCCAUUAAAGAUUUAAUUAAUUAAUAUAAAAGACAUAAAAUGUCAAUCAUCCACUAACCUUGCCGUCCACUAACUUAAGGAAGAGGGUAUUUGACAUGCAAGUCCCUAUAUUUUAAACCAUACAAUAUUUGGCCACUACAAAUUAACUUAUCACAUUUUCAAGUUUCUCAUAUAAGUCCUUUUUAAUAAUUCCACAUUCAAAUGACAAAAUUAAGACACGAUACUUUUACACAUAAAACCUCACAUAUAAUAAACAUAGAAAAGAGCAUUUAAAUAAUUUUGUGACUCAGUUUUGUGGUCCCUAAACCACUUUCUGACUAGGGUCAAAUUAGGGCUGUCACAUAUUACAACUGACAUUUGACACUUAUAGCCAAAGCCACAUUUCAUUUCUUAUACAUUUUGUGUAAAUUUCUCUACUCGGUGUCCGUACACUUUUGAGCAGUCAUUCACCUUGUUGAAGACCUCUACAGGGUGUGAAUUGUUUAGAGAGAGAACCAUUUACCAUGACCUGAUAUGAAAUAAUAGAAAUACAUUAUUAGAUCAUAUUGAUCUAUUUUGGGUUGAAUCUCAUGAACUUUAGGAUAACACUAACAAAAACCUAACUAAUUCCAUUAAACACCUUACUCAUGUUAAUUUGGAACACCUAACUAAUUUCACUAUCGAGGAUGAAUUGAGAAAUCAAUUUUGGCAAGAUCCUUUAAAGAUAUUAACCAACACAUUUGAUAUGAUCAUGUAAGCUACAUUACAAAGAUUGAUGGUCAAUAACCAAUUGGGGAAACUUGACUAACCAAUUGGGGAAACUUGACUAUCUCUUUUGGGGAUAAUAGUAAUGAUGGUUUUGUGGAGCUCAUUGGGAAGAAAGCUAGAUGCAAGAAAGGAAAAAUGUUGAAUUGGUGGUGAAUGGACCAACAAUAUCCCAAAAUUUGUGGUAAAAGAGUUCAAAUUUACUAUCAACACUAAUGAAUUUUAAAGGUCCAAAUAGGAAAGUUGUUGGAAAAAUUACAUUUUUAUUGGAACUUUGAGGCAUAUUCUCAAUAGGUAAAGCUGGAGAGUUGAAUCAUACAAUUAUGGUUUCAUAUUCUACUUUAUGAGGCCUUUACAACGGCAUAUCAUAUACUCAAAAUGGUUGAGUGAUGAAUGAGAAAUUGAUGCUCAAAGUAAGCUACUUAAAAAUAUUGAGGAAAAGUAAAUGCUUAGAUCCCACAUUGGUUAAAUACCUAGAGUAGGAUGUGUAUAAACCCUGCCUCACGCGUAGGGGGUACAGGUCCAAACCCGAUGGGGUUGUGGCGCACCAGCACGAUGUGGGUGACGCAAAAUGUCCUGACCGUUUAGACCCAAAUAGGCCUACAAAUAUUUUAGUCGAACAAAAUUUUAUUUUUCCAAAAUUAAAUCAAUUUGAUUUUUUGGCUUCUUAAUGGCAGAUUUUGUGGUUAUUUCCAAAAUUUUCCACCAUCCUAAAUGCUUAUAAAAGGCUGUGUAUUUUGUAGAAAUUUACAUACAAUUAAACUCUCUCACACUGAAACUCUUUUGCUCUCAAAACUGUUCUUUUUCUUCUCCGAAUUUUUCAAACAUUCCGAUGAUAGAAAAAGGCAAUGUUCAUUCGUUGAUCAUUGUAGAGGUGCUACUACUUUGAUCACUGUUGUUGUUGUAUCCUGGGAGACAUUCAACAAAAGUUUCUCUAAGUGCCGUAGGAGUAGCCGAAUUUGUCUUAAGGAACUAUGUUUCACAGGCCUCAGCAUCUCGUAAAAUCUUUAUUCUUCUUUAUUUCAAUUUUUUUAAUGAUUUUAUUUGUUUUUCAUAUUUCACAAUUUAAUUAUAAAUUUUUUCUAUUUAUAUUUUAUUUAUAGAAAUAUUUAUCUAUUUUGUUUCGCUAACUUGUGUAUUGUCCAACAAAAGCCGCUACUUGACUUCUUCUUCUAAGAAGGGUAUGUCAAAGAGAAGUUGGUCAUCUUCAGAGAGGCAUGGAAUGUGUAAAUUCAUAAAGCUAUUUUUAAUAAUGUGAGAAUAGGUUGGCUUAGGUCCACAGCGAAUCCCUUCAAAAUGGUUUUGUAGGAUCCUCAACCCAAACAUUAUUAAAGUUUUAGCAUGAUUAAUGAUUGAUGAUUCAUACAGCUAGGGGAGUAUGUUGUUUAUUAAUAAAGUUCCAUUAUUUUUAUUACGUAUGGGCUUUUUUUUAUUUCAUUUGUUGUAGGGUUUUGUCAAAAUGCCAAAGGAUAGGAUUGUUAGAAACUUUGGCUGUUGAACUUUUCUAUUGAACUUCUUAUGGCAACUUGAGUUUUAACAAACUUUUGUAACAAAGUUGUAGCAGCCCAUUUUCAAUGAAAUCGAAACAGUGAUUUUGAAACCACAAAAUUGAAUUCAAAAAAUUUAUUUUAUUAUUUUUUUCCUACAUCAUGAUAGUAGUACCAUAUAAAAAUUUCGUUAAGAAAUUUUACCGUUUACAUGCUCAAUUUGAUAAAAAGGACUAAAUCGUGUAAAGCGCAAAAGUUGAGUUCUAGUAGCUAAAAGUAUUAAAUAGCUAUAUAACCUUAACAUAAAAGUCCUUAUAUGGUAACUAGACCACUAAUGAAGAUAGUGGAAUGUGAUGGCUUGGCAUUUGUGUAAUUAAUAAUGUUUUUAAAGGUUAAUUAAGUAAAUUGGUAAUUAAUGAUAAAUUAAAUAAAAUUAAAUUAAGCUUUCAUAUUUUUCAUCCUCAUUCAACCAAAAAUUAGAGAGAAAAGAAGCCAUUUUUGAAGCUAGGUUCGGCCAUGCUUGUCUUGCUUGAUUAGGUAUUCAUUUUUGUCCUGUUUUUAAAGAUUUUUAUGUUUUCGAAAUCGUUGUAGCUUAAUCUAGUUAGCCUAGGGACUAAUUUGUGAAAUUAUUAAACUAUUAGGGUUUUAGCAUUAAUGAAUAUACAUGAGUUUUGAUGUCUGAUGAUAGAAAAUGGAUAGUUGUUGGUAGAUAAACAAAUUUUGCAAAUAGAUUUUUGAUAAAAUUAUCAAUUAGGGAUUAAAUUGAAAAAUAGAAAAUUUUACAUGGUGAACUUGUAAAAUAAAUGAAAUAUAGGGAUUUCUAGGGACCAAAUUGAUAUUCGGCCAUAGUGGGUUGUGAUGGAAUUUCAUGAAUUUCCAUUUUUAUGAUCUAGGGACUAAACUGCAUAGAAAUUAAAAGUAUAGGGGCAAAAUAGUAAUUUUUCCAAAAUUUGAUUUUGGGCUAAAUUGAAUGAAAUAUAUAUUGAAUUGAGUUACAUUUAUCCAUAUAGAUCAAGAUAGACCUCGUACGGCUUUAGAUCGAGGCAAAAAUAAAGUCUUGGAUUAGUUGCCUCAAUAUCUAUAUUUACUCAUCGCGGUAAGUUCGCGUGAUUAAAUUGUGUUUAUAUGUUUUAUAUAGAAUUAUGUAUGAAUUAUGAAUUGAUAUAUAUAUGCAGUUGCAUAUCCAACGAAGUUUGAUAUUACCGAGCUCUGUUUGAACCUUAGGAAUUCAUAGGAUACAAAUGACAUGUCAUUAGGGUUUACAUGAUUCGGGUGCUGGUCUUGAAUGUUCUACCGAUGGCUGAGGUCCAGAAUGUGUUUUUAAUACUCUACAGCUCGUGUGAGCAACAUCGUGUAGCUACGUUCUAACCCACAACUCAUGUGAGUAGGCCUAUUUUCACAGCUCGUGUGAGCAUAUCGAUUCACAGCUCGUGUGAGGAUACAUGUAUAGGAUUUGACGGAUUAUAGUUAUAUAAUUUAGCACACUAUGUAUGAGCUAUCCUGGGUAUCCAAUGGUAUUAGCACACUAUGUAUGAGCUAUCCAGGGUAUCCAAUGGUAUUCAAAAUGGUUCAACGAGUAAUAUUUUGAUACUAAAUGGUAAGAGUUCAAUACGGACUAUUACAAGGACACAUAUGAAUUGCAUGGAAAUGUUCUUGCAUGGUAUAUGGAAAAUUAAAUUUGAUGAUACAUGUAUAUGAAACUUAAUCAAUUGUUGUGCUCAUCCAUGAUUAUUGGUUUAUAUAUGUAUUUACAUGGCUAACAUGGUAGGCAUUUGGCCAAAUUAUGAUGGGAUAUGCUAUGUUUACUUACCUAUUAUGUGACUUAAUGAUAAGUUUUAUUCUAUGUUAUACGAACUUACUAAGUUUAAAUGUUUACUCUUUGUUAUUUUUCGUGUUUAUAAUGAAUCAGAAGCUCGUUAGUGUUGGAAGCUUGUCGGAACUAUAUCACACUAUCCGUUGACUCUUUUGGUACUUUCAGAUGUUUAAUUUUGGUUAUAAUGGCAUGUAUAGCUAUUUUGGCUAAUGUUGGCCUAUGUUUUUUGGUUGAUGAAAUAUCCAAUUGGUUUGGCUUGGGUUAUGGCAUUUUGGUGAUAAAAUGAACUUAGUUUUGGCAUGUAAAUGAUAGCCUUAAUAAGGAUGAUGUUUGGCUUGAUAUGCUUGAAUUAUGGAAGAUGAAGUUAUGGUUUAAAUAUGCAUAUUAUAUAUGUCAUGUGUCUUGCUUGGGAAUGUGGUGAAUUGGUACUUUGUUUUGAAUGGAUCAUAUGGUUAUUGAUGUUAUUCGUUGAAUGGUAUAUUUGACACCAUUUGGUAAGUUUUUUUUUUUGGUUAGUAAAUUCAAUGGUAUGUAGUGAUACAAAUAUGCCUAAAAGUUAGUUGAGUAUUUUGGUCAAAUAGAUUACAUGAUUAUACAUGUUUACAUGUUGUCAUUUGAGGUGCCUAAGAGCAUAUUGGUUGUAUAUGAUUAUACUAUAUGUAUGAAGCUAGAAUAUGCAUGAAUUUGGUGUCUUGUUAUGACUUGUAUAUAUGUGCAUUUUUGGUUGUAGGUAUAUGCCUUGAUGGGUGAGAAAAAUAGCUUAUAAAAUGACCUAUUUUGCUCCACACGGGUAGAGACACUGGUGUGUGUCUCAGUCAUAUGUGACACAUGGCCAGGCAACACGGUCGUGUGUCCUUUGUAGCUUUCAAAGAGUUGCAAGUUAGGCUGUUACACGAACUGGCACAUAGGUAUGUGAGGUUAUUUUGAAAGGUAUACGGCCUGGCAUAUUGGCGUGUGGCUUGGCUUUGUGAACCAAGUUAGUGAGUUACACUGGCACAGACACGGGAUGGGACACGGCUGUGUGACCACUGUAGUGUUGAAAAUUUUCAAUAUUUUUCUGAAAAAUUCUCUGGGUUUCCGAUUUAGUCCCAACUUGUUUCUAACACGUAUUUUGGGCCUCGAAGGCUUGUUUAAGGGACAAUAUGUAUGUUUUGACUUGAUUUUAAUAUGUGUUCAUUUGAUCUGAAAACUUCGGUAAUGCUUCGUAACCGUGUUUCGGCGACGAAUACGGGUUAAGGGUGUUAGAAAAGUAUUUUAUUGAAUUGAAAAUUUUAACUUGUAACAUUUUAUAUGUUAUGCUUAAUUGUCAAGAUAGACAACAAAUGUAGAUUUUUGUUGUAGAAACGAGAUAAGAUAAUAUCUUUGUAGAGUCCAUUUACUAGAAGUCACCUUUAAUGGACAAAAAAGAGUUUAAAGUUUUUUGGGACCUUAUAUAAUUGAGUUCUAAGGCCAAAUUUGAUCAGCUUUUGGAGGAGAUCAUAAUUUCAAAACUCGGUAUUUAUAUAGUAUCUUUCAAAUUUGAAAAUCAAGUGGAUAAAAGGUUUGUGUUCUUGUGAUAAAAUGUGUGGAAUAUGACCUAUAUAAAGAAGCCAAAAAUCACUAUUUAAGGUGAAACUUUUUAGAGUGUUUUUAUUAUUUGGGAAUACUUUAUGGGCUUUCCACUCUUAAUUACUCUAAGUAUUUCUUAGAGAGGUUAUAGUUGUAUGUAAGGUAUUUAGAUAGAGUGAAUGUAAACCAUUGGGAAACAUUGAGACUACAAUUAUCUAAUAGUGGGGUAGAUUGGGCUUAAAUAAACUAUUGUAUUGGGAAGAUUGUUUUGUGAAUUUAUUCUCUAUACUAUGCUUUGUAGAAGUAGGAUUGUUUAUUCCGAAUUGCAUUAACAAUUUUGGUCUCUUGCUAUUCUUUACUCUCAUGUGUAACUUGCAAAACAAUUCUAUCGAAAACCUUAUUACAACAUCUGUUUCGACAGAAACCUUAAUAAAGGAAAAACAAAGUGAUUUUUUUAGAUGUAUCUAUAACUUAUUUGAAUAGUUAAAAUUAAUAAAGGAAAUAAUUCUAACAUAUCUUGCUUGGUUAAUUGUUGAAAGGAAAGGAAAGGAUUUAUUUUAAAUUAAAUUUUUAUUUCAAAAUUUUACAUAGUAACAUAUAAUAAUUAAAUUAAAUUAAAAAUUAUAAAAAUAAAUAUUUUUCAUAAAUCACAAUUCAUUGAAAUAUUUGUUUAAAACAAAAAUGAAAUAAAUGUUAAUGUUUAAAAGAUAUUUUAAAAAUAAAGCAUCCAGAAAAAGAUAGAAGUGAAUAAUAAUGUUAUUAAUUUUUUGAAACAAAUUAAAAGAAUAGAAACCUAAUAAUCCAAAAAUGUCUCUUUAUUCCAUUUUUAUAUUUUAUUUUAGGAUUUUUUUGUUAUGAAUAAAUAUUUUUAUACCAUAAAUUUUUUUCUAAAUUUUUUGAGUAAGAUAAUCUUAAAAUUUCAAAAUUAAAGUUAAAAGAGUACCAAGAAGGUGUAAAAAACAAUUAACAAUCUUAAUUGUCUUCAUUAUUAGUAGCAAUAUUGUUUACUAAACUCAAAUAGUACUGCUAUGCACAAUAACUUUAAAAAUUAAUUAAUGAAAAAAAAAGGUGUGUAUAUCAUCUGCAAUGCACCAAUUGAAUUGGGUUUAUUCUUAGACAAAUUAAUUAAAUCUUGGAAUCGAUGCUUUAUUUUAUUCUCCCUCUCUAAAUUAGUCAACCACAGUGAUAGAAAGGAUUAAUUAAUCUAAUCCGUGCAGAAGAUGAAUCUGUUGCCACUUUAUUUAUGCCUUCAAUAAUCUUCUUUCUUUGGAGAGUUUGGCCUAAAAAUAUGGAAGACGAGCUGUACUUUAAUUCAAUUGAAGAAUUUGUUUUAUGAUAUUAAUGUUACAUAUUUAUCUACUUUGGCUUAAGUUUUGACCUCCAUAAGUAAACCUUUUAAACUAUAUAUAAUAAUCUCUUGGUCAGUAAAAUUCAACAACUCUAAGCAUAAUUCAUGUACGUAGUUAUAUGCGUCAAGGAAUGAAAAAGAUUAAAAACAAUCCAAAAUGGCAAGUAAUGAUGCCCUAUUCAUCUUCAUGUCGGGAUUUGGUUAAUGCAUCUUAAUCAUUAUCUUAUUUAAAUUAAUUAACCCCAUAUUCAUAUUACAUAUCUACACCAUCAUUAGGCUUUCUAUAAUGCCAUUUAUCUACACAGGAAGCAUAGAAACAUAAUGGACCCUACUCACCCUAAACCAUUGUUUAAAUCAAUUAAAACAAAACAACUCUUAAUUCUUACCUUUUAAUUUAUCAAUUGUCAAGCUAAUUGGCGGAUGUUACGCCAUUUACUUCUUUUCUUUCAACCUUAUAAUUUGGUACUUUAGUUAAACGUUCAAGUUUAGCUUCAACAAAUAGUAUCAUAAAGUAUAACCUCCAAUGUUUUCCUAGUCUACCUUUAUCUUAUAGGAACAUAAAAUUACUCAAGACCAUUUUCAAACCCGAUUCAUAUUGUAGUGGUUGAAACCAACCGCGAAGCCAAACAUUUUUCUUAGGGGCUAGAAGUAGGGAUGGCAAUGGGGCUAGUAUGACGGCUUUUUGCCUGCUCCAAACUCACCUAAAAAUUUUUCUAAUCUGCCCCAAACUCGCAUUGAUCUCAAUUUCUAAGAAAAAAAUUCACCCAAGCUCAAAAUUUAAUAAAGAUCCAACCCCAAUCUAAUCCGAUUCGAAUUUUAUCUUUCUUUUUUUUAUUAUUUUACAGUCAAAUUCGAUAAUCUCUUGUUGUCCCUUAAGGAAAAAGCAAUCUCCAUUUCUGUAGAGAGCUUUCAUGGUAAUUUUGGUUUAAAUUUUCAAGGAACACCCAAUCUUCCUUUCUAUAAAAGAAUGGUAGAUCUAAGUGAAUGGUCAGAUUAUACUUACUGUGGAAGCAUUGAUACAAUUAUGGGCUAAAAUUAUUAAAGGGAAAAAAUUAUGAGGAAAAAAAAAUAGUAAAGAUGGGUGAAGAUUGAAAAAGCAAUGGGCUAAAUGAGUGGGAGUUGAUUUAAAAAUUAAUAUAUAGGGUAUUUUUGUAAAUAUUUUAGGGCAGGGUGAGUUCACCUUAAGUUUAUAUAUAUAUAUCCAAACCAGAUUAUUUUCUAAAUUUUAUCUGCCCUAAACUUGAUUUUUUGAAAUCCAACCUGAACGGCUCGAGUUGGAACCCAUCGUUUUUGGGUUUUUUUUUUCUGCCGCUAGCUAGAAGUAAAUUAUAAAUGUUUAAAGGGAAAAGUACAACUUUACAAAUGUACUAACUUAUAAUCUUAUGCUUUCUAAAAGGACUAUGGAGCAAUUUUACAAUUUAACGGGGGUAAGGCCCCUACUUGCCCCUUAGCUCCACCACAUCCUCUACUUGACCCUUGGCUCUACCAUUUCUUGAAACAAUUAGCAUCAUUAGCAAAAAUAAAUGUCUCAACCCCCUUCAAAACUCUUUCAUGUUCUCUUUGGAUUCAUCUAUCUUUUUUUUUUUGGAGUUUCUUCCCCACAUUUUUUUUGGGUUCUGUAUCUCAAAUCUUGUUUUUUGGAUUUCUCUUAUCUUAUGCCUAUACAUAUUUAAAGUUUCUAUUUUUGAGUUUUCCUGAAGCCUCCUUCAUUUUUGGGGUUUCUUGAAAUUUUGUCAACACAUUUUAUUUACACGGUUAGAUUUAUUAAAGAUUUUUUCAUUUUUUUUUGUUUUCGAAAGUUCUAUCCAUUUUUGGGUUUUCUUGAAGCUUUCUCCAUUUUUUUGGUUUGUUGAAGCUUCAUCAACACAUUUUAUCUACACUGUUUGAUUUCAUUUUGGGUUUUUUUUUUAAACUUUCUUGAAUUUUUGAUUUCUUGAAACUUUCUCAAGUUAUGGGUUUCUUGAAGCAUUAUCAACAAAUUUUAUCUCUAUUUGUGGGUUUCAUGAAGUUUUAACCAAUAUUUUAGUAAGCAUGUGAUUUUUUGGGUUUCUCUAAGCUUUACCAACACACUUCAUCUACAUUUUUAGGUUUCUUAAAGGUUUCUCUAUUUUUGAGUCUUUUGAAUCUCCCUUAACAUUCAUGCUUUUUUUCAGAGCUCUUGAAAUCCAUCACACUCAUAUUCUGUAGAUCAGCUUUUGCAGUCAUGAUUUUGUAGUUACAAACCACAAAUUUUGCAGUCACGAUUCUAGAACAACAGAAAGUAUAUUCUACACUUCUGAUUCCUAUUAUUCCAGCAUUCUUCAUUAUUUCUCAAUAGGUAAAGCUUUGGUUCAAACUUCUACUUUAGUUUUUACUAUGCUGCUUUUGAUUAUGUCUCUACAACACUAGUUCCUCUCAAUGUUAUUUUUUGAGUUUUAAAUACAUCAUGUUAUUUUGGGUUUCUACUCCUAAUGUUAGAAUUCAAUGACCCGAAUCCUUAUUUAAAUAAAAUACAAUGGUAAAAUAAAAUAAAAGUAAAAAUCCAUAUAGAACUACACUUCUUUUAUUUUAUUUUAGAAUAAGGUUUUUUAAAUCUUAUUAAACUCCAUCUGUUUUAUAUUGAUUAUAAUAAGGUGUUGCAGUCUUACUAGAAUAUGACUUUACAAGCCUAUAAAUAGACAUAGUCUAUUCCUUUUGUAAUUAUUCGAAUUUGACAUAGUGAAUUUUCUUCUCCUCUGCCUGUGUUUUUUUUCCUGAAAGGGUUUCCACGUAAAAUCUGUGUAUUCUUUAUUUUAAUUUAAUUUAAUUUAUUUUAUUUUAAAAAACUGGUAUCCAAGCUUCCAGGUAGUUCAUCUCGAUCAUGGUAAUGGCGUCUUUGAAGUAUGAAAUUCCGCUGUUGGAUUGCAGCACCAUAUUUGAGUUGUGGCAGAUUAAAAUACAAGCAGAUCUUGCGCAGAUGGAUCUGGAGGAUGCCUUGCUAGGGAUAGAUAAGAUUCCUUCGAUAUUAACAGAUGAAGAGAAGAAGCGUAAGGAUCGAAAGGCGUUAGCACAAUUACAUCUGCAUUUUUCCGAUGAAAUUUUGCAGGAUGUGAUAAAGGAGAAGACCGCUGCUGCAUUGUGGAAGAGGCUAGAACAAAUAUGUAUGUCAAAAACUCUAACAAGCAAGUUACAUUUGCAGCAGCGUCUUUAUGCUCAUCGCUUGGAGUAAGGUGAGUCUGUAGACAAACACUUUAACAAUGUUUAAAGAAAUUCUCUCAAACUUGGAGGCCAUGGAGGUUCAGUAUGAUAAGGAAGAUCUAAGGUUGAUUCUACUUUAUUCGUUGCCCCCAUCUUAUUCAACCUUUAGAGACACGAUUUUAUAUAUUCGCGAGUCUCUCAUAGUUUAUGAGGUUUAUGAUUCUUUGACCUCGUAUGAUAAGAUGAAGCAUCUUAUGGUUAAACUCGACUUUCAGAGAGAGGGUUUUAUUGUUCAUGGGAGACAAGAUCGGAAUGCUGAUGAUGAUCGUAGAAGGACACAGGAACAGAAUCCUCAUGGUAAAUCUAAGGGUAGAUCGAAGUCUUCAAACAGAGGUAAAACUUAUAACUUCUGCAAGAAGAAAGGGCACAUUAAAUUUAAGUGCUAUAAGCUGCAGAACAAGAUUAAAAAGGAGACUGCGAAUCAAAAGGGAAAACAACCAAAAAAUUCCAAUAAAGCUGAUGUUGUAGAAGACUACAGCGAUGGUGAACUUCUAGUCGCUUCUGUUAACAAUUCUAAAGUGAGCAAGGAGUGGAUACUUGAUUCAGGCUACACCUUUCACAUGAGUCCCAAUUGGGAUUGGUUUACAACUUACGAAACAGUGUCUGAAGGUGUUGUUUUGAUGGGAAAUAAUGCUUCAUGUAAAAUUGCAGGUGUUGGAACAAUUAAAGUUAAGAUGUUUUAUGGAGUUGUUAGAACACUUAGUGACGUACGACAUGUUACAAAAUUGAAGAGAAAUUUAAUUUCAUUGAGUAUUCUUGAUUCAAAAGGGUAUAGAUACACAACUGAAAGUGGAGUUUUAAAGAUUUCCAAAGGUUCCCUUGUUGUGAUGAAAGGGUAGGGAAAGACUACCAAGUUAUAUGUUUUGCAGGGUUCUACUGUUACUGGUAAUAUAGCUGUCGCUUCCUCUUCCUUGUCAUAUAAUGAUAUUACUAAACUUUGGCAUAUGCGCCUAGGGCAUAUGAGUGAGAAUGGCAUGACAGAAUUGAGCAAAAGAGGACUUCUUGAUGGAUAAGGAAUUUGUAAACUGAAGUUUUCUAAGCACUGUGUUUUUGGGAAGCAAAAGAGAGUUCAAUUCACCAGAAUAAUCCACAACACGAAGGGAACAUUGGAGUAUAUUUAUUCUGAUCUGUGGGGGCCAUUUAGAGUGCCUUCAAGAGAUGGAGCUAAUUAUAUGCUAACUUUUAUUGACAAUUUUUUCAGAAAAGUUUGGGCGUUCUUCCUAAAGCAGAAAAGCGAUGUGUUUUUUGCAUUUAAGUCUUGGAAAAUUAUGAUUGAAAAAUAGGUAGAAAAAUAAAUAAAAUACCUCUACACAGACAAUGACUUAAAGUUCUAUUCUGAUGAGUUUAAUAGACUAUGCAAGUCAGAAGGGAUAGUGAGACACUUGACAGUUCGUCAUACUCCACAGCAAAAUGGCGUUAUAGAACGAAUGGACAAAAUGAUCAUGGAGAAGGUUUGAUGUAUGUUGUUAAAUGCCAACUUACUGAAGUCGUUUUGUGCAGAAGCAACCUCUACUACAUGUUUUUUGAUCAAUCGAUCUCCAUCUGUUGCCAUUAAGAAAAAGACUCCACAAAAGGUAUGGUCUGGUAAUCUUGCUAAUUAUUCUGACUUAAAGAUCUUUGGGUGUCCUGUGUAUGCUCAUGUUCAUAAUGGAAAAUUGGAACCGAGAUCCAUUAAAUGUGUUUUUCUUGGUUAUAAAGUUGGUGUAAAAGGGUAUAAGUUAUGGUGUCCUGAAAAUAGAAAAGUUAUGAUUAGCAGAGAUGUCGUUUUUGAUGAAACUACUAUGCUACCUAACUUAUCUCUUAAAGAUUCUUCCAAUAAAGAAAAUCAAAAGCAAGUGGAGCAUCAGAUUAAUACAGAGUCGACUCCUCAAGCCAGUACAAAAAUUGAGAAUAGAGUUGCUUCUUCACCGCAAUACUCUAUUGCCAAAAACAGAACUAGAAGAGAAAUUAAACCUCUAAAGAAGUAUGUUGAGGCUGAUCUAGUUGCUUAUGCUUUAAAUGUGGCUGAAGAAAUAGAUGCAAAUCAAGAGGCAUCUAAUUAUUCUGAGGUAGUUAGCUGUGAAGACUUAGAAAAGUGGAUAUUUGUUAUGCAAGAGGAGAUGAAAUCACUCCACAACAGCAGAACAUGGGAUCUUGUGAAACUUUUUAAAGGUAAAAAAGGUUGUUCGUUGUAAAUGGGUAUUCAAAAAGACAGAAGGGACUCCAAGAGUUGAAGAACCCAGAUAUAAAGCAAGGCUUGUUGCAAAGGGUUACAGUCAAAUUCCAGGAGUGGACUUCAUAGACGUGUUCUCCUCAGUUGUUAAGCAUAGUUCAUUUCGAGCUUUGCUUGGUAUUGUGGCCAUGCAUAAUUUGGAGCUUGAGCAGUUAGAUGUAAAAACUGCAUUUUUGCAUGGAGAACUUGAAGAGGAUAUUUACAUGCAACAACCAGAGGGUUUUACAGUCUCAGAAAAAGAGGACUAUGUUUGCUUGCUGAAAAAGUCCCUUUACUGUUUGAAACAAUCACCAAGACAGUGGUACAAGAGGUUUGAUUCCUUUAUGACUUCUCAUGAUUUCAAAAGCAGUAGUUUUGAUAAUUGUGUUUACCUUAAGAAAAACAAUGAUGGUUCUUUUGUGUAUCUACUUCUUUAUGAUGAUGACAUGUUGAUAGCAGCAAAAGAUAAAGGAGAGAUAAGAAAGGUCUAAGUCUAACUAAGUGAAGAAUUUGAGAUGAAAGAUUUAGGACCAGCAAAGAAGAUACUUGGUAUGGAGAUUCUCAGAGAUAGAAAAGCAAGUAAAUUGUACCUAAGUCAGAAGAAGUACAUUGAGAAAGUUCUUUGCAGGUUCAAUAUGUAGAGUGCUAAGCCUGUUAGUACUCCUUUAGCAGCCCAUUUCAAGCUUUCAUCGGCUUUGUCUCCACAAUUAGAUGAUGAGAUUGAGUACAUGUCACAUGUUUCAUACUUUAGUGCAAUGGGAUCUCUCAUGUAUGCUAUGAUUUGUUCACUUCUAGAUUUAUCAUAUGCAGUCAGUACAGUAGCAUAUACAUGGCGAAUCUCGUUAAGAACACUAGAAAGCAGUUCAGUAGAUUUUAAGAUACUUACAAGGUACUACUGAUGUCUGCUUACAGUUUGGAAGAACUAGAGAUGGAGUCGUAGGUUGAUGCUGAUUUUGCUGGAGACCUUGAUAGAAGAAGAUCUCUCACAGGUUAUUUCUUUACAAUCGGAGGUUGUGCAAUCAGUUGGGAAGCCACUUUGCAAACUACAGUUUCUUUGUAUACCACUAAAGCUGAGUACAUGGCGAUUACUGAGGCUUGUAAAGAAGCUAUUUGGUUAAAGGGACUCUUUAGUGAACUCAAUGAAUACCUUCAAAUCAGAACAGUAUUUUGUGACAGUCAGAGUGCAAUCUUCCUUACAAAAGAUCAAAUGUUUCAUGAGAGAACAAAACACAUUGUUGUUCAGUAUCAUUUUGUUCGUGAUAUUAUUGCUCGUGGUAAUAUUGUUGUGAGCAAAAUUAGUACUCAUGAAAAUCCUGCAGAUAUGAUGACUAAGUCACUUCUAAUACCAAGUUUGAGCAUUGCUUAGACUUGGUUGGUGUCCAUUGUUGAAGUUAAACCCUUAAGGGGUUUUAUGGAGAAGGUGGAGAACUUGUUCGUUGAGAGUUCUCGAUAAAGAACUUGUUCAUUGAGAAUUCGUGUCAAGGUGGAGAUUGGUAGAACUAAAUGACCCGAAUCCUUAUUUAAAUAAAAUGCAGUGGUAAAAUAAAAUAAAAGUAAAAUCCAUACAGAACUACACUUCUUUUAUUUUAUUUUAGAAUAAGGUUUUUUAAACCUUAUUAAACUCCAUCUAUUUUAUAUUGAUUAAAAUAAGGUGUUUCAGUCUUACUAGAAUAUGGAUUUACAAGCCUAUAAAUAGACGUAGUCUAUUCCUCUUGUAAUUAUUCGAAUUCGACAUAGUGAAUUUUCUUCUCCUCUACCCGUGGUUUUUUUUCCCAAAAGGGUUUUUUACGUAAAAUCUGUGUGUUCUUUAUUUUAUUUUAUUUUAUUUUAUUUUCACACCUAAUGAUCUACAACUCUCUUCCACAUUGUUUUAGGUGCAACCUCUCUCAUUUGCAUUGUAUUUUACUAUGUGAAGUUUUGACUCUUUCAUAUUGUUUUUUAGUGCAUUUCAUGUUAUAUUCUCUCUCUACAAUAUGGAUUAUGUCACAUGUUAUAUUGCUUUCUACCACAAGCCAUAAAGAUGUGGAACCCUAAGAUCAAGCACAAGAAACCAUAAAGUCAAGUUUGAAAAGUCCUAAAAAUAAGAAAGAAAAAGGAUGGACUUAUUAUAUUGUAUCUACCUAAAGGAAGGAUGAGUGUACCAAAUGAAAUUCUUAGUCAAAAGAGUGUAUAAUAAGAUAUAGAAUUAAAUCAAGUUAGAUUCAAAAUGAUGAAGUAAAUAAAAUAAAUAGAAAGAGAAGGAUAGGUUAGGAAUACCAAAACCUUGGAUAACUUGUAUCAAAAAACAAAAUUGAUUGGACUUGAACUCUUAGGAAACCCAUAGAAUAAGAACUCCUCUAAAUUUUGGUAAUUACGCUUAAAAGUUGAAGACUUAUAAUUCCUUGAAAGACUUUAAAGUUACAAACUCCAAAAACAAAUAAGAGAAGAAUCACUCAACUCUCAAAGAAAACUUUGUUCAACUUUAUUUAAUUUUGUCCUAGAUGAUUGGCCAAGCCUUCUUUAUAUAGAUACUUACAUGAUAAAGUUUACAAUAAAUAUAAACUCCCAAGAAAAUAAUAUAAAAUUUGACACUAACAAUUUAAUCUACAAUCAAACUCUAUUUAAUAAAUAAACAAGUAAUUAAACACGUUUAAAACUAAUUAAAUAUAUAAUUUUACAAGUCUUAUAAAUUAAAAUUUUACUUAAAUGAAUAAAUCAAAUAUAUAAUUUAUUGAAUAAACUUCUAAGAGACAUGAAACUCUAACGUUUAGGCCUAAAGAAUAGCAAUUGGUGGAUAAAGAGAUUUUCAAACCCUUCAACGCAAUAAACUUUUAUUUAACUCGUCCAAAAAUUUCUACUUGCAUAGUCUUCACUCAAAUCAUCAUAACUUGGUCUCCCGAACUCAAAUUGACAAGUUUCAAAGUAAGUUGUUAAGAUAAGAGAUAGAUGUUUAAUUUAUAAGCAGAAAACCUCAAGAAAAAAGUAAGUUGUUAAGAGAAGAAAUAGAUGUUUUAAUUUAUAACCAGAAAACCUCAAACAAAAGAAGCUUGCAUCCAAAAAAAAUGUGUUGCUAGUUAGUUGAAAAAUCAACUUUGGUGAAUUUAAUUUAAUAAUUUUCAACCCUUUCGUGCAUGUAUCACUCUUGAACUCAAAUGAGCUAAUCCCUCUAGGUUUCAUAUCACGCAAGUUGUGUGUACAUCCAUUUGGUUCCUUCCACAAUGUUAUUAUGAUACAACUCCUAUGAUGUUCAUGGUUUCGAUUCUAUAGAACUCUAGCUCUAAUGUUGUCUUUGGGUUGUAUUCUAACUCUCUCUUUAUUGGAAUCUAGUUCCUUUAAUGUAGUUUUUGGUCAUAAAUACUUGUAAUUUUUUGAACAGAUUGUUUAAUAAAAUUCCAUUGUCCUUAAAUUUUUUUUGUGCGCAAAGCAAAAUGAACAAGAAUAUAUUGACUCGUUAAAUAUUGGCUCAUUGAUUACCUAACAUUUAACUAAUAUUAAGUUACAUUAUGUAGUCAGAUCAUAAUACAAGAAGACAACUUAUAUUAGUAGGCAAUCUAAAUGGUUUGUAGUUUAAAGAAUUGAAAUUGAGUAAAUUGGUUCAAUGACUAUUAUGUCGUGUAUCAAGUUCAAUUAGGGAGAUACCUAUUCUUGGGUAUUAGAGUGAAUGACUCCCAAAAGAUAAAGACAUAGGUGUGAUUGUCUAGGCUGACAAGACAUCAAAUAAGACCUAAGUAGAUUAAAUCCUAAAUAUGUUUAUGGAUUUACUCACUCGUGACAUUCAAAGUGUGGCUUACCUCAAUCCUGAGUGACUGACUGUGUGCAUGACUCGUAUACUUUGAUGUAUUGAAAGGAUGGGUUCAAUUGGUAAUUGAGACAAAAGCUAGGACAUCAGGUAUAUGACUUCAACAUAGCAUAGCUUCACUUACGAUAGUGGAAUCCAUAGCCUAACAAAAGGUAAAUGGUAUCCUCUCAUAGGUAUUACAUGAUAAAUGGAAAAACGUGGCCAUACAUCAUUUGUCUCGCACGAAUGAUUUCAUUAUUAUUUGUUAGUGUUAACAGAUACGAAUAGAAGAACAAAAAUAAGAGAAGAAAUGAUUGAUGAAAAGUUAAUUGUUUUCAUCUCUGGAGUUAUCCUAUUUAUAUACAAGUCUAUAAAGUGUAAAAUAAGGAAAGAUAAUAAAAUAAAAUCAUAAUGUUAAACCCUAAUCCCUAAGAAUAUGUAACCCUCCCCCUCAAUUUUGAUCUAGGAUAUUGAUUAUGCCUAGUUUGUUAUAUAAAUAGCCAACCCGAUUUUCAUUUAAUGCCUUUGUAAACAAAUCAACAAUUUAUUCUCUUCUCUUUACAUAAUCCGUGGAGAUAAAAUUGUCCAAAAUUUUCUCCCGAAUAAAGUGACAAUAAAUGUUAAUAUGUUUGAUUCUUUCAUGAUAAAAUGGGUUUAAGGCGAUAUGUGUUAGAAAAACAAGUUUGGAAAAUGCAGUGGAAAAUAAAUUUAGGGAAGAACUAGAGUUUUCAAAUUUUUCUAAAACAAGAUCUUGGUUGUGAUAUCUAAAGUAAUAAACACUUAAUCAAAAUUGUACCUUUUCAAUUCGUCUAGGAUGAACACUUCGACCAAGUAGUCUUCUCUAUCCUCAAGCUCAUGUCUGCCGAGUGUGGGCUCGCUUUGAAUCAAAAAAAAAUUCACAAAAAUUUCCAGUGAGGUAAUUUUGAAAUUUAUCUAAACUUUUGGGUCAAGUUGUAAAUAAAAAAAUAUCUCUAGAAAUUUUCUGAAAUAAUCUCUUUAGUGAAUUUUCUCUUUACAACUUUCUCUUGAAUUCAAGUGUGUAAAUAAUGACCUAAGGCUCUCUUUAUAUAAGGAGAGUUUGGCGAGUUCAACUAUGAUUAAACUUAAUCACUUUAAUAUUAAAUUAAUAAAAUACUAUUAAGAUAAAUAUUAAAUUAAAUUUAAUAUUAAACUAUUAAAAUAAUAUUAUUUUUGGAAUAGUUAAUCUGAAAUCGAAUUCUCUGGUAGAGUCCUAGUAGGAGUGUAACUCUUCCACUGCUCAACCACUGCCAGUUACCAGGACACUACUGUCACAGCCACUAGCACCGCUGUGUCGGGUGAUGCAGGUGCGACACCCUUAUAGCACCCGAGUCGAUUCGGUGUGUAACACCCCCAAACUGUCUCCGUCACUGGAUUAGGGUUAUGGAGCAUUACUGAUCAAUUAGAAAACAUUUAUCAUCAUAAUAUUUAAUAAAUUAAUCUCAAUCAAAAUCAUAUCAAACAUAUACAUUUCAUCCCUAAAUCAAGCCUUCUAGGCCCUAGAAAUAAUUUAGAAGCAAUUCAGGACUAAUUUGAAACAAAAUAGAAGUUUUAAGAAAAAGAAGCAAAAAUGAGAAAACAGAGGUCACAUGACCCUGUGGCCAGGUUGUGCGACAUAGCCCAUACCGUGUAACAAUCGAACAAGGGACACACGGCCUUGUCCCAGCCAGUGUCCUUACCCAUUUAACUCACUGAGUAAGGUCACACGCCAUGUCGCAGUCCGUGUGCUAGGCCAUGUAACACACUGACUUAAAACACUAGGAAAUAUCAAAUGACACACAACUGUGUCAUUAGAUCAUGUGUGUCACACUACUGUGUGACAGCCCGUGUUUCAGGCUGUGUGAGCCAAAAAUUGACCCUAAGUUCAAGCCAUUUCAAGGUCAACCCAUACCUAGCCAACUAUGCCAUUUGGGCACACAAUCAGAAAACUUAAACAACAUUUAAACACAUCCAAACAUACCACUUCUAACAUUCUAAUUCAUCCAACCAAUAUGUCAUUCAAAGGCACCACAUUUAUACCAAAACAUCAUUAAUUAAAUCAAAGCAAUAUGGUCACAUUUCAAGCAUAAGACCUAAUUUCUUUAACUACCAAAUAACAUCACAUAUAACCAUUUACAUAUCAUCACAAACAUAACAAAAAGAACCAUAUAAUCCAAGUACUUAAAAAUGGCCAAAAUAACCAUUCCAAAACAUGCCAUCAUACCAUAUACUAUCUAGAACCUAUGGAGUUUGCAUGAGGUUUCAUUCACCCAUAUUUGCAACUAUUAUUUAUGCAAACAUUUACCUUAUUAACCAUAACAAGCUUGACACAACUCAAGACAAGCAAUUUCAUUUAAAUAGCCUUUCAACCCUAUUACAUGCUAUUUAUAUCCAUUAACCAAAAUAACCAUAAAUACCAAUAUGUCGAAUAGAUAGUGUGACGAUACUCCAACAAGAUUCCAACCGGCUGAAGUUCCUGAUAAACUACAAGAUAGAGGAAACAAUUACGUAAGCAUUUAAUGCUUAGUAAAUUCGUUUAAGCAAAAUUUAACUUAUCAAUCAUAUUAAAUUAAACAACCAAACCUACUCUCAUUAAGUCGAUUUCCAAACUUCCUUUCCUAUACAUAUCACCUCAUAAGGUUAGUAAAUAUAUCAUUAGAAAUAAACCCUAAGUAUGUCAUGGCAUAUACAUGAUAAACAUUUAGGUUUCAUCCAUAAUACAUCACUUAUACAUAUAUCCUUUACACAUACUUUCCAUUGAAAUCAUGUGGUUAAUAGAUAGUAAGUAAACAAUACAUCUAUAAAACAUAACAUAGAUUAAGAAAUAGAUUCCAUGCAUAUUUCAUCCAUCACUCGAUAAAUUAUCAUCCAUUUUCAUAUUGUAUAAGCAUAUUCAUCUUUCCCUUUCAUAUGAACAUUAGAAACAUUUAAUUUUCAUAAAUUCCUUUCCAUUAACUUAUACAUACCUAUUGAACUGUAUAGAAUAGCAUUGGAUUCUUGGGAAUGCUCACACAUAGUGUGUCUUUUCAUGUAACCAUAACAUUUCCUUUCCAUUACUGCUCACACGAGCUGCGAAACGGGCUUGCUCACAUGAGUUGUGGGUCGAAAUGUUAGUUACACAAUGCUGCUCACACAAGAUAUGGAGUAUCCGCAACAAAUACAGGACCUCAGCCAUCGAUAGGACAUCCAAGACCAGCACCUGAAUCCGUAUAACCCUAAUGGCAUGUCAUUUGUAUCCUAAGUAUUCACAAUGUUAAAACGGACCUUUUCACAUAUCCAAUUCUUUAAAUUUCAUUAUAUUAUACCAUUUCACACAUGCUUCAUGAAAUACAUAUUUUUUUUAAUUUUACACAUCCAAAAUCUUUCCUUUCAUUUCAUUGUACCAUUCCACUGUACAAAAAGUGAAGUUCAUAUUUUUCAUAUAUAGACUUUAAUUUAAUUAGCUUCACAAUUUAAUCCAUUAUACUAAAUUAAUACAAAAACUAUCCAUCUAAUUAUGCUUAUCACAAUUAUUACUUAACAUUUCGUCCAAAACAACAAUAACAAUUUUUAAUGCUUAUACAAACUUACCUUGACAAAUACAGUUGUAAAAACGAAGCUGAUGACAACAUUUAGUUUUUCCUCGAUUUUGAUAUGUUUUGCUCGUUUCUUUAUCUAAAUAACAAUUUUUAUUCAAUUAAGCCAUUCAAAUAACUGAACAUAAUUAAUUCAAGCCUAUAAUCCAUUUUAAGGUGAAUUUAUAAAAUUACCCCUAACAUGUUAACAUUUAUUCAAUUUAUUCCCUAAACUCGAAACUUGCAAUUUCACCAUUUUUAACCAUAAAUCAUGCUAGCCAAAUUUUACCCAAUCUUAUAAUAGCCCAUAUUUAUCCACAAUUUACAAUAUUUUCCUUGAAUUUACCAUUUUCAUAAAUAAGUUAUUAAACUUGAAAUUCAUCAAAAAUUACUUAACAAAAUACUUAUAUUUAACAACCAAGCUUAAUAAUCUAUCAUAAAAUUUCAAGAACAUCACAAAUUCUUCCAAGGUAAAAUUCUAAACGUUUAACAAUUUAACAAUUUGACCCCCAGGUUAGCUAGAUUAAACUAAAAGAUAACAAAAACAUAAAAAUCAUUAAAAACAGGUGCAAAAUGGACUUACAUGCAUUGAAGUUAUUUUGGCCAAACCUUGGAGGUUAAUAGCCAUGGACAUUCGGUGGAGAGAAAGCCAAAUGAACAAGAUGAUACUUUUCUUUUUAUGUUUUAUUUAAUUAACUAUUUAAUUUACUAUUAUACCCUUGUAAUUUAACUAAAAUUUCUCAACUUUUCACCUUUAAACUGUCUAUUAAUAAUAAACAAGGUAUAUUUACCUUUUAAAACCCUUAAUUCAUGGUUCUUUAGCCAUUUAGUACAAUUAAACUAAUAGCGAUUGUCUUUUGCGUCCUUUACAAUUUAGUCUUUUUCCUUAAUUAACUAUCUAAAUAUUAAAAAUUUUAACCAAAUUUUAAUACGACCUUAAUAACACUCCUUAAAUAUUUAAUAAAAUAUUUACAACUUGGUUUAUAGAAACGAGGUCCCGAUACCUCAUUUUCUAAAACCACUUGACUUUAGGGACAUAGCAGUUGAACCUAAUUAUUCUUUUAUUUAACAUAAAUCAUUAAAUCAAAUUUUAUUAUUAUACUAUGUUUGACUCGUAAGUAUUAAAUAGUAAUAUUUAUAGACCACACAUCGGGUUUAUGGCCUCGAAACCACUAUUCUGACACCACAAAGAAAUGGGCUAUUACACGGCUGCUGCCGGUUCAAUCUGAAUCAAUGACGACCUGGCUAGCCCGGUCUAACAACCGGUUAAACCGUCGGCCUGGUUUCACAUACCUAGCCUGUUCAACAAUUUUUUGGGUCUUGGUCUUAGUUUUGGGCUCCUGGACCCAAUUUACGAUAUCAGAUCCAAUUUUCAAGUUCAAUUACCCAUUGGACCAAUUGUUUGACUUGAAAAUUAACUUUCAAAAAUAUCAUAUUAAUUUUUAUUGAUUCAAUUAAUUUAAUUUUACUUAAUCAAAAUUAAUUUUUUCAUAAUUAAUUUUACUUAGAUUAUCCAAAUUAAAUUUUCAAGAAAAUUCUUUAAUCAAAUUCUCUAGUUGAACAAUUCUUACGACCACCUAAUUUAAUUCCACAUCGAAUAAAUCGACUCAAUUAAAUUAUUCCCAAAGUCAUAGAAUUUUCUUUUGAUUCAAAUGCAGUCCAAUCAAGCUUUUGUUGAGCUAGCGGAGGGACCAAUCAGACAUAUACAAUUAAGCUCUAGUGAUUGCAAUUAUGUCCAAAAGCAUCGUUCUGAUAAUUCGCAAUUACUUAAUCAUGGAGUCAGUCCACAAGAAGUACCAUGAUUGAAAAAUCCUUAUUGUAUACUCUUUAUGAAAGCAAUUCAUCCAACUACAUUGUCCAAUAGCCUCGUCAUAUGUGUGUUACCCUCAUACGAUAUCCUUGAUUCCUUUGAGUUAAAUCCGUUCACUUAAUACAAUACAAUCCUAGUUUUCUCUCAUUGUCACCAUUGUGUCUUCUUAAUGAUUAAUGUGAUCAUUGUCAACAAAUGACUGUGAUAAAUUGCUCGUUUGAGAACAAGCAACCCAUGGCCACGUUUCAUAUUUAUCAAUCCACACAAUGCCAAUGAGAGGAUAUCAUUAACUCUUUAAUUGAGCUAUGAAUUCCACUAUUGCUAGUAAAGCCAUGCCAUACACAAGUCAUGUACCCAACAUAUCAGGUAUGGGCUCAAUCAUCUUUAGAGCAUAAGCCUCCACUUAUAUCAAAGCACAUGAGUUGCAUACGCAUGACCAGUGACUAACUCAGGAUUUAGGUAAAUUACAACAUAAACGUCAGAAGUGAAUUAAUUCACAAACGGAUUUAGAAUUAAUUUAUCUUGGGUUCAGUCCAAUGUAUCAUUCUACCAAUGAAUGCAUCUAUGUCUCUACUUGUGGAGUCAAUUGUUCCAAUAAUUAACACUGGCCAUCUCCCCCAUUGGAAUUGUAGACAACAUAAUAAUCCUUCCCAGUAUUUUAAUCAAAUACUCACUUCGAUUCUUUUACGGGAUUACGGACUUAUUUAGAUUAACUACUGAAGUAAAUUGUCCUUGCCGCAAUGUAAAUGUUCUUUAUAAUGCCAUUUAUCUUCAGUUUGAACUUUAGACAAUCAAUGAGCUAAUAUUUGCUUGUCACAAUUUCACUAUGCAUGCAAAAUAUAAAAUACAAAAAAUACAAAAUACAUAAUAAUUAAAUGUGAAAUUAACUUUAUUUAAUUAUUCGUUAUUUAAAUAAAUAGAAAAUAGUUACAUGAUUACUACAAUAUGGGCACAUUUCCCAACAAUACGAACAACUGCUUGAUUAUCGUGGUGAUGAAAUACUCCAACCCAAUUUUUAGUUAACAAAUGUUGUAUCCACAUAAUUUCACGUGUGGGUUAUGUCAUAGUCUUGUAUUCUGAUUUUGCACUAAAUCGAGAUAUAAAAUUUUUCUUUUUGCUUCUCCAUGAUACUAAGUUCAUACCAAGAAAUAUGGAUCUUCCCCUAUUGGAACAUUAAUAAAGUUUCCAUUAUGUUAAUUGGUUUGUCCAUUAGAGCCUACAUCCUAAGCAAGCCAAAGUUUGAGAAUAGCAAAGAAGAUUGUGUUGGUGGAAAUCCAAGAAACAACUUAGACUUUCUAUGCCAAAACACAGGCACGAGUUUGGUAAAAGAUUUAUUGCUAUAAACAACUCAACCACUUGGUUUUAAAAAAAAAUUAAUUUUUCACUGUGCAACAAAACUUAUUUCUAAAUUGAAUUUUUCCAACAAUUGGUGUUAAAGUUAAAGUAUAAAUCGGUUCACCAAAUGUUUGAUUGAUUAAACUGAUAAUAAGUGGCAUUUUUGCAUUAUAAGCAUGUUUCAUAUUUAUGUAAGUGAAUAGAUGAAUGAUAAUUGUUCAACAAUUUCUAAGAAGUAAUUUUGCCAAAAAUUUUGCUUCUUAGCAAUAGAUCAGUUGUAUUUAGGUUUAUUACUUUUUUUUGGUUUAUAAUUAGAUUGUGGACUCUUUUUAUUCAUGCAAGGUUUUUAUUUUAAUUUUAUGUUAGUUGAUUCAUCUAGCUCUAAAUGUUCAACGGAACUCAAAAAACAUGGCGAAUUUAAAAUCCAAACCAAAUAGAAAUACAACAAAUGAAGGGACAGAAAUUUGGCGUGUGAGGUAGUUGAACCAUUGGACUGAUCAUCCAGUCACCAUGCAAAAUGUGCUAGGGCAUCAUGCCCCCAGCAGGUGUACAAAACUGCACAAGUGACCAAGCCAUCACGUCCUUCUCGACAACCCAACAUACGUGUGUCAGGGCAUCACACCCUAACAGCACAUGACAACGAUAGAUGGGCUAGGGUGUCGAACCCUAACCUAGACGAAGUGCACGCAAGGCACACUAGAGGAAGUCAAGGGUUUGCACCCUAGUAGUGUGUGGCUAAAUUGGAGAAGCUAAAGCAUCACGCCCAACAAUCGACAUGCAACUGGGGUGAUAAAAACAAUGCAGGGGCUUCGCGACCCAACCAGGCCAAUCACCAAUUAAGCAUGGCAGCAACGCUAGCGGUGCGCAAACGACUUAUUGAGGGUAAGGUGAUUGUGCCAGUGGGUUGGUGCAACGAGUGGCCAGAUGGGCAACAAUUGAUGUCACAAUGAAGUUAGUGACAAGUUAACUAGCCAACGUGAAUAGUGACUAGCCACAAGCUAAUGGUGGCUGUGGCAGUGGAUCUUUCUCUUCAUUCAUUAGGUUUUGUUGUAGUUCUAUUGUUAUACAGGUUCUUUUGAAAAUAUAGGUUGUAUUUUCGCAUUAUGAUCCAACCACGUAAUACCACUUAGUAUUAGUUUAAACUUUAGAAAACCAAUGAACUAAUAUUUACUUCUAUUUUGCUUUGUAUGCAAAAACCACAUGAGGACAUUAUACAAAGUAUAUUAAUGUAAUACAUGAAUUAUUUUAUUAACCAAUUUGUUCGAAAAGAUUACAAGUUUACAGACGAAAUACUACACUUAGGGCACCAUAUCCAAUAGAAACCUUGUUUUUAGUAGUGAUGCUCAAGCCAAUCUACUUUCUAGUAUCCAAUGUGGUAGCUAUUGAUUAUGAGAUUUGAAAAAUAGAUACAAAAACCACAAUUCUAAAUGGCUAUCUCAAGAAAGAACUUAUAUGGUACAACCUACCAGAUGUAUAGCUAAAGGAAACAAGAAUAAAAUUUGUAGAUUGCUAAGGUCCAUAUAUGGGCUUAAACAAGCAUCCCAUUCGUGGAAUCAAAGAUUUGAUCAAGCAAUCAAUGUAACACCCUAAACCCAGCCUAGACGUCCAGUCCAAGUUUACAGAGUUACAUUAUGAAUACUCAAAUACUACGCAAAACACAACAAUACCAAACCAUAAUUCACAUAAAAUUCAACAAAAAUAUUAGUUAAGUAUAUAAUCUUUCAAAGUCAUACUAUUAUAGUUUAUCGAAACUUCUAUCAAAAUAUUUUAAAAAAAGCUAAUGGCUCGACCGAGCUUCCGCAGCACCGAUCCGUUCAAGUCUGCGAACCACUUGAAAUCUAAGUAAUAACAAAAUGAGUUGUGAACUUAGUGCGUAAAAGAAGUUUGUUCAAUAAAUGCUUACUUAUAAGAUAGUUCUAAAUUCAGAGAUUCGGUUUGACAUAGAAGUAAUUUCAGUUCAGAUUCAAAAUAGGUUAGUUACACAUACAUGUAUGUAAUUUCAGUUUCAUAUAUGAUAAAGAUUAAUUUAAGGUGUAAUGUUCCUACCCCCAUCCAUUAUACACCAUCUUCAGCCAUCCUAACACACUGUUAAGGACAUUCAAUGUCCAAUCAACCCUGUACACCAUAGAGUGUCUGUUUGACACUUUACAGAUAUGCAACGUAGCUGCUAGACUAGAUUGCGAUAAAGCGCCAGAAUCAGAUUUAUAUGUAUAGUGGCGUAGCCACUGAUUUAGAACAGACUACUGCCUUCUUCACAAUAUCCCCACCCAGGCAAAUAUAGAGCACAAUUACCCGUAUCAUGUAUUCAAUCAUUCUAGUUUAUUUCACAAAUAGAUAAGAUAGUUCAAUUCCAAAAUAAGUAUCUUAAUAUUCAUACAACUAUGUUAUUUCCACUUUAGUCUCAAAAUAUCAGAUAGUUCCCAUAUAAUCAAAUCAUACAAUAAGAAUACUAGUAUCAGUGUUCAAUAAAAUUCACGGCCUCAAAAAUAGGUUUCAGGCCCUAAUAACAUGCCACACAACCUGGUCACCCUCCUAUGUGCCUUGCCUGUGUGGUUUUGAAGCAUAAAUAGUGAGUUACACGGCCUAGGCACACGCCCAUGUUCCUGUCACUGUGACUUACACGGCCUAGGUACACGCCCGUGUCCCUGGCUGUGUGGUUUUAUUCCACAUAAAGUGAGUUACACGGUUGGACACAUGUCUAUAUUCCUCCCAGUGUGACUCACACGGCUUGGGUACACGCUUGUGUCCCUGGCCGUGUGGUUUUAUUCCACAAACAGUGAGUUACACGGCCAAGAAACAUGCCCGUGUGCUUUACCCGUGUGAACCUUACACUAAUAUGGCCACACACGGCCUAGACACACGCUUGUCUCCCUGCUGUAUGGCUCAAAAUUGAUAAAUAGUGAGUUACACGGCCAACCACAAGGCUGUGUAGUGUCGACAGCUACCAUUUUCGUUGACCGAAACUUGCAAAAAUUUAGGUUUCUGUACGCACUUUGUUCCGUUUGGAAGAAAAAAUGCGAAGAAUACCCGGAACCUAAUUAACCAUUCAAUAAUAAAUUACACCAUCGUUUUCAAUAUUUUACUAAAAUCACCUACCGUUAAGAUCAUAUCAAAAAUUUCGACGCAACCCCAACUCAAAUCACAUACUUACCUUGUACGAAAUAGAGGGAAUCGGACUAACACGACAAAGUCACAUCUCUUGUAAUAUCCUCACCUAAAAAGUAAUCAAUCGAGUGUUUAACAGAACGUCAAACAAACGAGCAAAAUCCUGUUUCGACAAAAUAGUGUUAACAUAAUAGAAUUCGCAAAACGAAAAGGAAUAAUAAUGGAACUUACCCAAUAUCAACCUCACAGGCAACGAAGAAUUCCCAAUUCACGCAAAAUCAAUUGCAGUAAGAAGAAAAAUAAAAGAAAAGAAGAGCAGGACAACAAGGAACUAAAAUUUAGAAAAAGAAAAAAAAAAGAAAAAGGACGAUAAAACUCUUCAUAAUGUUUUAAAUUAACCACUAUCCCACCUACCAGAAUUUGCAAAAAAUAUAUUUCCUAACACACACGAUGGGACUUGAACUCGGAACUAGACAAAUACAGACAGAUGCUCAACCAGUGAAUCAGCAGGCUCAUUCUUGUCACUGAUUUACCCAGAAUUGCACUUAACUACAUAACACAUGGAUAAAGUUUGUUUUAAGAAAACUAAUAACAAAAAUUUUAACAAUACAACUCAAACUCCUGACCUUAAACCAUAAAAGCAGAGCACAGAACCACAGAUAUAGAAAUUUAAUUACUACAGAUUCUCACAAUUAAACCCUUAAAUUUUGGGGCGUUACAAUAAAAACUUUUGGAUUCAAAAGUAAUGUUGAUAAACCUUUUGUUUAAAACAGACUGUGGAUGGAUAUGUGGUUUUUCUAGUUUAUUAUGUCGAUGACAUACUAUUCAUUAGGAAUGAUGUAGAGAUUUAACAUGAAGAAUUUAAGUGAAGCUAACAAUGUUAAGGAAUUUGAAUCCUUAGGGAUCAAAAGAAUAGCUUUAUCGUAAGCUCUAUACAUAGACAAGAUAGUGGAAAAAAGGUUAUGGAAGAAAGAUUGUAUAUGAAAAAGGUAAAAUCUCAUGUAUGUGAUGUUAUGGACAUGUCAAAGAUAUUUUUUGUGAAGUAUAUAGUCAAGUAUUUACAGAGAAUGAGGGAUUAUAUGUUAGUUUAUUCUAAAGGGGCUUUAACUCAUAUUGGAUGUAUGGACGCUAACUUCCAAAUGUGUGAAAUUCAAGGAAAUCAACAUCGAGUUGUAUUUUUAUCUUGAGCGGGGAAGCUAUAAUAUGAAGAAGUGUUAAGUAGAGUUGCAUUACUAACUCCACUAUAGAGGUCCAAUAUGUGGUUGCUUUUGAGGCAACAAAAAAUGAAAUUUGGUUUCAGAAGUUCCUUACAAAUCUCAAAGUCAUUCCUAGUAUAGAGAAAGCUACCACUUUGUAAUACAAUAACAUUAGAAUAAUAUCUAAUACUAAGGAAACCAGAAAUCAUAAACAGACAAAACAUACUGAUAAAAAAUAUCACAUUAUAUGAGAGGUGUUGGCAGAUGAUAUAUUUGAUAUAUUCAAAGUUGCAUUUGAGGAAAACCUUGUGGACCCAUUUACCAAGACUCUAGUGCUAGGAGUUUUGAGAAAUAUGUAGAGGGUAUGGGUAUGCAAAAUAUAACUCAUCUACUUCACUAGCACAAGUAUAAGACUAUUAGGAUCUAGUGCCUUUAGUAUAGUUUUUAUAAUAUGUACUUGUAUUUUUCAAAGAAAUUGGUUGAAUAAAAUUCAAUCUGUUACAUUAAUAUCAUUUGUAUUUUUUCCUCAAUAGGUUUUUCACACAAAGCAAAAUGAACAAGCAAAUAUUGUCUCACUGAUUACCUAACUUAUAACCAAUAUUAAGUUGCAUUAUGUGGUCAAAUCUUAAUGUGAGAAGACAACUUAUAUUAGUAGGUAAUUUAAAUGGUCCAUAGUCUAAACAAUCAUAAUUGAGCAAAUCAAUUUAAAGACUAUUACGCCAUCUAUCAAGUCCAAUUAGGGAGAUAUCUUGUCUUAGGUAUUUGAGCAGAUGACUCCCAAAAGAUAAAGACAUAGGUGUGAUUGUCUAGAAUAACAAGACAUCGGAUAGGACUCGAGUAGAUUAAAUCCUAGAUCUGUUGAUGGAUUUAUUCAUUUAUGACAUUCAUGAUGAGACUUACCUUGAUUUGAGUGAAUGAGUGAUUAUGUAUGUGUGACUCGUAUACUUUAAUGCAUUGAAAGCCUAAGUUCAAUUGGUAAUAGAGUCGAAAGUUGGCACGUUGGUUAUAUGACUUUUGCAUGGCAUAACUUUACUUAGUAGAAUUCAUAGUCCUGCAAAGAGUAAAUGAUAUCCUCUUAUAGGCAUUACUUCAUAGAUGGAAAAGUACCACAGUCACAGUCAUUUGUUUGGCACGAAUGAUUUAAUUACUAUUUGCUAGUAAUUAAUGUUUUCAUAAAGGAAGAUAUAAUGGUUACUAUUAGAUAAAAUAGAAUCAUAUUAGGUGAACAAAUUUAAUACAAAAAGAUUAAGAUAUCCUAUGAGGCUAACACACAUAUGACAAGGUCAUUGGACAAGGAGUUGAUUAUAUACUUUCGUACUGGUAUAUAAUAGGGAGAGUUUAGUCAUGGUACUUAAAUGAAAUUGCCCCAAGACUAAAUAAUGUUGUAAUUAAUAGAUGAAAAGUUGGGAAUUAACUAUAAAUUAGUUGAGCCUUAAUUAUAUAUGUCAAAUCGGUCCCUCUGCUAGCUUGGUACAAACUUGAUCGUUUGCAUUUGAAUCAAUGAGAUGAAUAAAUGAAAAUGAAAAAUUAGCGAAAUAGAUCUCAUAUAUCACUAUUGUAACACCCCAAACCCAGCCUAGAUGUUAUGGUCGAAUCUAAAGAUAUCACAGAGAAUGGGUUUAGUUAUGUAAAAUAAUUUCAGACAUUUAACUCGUAUACUUUAUGUCCAUUUCCGAAAACGUUAAUUAAUUAGUUUAUUUGCCAAACCUAUUUUACACCGGAAGCCAAACAAACCAAUACAUUUUAGAAAUUCGAUUUGUAUUUUAAAAAAACCUCUUUUGCGUAAAAACCGUCGAUUUCAUAAAAUUAUUUAUCAAGGCAUGCAAAUUAUUAUCAAGCUGAAAAUCAACAGUUAAAAAUUAUAAAGUCCAGAGAGUCCCAUAAAUUACAAACUCUCAGAAUAAACCAAAAUCGUAAAUCGUAAAUAAAACCAUAAUUUAAUAAUUUAAAGCAGUUUACGGUCGAGUGGUCACCGCUGAGUCUCUGCGGCACUGAUCUGCCUAAAUAUGUGGAUUACCUGACAAAACAGACAACCAGAUGUGAGUUUACGUAAACUCAGUAUGUAACCCAACAGAAUUAAGCAUGCAAAAAUACAUAAUCAUAGACACAGUCAGAAGCAGAUACAUAUUUUGAUUCAGAUUCAGAUCCAGAUUCAGAUUCAGAUUACAAAAACAGAUAUGCAGAAAUCUUACCCUCAUCCUCUACGCACCAACUCUGUCCAUCCCAUCAUACCAUGUGGGUUUAAAAACACCCACCCAUCCCUAUACACAGUGUCGUGCCUUUAAGACACAUAUUAGAUAAUAUGCAGCCAAACUGCCAGAAUAUAGGCGUUUAACGCCGAACAGAAUACUUCCUCCUCAUAUACAAAUGCCACCCUACAAUUAUAUAUAGAAAUAGAUACAGAAUAACAUACUAGACAUGCUCAACAUGUUUACGUACAGAUAUCAAAAUAAUUAGACAUGCAUAGCAUUAUCAUAUUCAUAACAGAAUUCAGACUAUUAAAGUUAUAGUUAUGGGGUUUGAUUAGCCCUUACCGACCCUACGAUAGGCUCACAGUUGAUUGGUACGACCUUGCAACCCUAAGGAAAAUUUCAGAAAAAUGGGUCCACAUGCCCAGAUUGGCCUUGCCAGUGUGGCCUAUACGACUUAGCCAAAAAUCUACACAUCCGUGUGAUGUGCCCGUAUGAGCUCACACGACCGUGUGAUGUGCCCGUAUGGGCCCACACGCCCACAACCACUUCAUUAUCAUCCUCAGUUCUCAAAACAACCCUCUUAAUUGCGCAAUCCAAACUAACUUGAUGCUUAACCAACCAAUCCAUACCCAAGAUCAAGUCAAAUUCCCUAAAUAGAAGCUCCAUUAGAUUUGCCAGAAAUACCACUCCUUACACCUCUAACGGAACGCCUUUAUAAAGUUUACUAACCUGAAUAGAUUGCCCCAACGGACUCGGUACAGUAACCUCACUAGUAGUGCUCUCAAUAGAAAUCCCUAGGGUUCCAGAUACAAUACUUCCUACAUAGUAGUGUGUAGAACCUACGUCUAUCAGAGCAGUAUAAAGUACAUCAAAUAUAAAGAACGUACCGAUGUUGACAUCAGGGGCAUCUCUAUCCUCUCAGCGUCGUGCAGCAUAAUCCAGUGCAGGCUGCCUCGCCUCAGUCUGACACCUCUGGCCGGUGCUCUCUGCCCAUGACCUAUACCUUUACCACCCUAGCCUGUCUACGGCUCCUAAGUGGCUAUUGAACUGCCCUUUAAGGCUGCGCAAAACCUGGUCCCAAAGCUUGCAUCUGAUUAGUCCUCUAUGAACACUCUCAAAUACGGUGCUCAAAUGACCCACACCACAGACAAGCCCCUAUCCUCCUCCAAAACUCACCAGAAGGUGCCUACCACAAUCACCGCAUAGCUGAAUCCCAAUAAGAGCAACAGGAGCCCCUACUCUAACUGACCCAUCAGAUCUAGCCAUUUUCUUAUGCCUCUGAAUAGAACUCGAGGGUUCUGAAUCCCUCUUGUUCCUACCCUUCUCUCUAUCCCUAUUCUAGCACUCCAUAAGCUUAACAUCAUCGGUGAUCUUUACCUUCUCAACCAAAAUUACAAACUCUCACUCCCUCUAUGGAGCAAUCAGUACCCUCAGAGUAUCCCUUAAUCCAUCCUCAAACCAGACGCACCUCUUAUUCUUAGACGUAACCAUUCCUUGAGCGAAAUGGCUCAACCUCAAAAACUCAGCCUCAUAUUCAACCACAGAUCUGUUGCCCUGCGCGAGAUUCAUGAACUCAUGCCUGCGAGCAUCCACAUUGCUCGCCCCCAUGUACUUACUCUGAAAGGUGGUCUUAACGAAAACCCAAUUCAGACAAGCAGUCUGAGUACGCUCAUCAACCGUCAACCACCAUUGAUAAGCCUCAUCGUGAAACAAAGAGAUUGCCCCUUUUAGUUUCUGAUCAGGAGUGCAAUUUAGAUCACUCAUGAUCCUCCCAGUGGCCUCUAACCAAUACUCGGCCACAUUAGGGGCGACUCUAGUAACACCCCUAAACAACUUAGCACCAUUGGACCGGAGUCGUUUAGUUACUAACCCUUAGCCUCCAGCUCCAGAAUAGGGUCCAACGACCCUUUCUAAGAUCCUCAGCAUGGCUUGAGACAGUGCGUCAUCCUCAGUCGAGCGACUUUGAGAACCAGUGUUGGUAGCAGGGGAAACUGGUGUCUCACUCGUAUCUAAAUGCGACAUACUACCCAGAGAGGAAGACUCAGCUCGAGCCCCCUAUAGCCUCUACCACGGCCUCAAAUACCACGUUCGUGAGUUCCACGAGCGCUCAUCGUAUGAUUCCUAUUUUAUCUAUUUUAUAAAAUUUUAUGCAUCAGUUCCAAUAUUUAUUAGCAGAUGUUUUAUGUAUAAAUUAUCAGAAGUUUAGAAUUGUUUUUAGAGGUUUCAGUCUCUAGCUAUCUCAAUACAGUUUCAGAAAGUACUACCUACAGUGUUUCAGAGUAGUUUUAACUAAGUUUCAGAAAUACUUACAAGAUCAGCGCCGAAGACUUGGUGUACCGCAUAGUUUCUCAAAUUAUUCAAAUUAUUUAAAAACCAAUUCUUUUUCAAAUACAAUUUUGGAACCCAAAAUUUACAGUCAAGUUUUGUAACCCUGCUCUAAUACCACUAAAUGUAACAGCCCAAACCCGGCUUAGACGUUAUGGCUGAAUCCAGAGAUAUCACGGAGAAUGGGUUUAGUUACGUAAAAUCAUUUCAGUCAUUUAACUCAUAUACUUAUGUCCAUUUCCUUAUGUCCAUUUCCAAAAAUGUUACAUUUUAUAAAUCUGAUUCGUAUUUUAGGAAAAUAUCUUUUGCGUAAAGACUAUCGAUUUCAUAAAAUUAUUUAUUAAGGUAUGUAAAUUAUUAUCAAGCCGAAAAACAACCUUAAAAAUUAAAAAAUCCAGAGUGUCCUAAAAAUUACAAACUCUCAGAAUAAACCAAAAUCGUAAAUCAUAAAUAAAACCGUAAUUUAAUAAUUUAAAGCAGUUUACAGUCAAGUGGUCACUGCUGAAUCUUUGCCGCACUGGUUCGCCUAAAUCUGUGGAUUACCUGACAGAACAGACAAACGGAUGUGAGUUUACGUAAAUUAAGUGUGUAACCCAACAUAAUUAAGCAUGCAAACAUACAGAAUCAUGACAUAGUUAGAAGUAGAUACAAAUCCAAAUUAAGAUUAUAGAAACAAAUAUGCAGAAAUCCUACCCCCCAUCUUCUACACACUAACUCUGUCCAUCCUAUCACACCAUGUGGGGUUAAAAACACUCACCAAUCCCUACAUAUUGUGCCGUGCAUUUAAGACACAUAUCAAAUAAUAUGCAGCCAAGCUGUCAGAAUAUAGGUAUUUAACGCCGAAUAGAAUACUUCCUCCUCAUAUACAAAUCCCUCCCCACAAUCAUUUACAGAAAUAGAUACAAAAUAACAUACUACACAUGCUUACGUACAGAUAUCAGAAUAAUCAAACAUGAAUAACAUUAUCAUACUCAGAACAGAAUAUCAGACUAUUAGAGCUACAGCUUUGGGGUUUGAUUAGCCCUUACCGACCCUACGGUAGGCCCACAGUCGAUUGGUAUGACCCGUGUGGCCUUAGGGAAAAUUUUAGAAAAAUGGGCCCACAUACCCGUGUGGAUUACCCGUUUGGGUCCACAUGCCUGUGCAGCCUACAAGCCUAGAUUGGCCUUACCCGUGUGGAUCACACAACUUGGCCUAAAAUCCACACAACCGUGUGAUGUGCCCAUAUGGGCCCACAUGCCUGUGUGGCCCACACACCCAACUUGGCCUAGCCCGUGUGGCCUACACGGCCACACUCAAGCCACCACACGGCUGUGGCCGGUGCACGGCCAAGCUUUCAUCGAUCUCGCACACGGCCAUCCAUAUGGGUUAUCACACGCCCGUGUGGCUAUAUAGCGCAAUUUUUUGGCUUUCGUCGAAACUCGAUUUCUUGCGUUUUAGGAAUACAACUGAUUCGUUUUCGCCGCAAAAUCACUCCUGAUAGCAUCAGUACCUAGAAAGAAUGUUCCAACACCCUUUUAGCAGUCAAUUAUGAGCCUAACACAAUUUACCCAAUUAGGCAAAAUCGACUUACCACUUAAACAAAAAAGACCACCACCUUGUAUCAAACUGUUGAAGUGCAAUUUCCUGCCUCACAACUUUCUCCUAACCACAGAAUCCACCAAUUAACACCACCAUCCAAUAUUGCUAAACCCAAACCAAAAUUAAAGAGGACAAAAAAUUGACUUACCCACUAGAUUAAGAACCAGAAGCCGCAAUAACAAUGUUUGACACAAGAAUAAUGAACCGAAUUAAAGGGACGAACAAGGGUUUACUGAAAAGGGAAAGAUGUGAAAGAAAAGAAUGGCAAAAAAAUUUGACGUUAGAAUUUGGGGAUUUUUAGAAGGUGAAAGAAAAUAAAAUAAAAUAAAGUAAAAGAUUUCAAAUUCCUUAUUUUUCUCCCACUAUCCCACUAUAUCACAACCUCUGACUCCCACUCCACCGAGACUCUAACAGAUAACAGAGCAAAAACAAUACCCACGCUUGUGCAAGGAUUCGAACACAGGACCUCCAACACACCAACUCCCUUACUACACGAACCAAUAGGCUCAUUCUGAUAUGAAAUUACAGGCAAUUAAAUCUAAGCUCACUGAACAAAAAUAAGGCUUAGAUCCAAAAAUAACAAAAAUUGCUAAAGGUAAGACCUGAACUUGAGACCUCUCACAGACACCCAGAACACUUAACCAUUGAAGUAGAUACACAGUUGUGCGAAAGUUUUACAGAAGCAAAAAUAAGAAAAUUAGGGCAUUACAGCUAUCCACAAUGAAUACGUUUUCUCGAUAUAAGCAAAAGAUGACUUAGAGAUUAAAUUAAUUUCUUUGAAUUAUUGUUUAAUUGAUUGUAAGUAAAUGCUGAACUUCGAAGUGAAAAUUAAAUAAACCUCUAUCAAAUUUUAGUGAGAUUUAUUCUUUAAAUAAAUUAUAAGUUUCAGAGAGUGUGGUUUUGGUUUUUAUCUAAUAGAAAGCUAUUGACCUUCUUCACUUGAACAUUAAUAAAUUUUUCGUUGUGUUCAUCGGUUUGUGAAUUAGAGCUCACACUCUUAGCAAGUCGAGGUUUAAGAAUAUCAGAGAAUAUCAUAUUGGUACAAAGUCGAGAAACGACUUAGACCACCUAUUCUAAAACACAGGCAUGAAUUCAAUAAAGGGUUUAUUACUAUAAAUAACACAACUGCUUAGGUUUAGAAAAUUUUUAAUUUUCUGUUGUGCAACAAAACUGUUUUCUAAACUGAAUUUUUCCAACACCCUUUAAGAACACUGUAACACCUAUAACCCGUUUCUGUCAUCGAAAUAGGGUAGCAGUGUAUUACCAUACAAAACAAAACAUUUUAUAGCCAAUAGUAAUUAAUUUUCAAAUUAAUUUAAUAAAUACAUAAGAAAUUCAAAAUGGAAUAAAUCAUGCAUUUACAGGGCUUAAAUCGAUCCUACGUGGCCUUAGAAAUAGCUUUUGAGCAAUCAGGGACCAAAUCAGAACAAAUCAAAACAUUUUAGGAAAAAAAUAAAAAUUCACCUGUAAGGGUCACACGGCCGUGUGUCCAGGCCAUGUGACAGAGCCCAGACCGUGUAGCUCCAAACAUGGUCGUGUGGUUAUCCCACAUGACUAUGCGUGAUCUCACACGCCUUUGUGUAUGGGCAGUGUAACUCUCUGACUUGGGUCACACGGUCAUGUUGCAGGCCGUGUGCCCACCCGUAUGAACCCUGUACCUAACACGCUAGGGGUACACUCCAGUGUGGGUCGUCCGUGUGCACCCAAAAAUGACCAAAAUCAUGCCUACCUUUCAUCCAAUUACAUAGGUGCUUAAACCAAUUCAUAACUCGUGAUCACAAUACUAUAACCACACCUAAUACAACCAAAACAUACCAAUUUCAACCACCUAAGAACAAAUCAAAGUGUCAUAUGAAGAUACAAAAUAGUGCUCACACCCAAACAUUAUCAUUCAUAUCACCUACAAGUCAAAACAUACACACCAACUAAUCUAUCUCAAAUCUCAUCAUACUAUACUUAAACAUGAUACUUACCAUUCCUUGAACAAGCACCUAAGCUCAACUUUGAGUUUAACUAGCAUACCAUAUAAGGUUACCAUUCCACAACAUCUAACAUGCCAAAACAUCACACAUAGCUAAGAAACAUUACAAACAUAAUCAUUUGUCCUAUUACAUGCCAUAUAACCUAAAUGUUUACAGAAACUACCAAAGAGUCUUCAGGAUAGUGUGAUUCUAUAAGUCGAUCUGAUCUCCCAAACACAAAAAAUGUAAUCUACAAAACAAAGGACAAGACACGAAUAAGCAUACUUAAAGCUUAGUAAGUUCGCUAAAUUAACGAUAAAUCUUACCAAAUUUACAUAAAAAUCAAGUUAUAAGAUUUAAAAACGAAGUUCCUAUCAAACACAGCUCAUAACAAGUGAGAAUUACACAAUACAUUAAUUCACAUCACGUUCUCAGUCAUCGCAUUAUUAAGAACUAAUCUCAGAUAACCAGAGGGUAUCACUAAUUUGAGUUAACUUCAGAGUUUUGACCGGUUCACGAUGCUGCUCACAUAAGCUACAGAGAAUCCGGGAAUAGAUGUAGGAUCUUAAGCCAUCGUUAUAGUCUGUAUCACUAGUACUUAGUACCUGUUAGAUAAUCACUGGCUCAUGAUGCUGCUCACACAAGCUGUAGAGAAUUCGCAACAUAUGUAGAAUCUCAGCCAUCGCUAUGGUCUGUAUCACUAAGUCAAGGCCUGAUAGUUAAUCCAUUUAUCAUGCAAUCUCCAAUCAGUCCAAAGUCAAGUAUAAAAUUGAAUAUAAUCAUAACAUACAUGAAAUAAAUAUAGAUGUAAUAUAGAAAUAAUGAUACGAAACUUCCAAGACUAAUCUACAGUAAUGGCUCAAGUACAGAGACUACUCUAAAACCUUUUCUUUUUAGCGAUUAUCAACACGUUCUUGAUCUAAAAUAAUAAUUUCAUUCAAUUAACUAAAUCUACAACAAAAAUUAAAUCAUUUUAUGCAAUUAAGUCCCUUUUUGUUAUUUUACAAAAUUUCCCUCAACUUUUCACUUUUGUUAGAUUUAGUGCCUAUGCCCCAAAACAUAUAAAUUAACCAUUUUUCUCAAAUCCCAACUUGGACGAAUAUUCCAUGGCGUUAUUACACCCUUUAAUUUCAAAUAUUUCAUAUCAAGUCCUUAAAAUUUUAUCAUUUAAAAAAUUUAAAAUCUUCAAAAACUACUUUAUAAAAUAGUCCUAUCUAACAACCACAGUCAAUAAUCUUCCAUAAAUUUUCAAGAAUAACUCAAACUCAAUAAUGGCACAAUCCAAAACAUUUGAAAAUUUUACGAAUUAGUCCUCGGGUUAGCUAGAUUAAGCUAAUACGAGCUCAAAAACAUAAAAAUUACUAGAAACGGGUUAGGAUUUACUUACAAAUCAAAGCUUAAAAGUUGAACUAUGGAAACCCUAGUUGCCCCUUAGGUGUCGUGGAGAAGAUGAGUGAUUUCAACAAAAAUAUCAUCUUUUCUUUACUUAAAUUUAAUAUAUAUACUUAGGUAUUUUUGUAAUCUUUAAAUCUUUCCUAAUUAAGCUUUAAUUAAUCACUAUUAACAUUAAUUAAGUUUAUCCAAAUAUCAUAACAACCAUGUUAAUGCACUAACUUAAGCAUUUAGUCCCUUUAAUUAAAUAACUCAACUUUUGCAGGUUUUACGAUUUAGUCUUUUUUACUUAAUAAACUAUCGAAAUGAUAAAAUUGUCUCACUAAAAUUUAAUACGACAUUAAAGAUCUCAAAAAUAUUAAAUAAAUAAUAUUUCCAAAUUAUUAUGUUAGAAUUGUGGUCUCGAAACCACUAUUUUUGACACCACUGGAAAUCAGGCUGUUACAAACACUACUCGAUCAAGAUGAAAUCAUUCCCUUUAAAAUUUUAAUCAUUCUCUUCAGUCCACUCUCGCUAGUUCUUACCAAGUUACUUUAUAACUUUCCUCGAACAUAAGGGGGAACAUAUUGUGUUGUACUAGUUGAGAAUUUAGGCUUCAAUCCCAAGACAACCAACAACCUAAAAUUCAUAAAUCCCACAUAUGUUAUGUUUUGGUAUGCAUCCACUUCGAUUAUCACCCAUAUGGUUUUAUGUGCUUUUGUUUGUUAUUAUUAUGGCCUCUACGGUUUUGCUUUGUGCAUAUGUUAAGCUUACAGCUUUUAGCUUCCUAUAGUUUCCUACAGCUUCAACUUGAGCUUAAGUUUUUUGUCAUGUUGGUUUUGCUUCUCUAUGAAUUGCAAUACUACUCUUCAAUGCAAAACUACAUUGUAAUUUCAACCUUGCUCUUUACAACUCACAAUUCCACUUUGUAACUUUGGUCCUUAACCAAACCCAAGCUUUAACUUCUACAUUGGUUUUCUAAUAUGCUACAUUAGCCUCCCAAGCUCAGGCUUGACCAUUUGCUCUAGAUUUAUGUUUUGUUUUUUUUUCUUUCAAAGUGUUAAGCCUCGACUUUAACCUCUAAAAACAUUUCAUCAACUUUAGGUUCUACAGCUAGCUAGUGAUCUAUGUCUUUAGCAAGAAAAUGUUGAAUCUAAACUAAAUUUAAUACACAAUUAUGCUCCAAACAUUUUCUCCUUAGUAACAUAUUCUUGCAGCUUAGCAUAUACUUCUCCUCAAUAGUAUACUUACGUUCUUCAUUAGCAUGCUUCUGCUCAUCAACUACAUACUUCUAUUUCACAAUUUUUCUCCUUAUCGGAAAUAAAUUUCUUCUCAUUAGUGAUAGACUUCUUCUCAAUGGCAAGAAACUUCUUCUCCCUGGUGACGAACUUCCCUUAGUUGCAAUAAAUGUCUUAUUCUCAAUGAAAAAAUUCUCAUCAUCCAUAGUAAACUCAUCCUUGUCAUCAAACUUCUUAUCAUUGAUAGUAAACUACCACUCUUGAACAUCAACUUCUCAAACUCAACAAGUAUCUUAUCUCUAUAGAAAAUUUCUCCUUCUCAAUAAAAAAUCUCUCAUUGUUCACAUCAAAACCCUACUUCGCGUAGUUAUUUUUAUGAAUAAUCUCUUGCGUAAUUGAUUGAUUCCAAUUCCUCAUGAAAAUUAUUGCGUCAAACAAAUUGGCUUCUACCAAAAACCUUUUAAGGGAUGCAAUAUUUCCAAACAACUUGGUUUUUGCGAAAUCUUUCAAAGGAUACAAAAACUCCUUGAAAUGAUACAUUUUAGCCAACAAAACAACCCUUAAAAUUUAGCUCUCAACACAAAUAUGGUCAAGCAUGCAAGUCUUUGAUACUCUUUAUGAUUAUCCAACUAGUGGGUGGAUUCAAAGUCCUGCUCUAAUAGUAUAACCUCAACACUUUUACACAAAACAAAUCUUUACAAGGUCUUUUUUAUCCUUAAAAAAAAUCUUUACAAGGUCCUUUUAUCCUUAAAACUAAGGUUAAAGAAGGACAAAUGUUAUACUAGAAUACUAAUUAUGCUCGCUAUCAAGCAGUAACAAUGCAAGUUACAACAUUAAGCCAUAACUUAUCUUUCAUGGUGUACUUCAAGAAGAACUCAAGUCUCUUCAUAAACAAUGUCUAUUUUAUUCUUGCAAAACAUCUUACAUAUACUUCACAUAUCUCUCUAAUGCUCGUAAUGGCUCAACCCAAAACUUCCAAUAAAUAUAACUAAACCUCACUUAGAAAGGAACCAAAUAUUACAUCAAGAACUUUGCCAGAAGAAAUGCUAGAUGUCUUCUAGUCCUUGGGAGUAAAUGCUAUGCAAACUAUAGCAAGUGCACUACUUACUCCACCAUAUAAUCACUAACCCUCAAGGGGAACAUUCUUAUUCCAAAAAUUGGAUACAUAUUCACUUUCUUAAGCGAUACAUUCUAAUUCUUUCAGAGGACACAUUCUCACAUUCUCAUCCAUCAGGGAAUAUGUUCUCGCUAUCUUAGAGGAUAUGUUCUCACUCCAUAAAGGGAUACAUCCUACACACUUAAAGGAUAAAUUCUCACUCCCUAAGGGAUAAGUUAUUAAUCAUUUAAAAGCCAUAGUAAUUGCAUGGCAUGAUCUCAAUAUUGUCAAUCCAACUUUACUGAAACAACUAAGACCCUUCACAAGCUCUCCUUAACUCCUUAAUCAAAUAUAACACUACCAUGAGUACAACCUCAUUAGUAGAAAAAAAUUGAUUGAUUUAAAAAUUAACAAAAAAAUUUAUAGAUCAAUUUAUAUAUACUUAAAAGGAACCUCAUUCCAAGAUAUUAUGCAGAAAAACAACAAACCAAAAAGACCACAUAAGACAUCCAAGCCAACAUUGAUGGGACCUUAAGAAAUAGCUAAUUUAUUACACCCAAAUCCCUUAAGGGAUAUAAAAAAAUUCAAACGACUUGAUUUCCACAAAUAUACUCUCAUAUAGUCGAUAGAGCCAAAUUUCUAUAGGGAUGAAGGAACUAACUCUAGUUGAUUACUUAUCCACAAUAUGCUCAAAUGGCCAAAAAUAUCAUAUCCUAUAACCAACUUAACAUAGGUGUUUGCCUAACCACUUUAUAAUUUGCCUUAAACUUAAAGUUAGGGGGUGACAUAUAGUUAUACCAUGAUAUUGAUAUGACAACUUUCAAGCAUUAAAAAAAUUUGUGUCAGAUACUUGCAGAUCAUCCAAUGAGAGAAUAACCUCGGGUGCUAGGAAUAAAGGUCGCAUAUAUCCAUUCCUCGUGUGUGUGGGGUGACUUAAGCAUCAUAAAGUGUUUGAGAGCAUAAAUUUUUGCGCUCUAGUAGUUUACCUUCGUCUUACAUUAACCUGAGAGCACUCAAUUUUGUUUCCAAACCUGAUCCAUCUUAGUGUAGCUAAAACACACAUACACAAAAAACACAUAUAUUAAUGUCAUAAGUUUAUUUUGUUACCCGUAAUAGAGUUAAUAAAUUGAUGAAUUUUUUAUACUCCAUUUUGAAAACUUGGAUUUGAAUUUCAAUUAUUAUGUAAAUGGUAAGAAUGAAAUGCAUAUAUUAUAGUCAAAUUAGUUGAGAUUCAAUCUAAUAUAUAUUAAAAAAAAGUACAAAAAACAUGGAUUUGUCAAUUCCAAGAAUAUUUUAAGGAUUUCAAAUUCAUUACUAAAUAGGCAUCUAACACAUCCAUGGAUUUGAGAGAUGAUCAUGAAUAUUAUAUUUUUAAAUAGUUUAUUACUCAAUUUACACUAAUUUUGAAAUUUAAAUCCAAAUUCUAAAAUCUUACUUCACAAACACUACAUUAAAGCCAAUAAAUUGACAAAUGGAAUUAAAACAUUGGGACAUGUUUUAUAAUUUAUAUGUUUAAAUAUAUCCUAAAGAAUGUUAACCUAAAAAAAUUGUUUUUAGAGUCUAAAAUUUCACUAAUAAUAGAUAAAAUGAUAUAUCUAAAUUUUAUAUAUGUAUCGACAUGGAAUUGUGAAAUUACAUUAUUGUAGACAAUUUUUACGGAAAAAAAUUCCUUGAGAGAAAAUGUAGUUUCUUGAGAAAUAAUUAAUUUUGCCACCAAUAUAUUACAUGGAUAAUUUUAAAAAAUAAAUUAAUAUAUAUUGCUAGGACAUGCAUUUAAAAAGUCAUUUAGUUAUUAAAUUUUGGCGUAAUUAUUUGUAAUUACAUAUAUUUGACAUGUUUGAAUAAUCAAUAUAAUUAGUAGAUUCUAUUGAAUUACAAUCUAUUGAAUUAAUUGUAAUUGAAGCACCUCAAUUAUACUCUUUAAUCUUUAUGGAUUAAGAAGUGAUAGGAUUACUCAAGUAAUUAGACAUGAUGACUUUCAGUUUGUUUAAAAAAAAUUAUUUUUUUAAAGAUAUAAUUGCAUUUAUAAAAUUAAAAUUUCGUCUAAUUAUAAGUGAUAUACUUACUAUUAUAAUAAUUAUGUUAUGAAUAUUUUAUUAAGUGGAUGUCCAUCAAGAUCUAGAUAAGUUUUGAUAUACUUUAAAUUCUAAUAGUCAUUAGAAGUAGAGUUCUAUUUCAUUUAUACUUCUUAUGUCUAUAAAUAUUGACUUUGUAGAAGCAUUGUAUAGAUUCCUAUUGAUCAAUAAAAUAUGUUCUUUCUUUUUCUCUCCUAUUUUCUUUGUUCUUUACUUUCUGUCUUUUUAUUUCGUAACAUAUUAUCAACACAAUUCUCUUUUAAUUGUCUUUCUCCAUAAGUCAGAAAAAAUCCUCAAAUCACGCCUAGACUUAUCCUCAAUCACUGGCCACUUGAGCAAGGAUCCUUAACCACUAAUUUUCACACUUUUUCCUUUCACCAUGCCUUACCCCUUUCAAGCAGCAACCAAUGCAAUAACCGAUCACUCCAAAUUUGUUGCUCAAGUUGUUAUCGGUUGCCUACUAGAGCUAUUACUAUUUCAGUCUUCAAUUGGGGCUUGCAUACUAUGGGUAAUCAUUAUACAAAGAAAUUUAUAUAAUCCUUACUGGUAUGUUUUUCUCCUUUGUUGAUUGAUUUUUGGUAGAAUUAUUUUAUGAAAAAAUAUUAUCACUUUAAGGUUUCUUUUAAACUAAGAUUCUUUUAUUAAAUUAUAGUAUACAUGAUAGUUGGAAGAUUAAAUUUUUUGAUGAUUAAAUUAUUUUUAUUAAAUAUGCUUGAAAUUUGAUUAAAAUUAUGAGAGAGGGUAUUACUAAUCAAUAGCAUUUGAUUAAAGGGAAAAAGGAAAUUUCAGUUGGAUCUAAUUGACUCAUUAAUAU